rnacentral:lncRNA from 1 species
GCUGCUUUGCAAGACGAUUUUCCCUAUGGGCUUGCUUCGCAAGACGGAAACGUCUUGCAAGUUUGUUUCCUUUUUCUUAACACCGUUAAUACAGUUGCGACUUGACUUCGAGGAGCAACUCAUAGAACGCGGUGUGGUAGCCUUUUUUGAGGUUUUUAAAGACUUUGGUGAUUUUUGAAGCUUUUCCAAAACUUUCCCGACACUGUGCUUCGCAAGACGAAAAAAAUCGCAAGACGACACAACUCGCGGAAUGAAUUAAUUUCGUCUUGAGAGGCACCACUGUAAAGAGAAACAAAACCCCAUUGUUGUGGCAACCCAGCCCAUAGACCCUCACCCUCAUCCAGCUGCAGGUAAAUACAUGGGAGGAAUGCGAAUGUGCAAGCCCCAAGCAUUCCAGAAAAAAUGGAAUCUGUUCUGGAAGUCCGUUCGACUUCCAAAGCAUUCAAAAUCCAAAGCGUAGCUUCUGAUUGGCUGCAAGAAGCUCCUGCAACCAAUUGGAAGCCCUGUCGAACGAUCAGCUUCCAAAAGAACAUUCAAAAACCGGAAUGGUCACUUCCAUAUUUUGAUUGUUCGGGAGCCAAAAUGUUCGAGAACUAGGCUGUUUGAAAACCAAGGUACGACUGUAUAUAGGACUAUACAAAUUGCUUGCAUGGAUCCCUGGGCCAAUCAGAAUAAGGGGUGCCAAAGAACAUUAGUUUCCAAGUCAUGUUACAACAUUUUAGCACCCCUCAUUUUUGGAGUUUGAAAGUUGAAGAAUUCAAUUAAGUAUGUGCUAAGGUAAACAGCGUUUCCGUGCGCUGCUCUGGUUCGCCAGAAGCAGCUUAGUCAUGCUGGCCACGUGGUCAGCUGUACGCCGGCUCCCUCGGCCAAUAAAGCGAGAUGAGCGCCGCAACCCCAGAGUCGGUCACGACUGGACCUAAUGGUCAGGGGUCCCUUCACCUUUACCUUUAAGGGAGCAUGCAAUGGGGUUGUACCCCCUGACUUCCCAGAGGUUUCGGAAUUAAAAAAUUGUAGGUAAAGGUGUGUGUGUGUGAGAGAGAGAGAGAGAGGUGUGAGCCUGGGAGAUCUCAGCACGACCCCUUUGCCCCAACUUGGUUGCUCCUUGUUGAAAUAUGAAUGCGUUUCAAGGGGAAUAUACAGGGGCACAUGACAGUGUGACCAGGGGAUGUGACAAGCUGCAUGCAAAGGUGAGCUAACCAGCUAUGGCGCUGAAUAAUUUAGAAGCUGUAGGCUCCUCUGGUUGUUCAUUUCCAGAGUGAGAGGACAGAAACAUGUAUUGUUCCAGCUUGUGUCCUGCUUAAAGGGCAAAAGUCCCAGGUGACAUCUUUGCCACUGCAUCUUUACAGCAUCGUAAGUGGGGGGUGGCAGGAACACUUCUUCAGCUGGAAAUGUGAGCGGCACGGAAAACUCUCUUUUUACAAGUGUUCUUGGUUGGAAUGAUGCUCGGGAGAACAAGGAUUUCCUCGCUCGAUCACGCCAAACUUCUGCCUUGUGUAGGGAUGGGCUGAGAAGCCUGACUCUGUCCCAGCUCAGUGCUGUGAUAUUCAAUCAUAGGCCUGUUUUGUCCUCUGCUGUGCAGGUGGGAGGGUGUAAGAAUUUGCCACACUUCCAUUGUGAAUAUUUCGCUUGCAUUUUUCACAUAAAUGUAGGAAUGUAAGAAAGCGUUGUUUUCCAUUCUGGCGCCUUCAUUAUACACCUUUAAGCACCAGGCAGAAACAUUCAUCUUCAACCGGGCUUUUGGCUGAUUAACAUCUGAUGCCCUUUUAAAUGGGGGGGGGUUAUUGCUUUGUUUUUGUUCUUCUUUUUAUUAUGUAUUUUGGGUUUUUAUGUUGUAUUUUUAUGUUGUGAAUCACCCCGAGAUCUACAGAUGAAGGCAGACCCUCAAAGUGUCCCUAUUUUCCAGGGACUGCCCUGGAUUUACAGAAGCUGUCCCGGUUUCUGAUUUGAUCCCAGAACAUCUCACUUUCCCCUAUUUUCAUUGGAGAAAUGUUGGAAGAUAUGGAAUUAUGCACUCACACACCUCGAGCCAUCUGAAGGCAGCCCUGUAUAGGGAAGUUGUUUUUUUUAAAAAAAUGUUUAAUGUUUUAUUAUGGUUUCAAUGGAAGCCACCCAGAGUAGCUGGGGCAAGCCAGUCAGACGGGUGGGGUAGAAAUAGUAAAAUGAUGAUGAUGAUGAUGAUGAUGAUGAUGAUGAUGGAAUGUUGUUGUUGUUUAGUCGUUUAGUCGUGUCCGACUCUUCGUGACCCCAUGGACCAGAGCACGCCAGGCACUCCGGUCUUCCACUGCCUCCCACAGUUUGGUCAAACUCAUGCUGGUAGCUUCAAGAACACUAUCCAACCAUCUCAUCCUCUGUCGUCCCCUUCUCCUUGUGCCCUCCAUCUUUCCCAACAUCAGGGUCUUUUCCAGUGAGUCUUCUCUUCUCAUGAGGUGGCCAAAGUAUUGGAGCCUCAGCUUCAGGAUCUGUCCUUCCAGUGAGCACUCAGGGCUGAUUUCCUUCAGAAUGGAUAGGUUUGAUCUUCUUGCCGUCCAUGGGACUCUCAAGAGUCUCCUCCAUCACCAGAAUUCAAAGGCAUCAAUUCUUCGGCGAUGAUGGAAUAGAACGUCCCUAUUUUCAUUGGGGAAAUGUUGGAAGGUAUGUGAAAGGUGGUGUACAAAUUUAAUCAAUAAUAAUAGUCAUAGUAAUGUAUUCACUGCAUUGCUUCCGUUCUGCUGCAGUCCAUCUUCUGCAAAAAAAAAUGCUGUUCAUCUUGCUGUAUUGAAAUUGCACAACUUACGCAAUUCACGAUGUAAGGCACGUUGUCAUUAGAUUACUCCCCUGCUUUCAUUUCAAUGCACAAUAAACUCCUUGUAGAUGGGGGGAGGGAGGAAAGGUAAUCGGUUACAUAUCAUUUGUGGAUUGAAAGCAGCAGCACAUACUGAUUAUGUUUGCUGGAUUGAUUUUCCAUUCUAGACAUGGGAGCAAUACGUGAGCACGGGUAAUUCUUGUUCCUGCUCCUGCUUCUGUCAGAACUCUCCAGCAUCUCUACAUAAAAUGCACAUUUGCAAUGCGUUUCAAAAUGUGCAUUUCACAGAGAUUGAAUGGCCACCUGUCACGGAUGCCUUAGCUGAGAUUCCUCCAUUGCAGGGAGCUGGACUAGAUGGGGUCGCUUUCAACUCUAUGAUUCUAUGACUCUAACAUCAGGGGAACCCAAGGAUGAGAAAGGCUGGUGUAGUGAAAUCAAGCCCACUUCUGACACCGGGUGGCUUGGCCUCUGGUGACAGAGACCCAAAGCGUCCGGGAACUCUGUGCAAUGUACAUUUCUCUGCAACAUGCAUCCUUCUGUCCAUAUACCUGCAUGGACCCCUUGACAUGGUGACGGGUGUCCCUCUCUUUUUUCUAUAAUCCCAGCUAAUGCUCUUUGGCACCCCUUAAUUUGAUCGGCCCAGAGAUUCAUGCAGCAAUUUGUAUAUCCCUAUAUAUUAGACUUAAUCCUGAUAUGAUUUCCUCGGAGACAAGUUUAAUUCAAUAGCCGAUGUAUUCGAUUCAGGAGCUGUCAAGUCGGGUUUAGAGCAAGAGUGAUGUGAUUUGACAAGCGGCAUAUCCAGCGCAAUAGGCAGCAUGUCUUAUUGCGGCAGCCAGGCAUCUGCUCCUGAUACUGAUCUUUUCUCCGAAGAAAAGGGAUGAAUUAAUAUCAGCAACAGGCAACGUCGCGGCUCCACUGCCCGGCGAAUUCGUUCUUUGCUGUGCUGUUUCUCCGCCCGGCGGAGGCAGGUGUUCCCCAAUUAAUAGAUGUCCCUUUGUUGUCUCAAAUCAGGAUUUGGCAGGAUGUUUCUCUCCCCCCCCCCAACACCCCUCUGUGUGGCAUUUCACUGCAAUUCCAUAUGCAAAGCCUCAAUUAACCUUUUGAAGCAAAGGUACCUUCUCAUCCAAAGCAAGAGCACUGGGGACCACAGAUAUUAUUAUUAUUAUUAUUAUUAUUAUUAUUAUUAUUAUUAUUGGAAAGAAUAUGCUUUUAUUAGUGAAUCUAUGAAAGCCAAAGGAAAGUAGGGAAAAGAGUCACAGGAGAUGAAUGGAGCUAGGUAGUUAAACUAGAGGGGAAGGAAAUGGAAGACUGCGUCCUUUUGAAGGACAAAAGAAAAUGGAGCGUUCCCAAGAGUGGAGAGCUGCCUUUUCCCCUAUUAUUGUAUUUCGCAAAUUGCACGAGACACUGCAAAUGCACUAGAUUUCUGGCCAUUUGUAGGAAAAUAGCUAUAUUUUGUCUAAUACCUGAAACUUGAUAGCAGUAUUACAGAAGGCUUCUCCCACCGGGUUAUCCUGAGCAUUCAUUACCUCCCUUUGCAAUACUCAAGUCAUUCAGCCUGCAAUACCUUGCACAAAAAGAGAGACUGAUCCAGAACUCACGCAUCAUACACAAUGGGCACGUGACUGGUUUCAUGACAGAGUGGGGAGGGGAGUGGUUUGUGUGCAAAUCGACCCCUAGAUCUGCUCGUUAGCCAAGUCACUUAAAUAUGACCAAUGGAGACCAGAGAGAAAAGUCCUGGUAGGACUUUACUGAGCAAAACUGGGCAAAAAACAGUGAGGCAAAAGGGAGGUUUCUUCUUUCUGACUUCAGACCUUGUACAUACUUAGGGGACUUUCAACCAAACAUACAGAGGAAAACUCCCUCAAAAUGACACAGCCCAUCAGGGCAUGUGCUAACUCAGCAAAUUGCAUGCUGCGCUGCUUGGUUGCUAAACAACAACUCUGCCGCCACUCACCUCUAGCUUAGCUGAAUUACCAAUAACAGAUUUAACUCUUAAAUUACACAAUGAAUGAUCUCUGAAGACAUUGAGGGUGGGCUGAUAGACACAUGCCUGCACACACCCUAUCAUUUUGAGCUGUCACCCAUUCUUUGAACCCCUGAAGAGGGCUUGUGUCAGACGAUUGACCUGAGUAUCUGCUAAUUUGCACCUUCUGAGCAGACAUAGUUAAGAUUGCCCUGCAAUCUUGUGGUCUUCACGUCUUGUGGCAGCAGGUUUCUGUUUGCUCAUUACAUGCUGCGUAACAAAGAGGAGUUUAUAGAUUUCGCUGCCACAAAGAUGUAGUGGCCGGUGAUUAAAAAUGAGGAAGCAAUAACAGUGUGUGGCCUGACCCUUAUUACUUCAAUAAAACUGGAAAGAAAGCAAGCAUUUGCACUGGUACGAAUUUACCUUGAUAAUCUCAGGUUAACAGGAUUUUGUUUGAUGAACACAAACUAUACUUGUGGGGGGGAAUGUUCUGCAAAGGGAAGGUUUGACUUCAAAGAUGCAGUUAAGAUUCAGAUCUUUUAGAUCAGCCAUCUAGCCUCUAUUACUCCCCCUACCUCUGACUUCUAUAUAUUACCUUUAAAAACCCACUUUGAUUAAAAAACGCUUGGUAAUAUUAUUCAGAUGCAGAAAAGCGGUCGUUUUUCAUCUCAUUGAUUCUUGAGAUUACAUUAUUUUUCCAAUCAGCUUCUCAUACAUGCCACAGCAGAGUAAAUUAUAAGGAGUUAAGGAGUGUACAUAGUAUUAAUUAGAUGUGGGACAUGCAAAGCUAAUUUUAAGUGACUCCAGGGAAGCCCCUACCAUUAUGCUUAUGAAGCAGAGUCAAGGAACCACUCAACGUGAAAGCCCUUUAAAAAUAUUGUAGCGCUUUAGAAACCGUACUCUCAACCAGAGUGGCACGUUGACAACAAAAUUAGGUCCUUCCAUUUAAUGUAGAAAAGAAAAGAAAGAAAGAAAACACCUCCAGAAGCAGCAGAACUUCCUUAGUUACUGCAUGAAAUAAAUUCAGUUAAUUCUAAGGAAAAUCACCAGAAUAGCAAUGCAUUAGCCAGGAGCUAGAGACACAUACAAGGGACGCGGGUGGCGCUGCAGGUUAAACCACAGAGCCUAGGACUUGCCGAUCAGAAGGUCGGCGGUUCGAAUCCCCGCAACGGGGUGAGCUCCCGUUGCUCAGUCCCUGCUCCUGCCAACCUAGCAGUUCGAAAGCACGUCAAAGUGAAAGUAGAUAAAUAGGUACCACUGCGGCGGGAAGGUAAAUGGCGUUUCCGUGCACUGCUCUGGUUCGCCAGAAGCGGCUUAGUCAUGCUGUCCACAUGACCCGGAAGUUGUAUGCCGGCUCCCUUGGCCAAUAAAGCGAGAUGAGCGCCGCAACCCCAGAGUCAGCCACGACUGGACCUAAUGGUCAGGGGUCCCUUUACCUUUACCUUAGAGACACAUACAGUGAUAUAGGUUUCUGGCUGAUGAAAGUCUCCUGCAAGAGGUCUGUACUAAACUCCAGAUCUUAUAGGAUUGCCCAUAAAGCACCUGGCAUCUGUCUGUCUCGGAAGACAAUGGAGCAGUGCACCUUUGGGAGUGAAGUCAAGCCAUUGGCGAGUUACAGUGCCUGUUGUGGCUGUAGAGACAGAAACGGGAGAGACAUGUUUUGUUGCAGCUGGGGCAAAUGAAGGCGUCUGGUUGUGCUGCAGCAGAUGCACCAUGGAAUUUCUUCUCUCUGCGCUCCUCCCAGAGGUCAUUCCUUUCCUGGUCACUGCUAUGGAAGCAUGACCUGAACCUCUGUCUCCUGGCACUUCACUCGUCUGCAAAGGAUUCCCACAGGGUGGGUUGAUCUUGCCAGUCUUUUCACAUCACAUUUGCAGACAACUUUGUAAUACAGAGUUGCUCUGCCAACGGGCCUAGCUCCUGAAGCCAGUUCCCUUGAAGAUCCUGCCAUCUUCCCUUUGUUGACAUGACUGGGCACCGAGCCAAGAGAGCACUGCAACAAAUAUGUAUACCCAGACCUUCCCAGUAUUCCUAUUUUCCAGGGAUGUCCCUGAUUUCAAGAAGCCAUCCCUGUUUCUGAUUUGAUCCAAGAUUGUCCCACUUUUCCUCAGGAAGUCCCUAUUUUCAUUGGAGUAAUGUUGGAGGGUAUGGAGUUAUCCGACCCCCGAGCCAUCUGAAGGCAAUCCUGUGUAGGAAAGUUUUUUAAUGGUUUUAAUGGUUUUGUAUAUGUUGGAAGCUGCCCAGAGUGGCUGGGCAACCCAGUAAGAUGUGUAGGGUAUAAAUAGUAAAGUUAUCAUUAGGGAAUGGGACGUCCCUAUUUUCAUCAGAGAAAUGUCAGAGGGUAUUGUAUAACUCAAGGUGAGAAGUGGGAGUGGGGUGCACAGAAUUUUGGGAGCUGCUGAAAUUUGAAAGCCCAGCGUCCGCCACUAGUGUUGUUGUUUAGUCGUUUAGUCGUGUCCGACUCUUCGUGACCCCAUGGACCAGAGCAUGCCAGGCACUCCUGUCUUCCACUGCCUCCCGCAAUUUGGUCAAACUCAUACUGGUAGCUUCAAGAACACUAUCCAACCAUCUGGUCCUCUGUCGUCCCCUUCUCCUUGUGCCCUCAAUCUUUCUUAACACCAGGGUGUUUUCCAGGGAGUCUUCUCUUCUCAUGAGGUGGCCAAAGUAUUGGAGUCUCAGCUUCAUGAUCUGUCGUUCCAGUGAGCACUCAGGGCUGAUUUCCUUCAGAAUGGAUAGGUUUGAUCUUCUUGCAGUCCAUGGGACUCUCAAGAGUCUCCUCCAGCUCCAUAAUUCAAAAGCAUCAAUUCUUCAGCGAUCAGCCUUCUUUAUGGUCCAGCUCUCACCUCCAUACAUCACUACUGGGGAAACCAUAGCUUGAACUACACGGACCUUUGUUGGCAAGGUGAUGUCUCUGGUUUUUAAGAUUCUGUCUAUCAGCCACUAGUAACAUCUGCUUUAGCCCACAGAGAAGGGAAAGUGUUAUGUACUGAAGUUCUCACCCCGGGCCAGCAGGGGGAUACUGUAGAUAGUUUUCACUCAGGUCCACAUAUGCAAAUAAGGAAUUGAAAGUGACGUUCAGUGAUUGGAUAGUUACAGAAAAUGGUUACUGUUGCGUUCUAGUGGAGCUCUAUAUAAGCAGGCUGGCUGAACCCUUCAGUUCAGUUCUGUUCUGGCCUGUGAAUAAACAAGAGCUGUUUGAAGAAUUGCUGUGUCGUCUGAUAUGUUCACCCACAACUUAACAGAAAGCUUUAAAGAACAGCUUUUGAGGAACCGUAACAGAUCUUGUUUAUCAGCUCCUGGGCUUCCUAUCUCACGUGCAUACAAGCACAGGCUUACUAAGCCAACUGCUCAAAACAGGCCAACUUUGGGCUGCUCCUGAAGAGAGAUGAAUCUGAGGAGAUGGGGCUCAGGUGUGAGGACAGGGAGCAACAGACCUUAACAACUGCCUUCAAGAUAACAAAAGAGGGUAUAUUUUAAGUUUGACUGCAUUCAGGGCAGCCCACGCCUCCGGACAUCUCCCACCCACUCCCUAAAGAUCAUUUGGUAACUACAGACAAUGGUUUAUUCUUUUUUUAAAAAAUGAGACAGAGUUUCGAAGACUGGAGGAAAUGGAUCUGUCAAUCAUAUCUUUGCUUUGGUGGCUCUGAAAGUGAACGGCAGUUUGGGGGGGGGAGUCACUUUCUCUAAAAUGUGCCUUUUCAAAAGGGAUUUCUGUGGAAUUAUAAAUCAUGCAGCAAGUUUUUGGGUAGUUCCAGGGCAUAUAAUGCUUAGCUGAUCAUAUAUAUUUUUCCCUAUCCAACUGAAACCUCAGCCACCAUCCCAGAGAUAACAAAAUUCCUAAUUAACACCCUUUCAUUAAAAUCCCACGUCCCCCAUGGCCAGAAUUAAAUGGUGUCUGCAUUGCACCAAGCUUCUUAAUCGUGUUUUUAAGGUCAUAAAUCUUAUCAAUUAAUAUUUCAGAACUAUUCAUCCUAUUUCUAAUAUUGCAGUUGCCGGGCAAACUCUUGCGAAUGAUUUCUUCUUCUUUUUUUAAGUAGGGUGGGUUCCCCCCCCCCUUUCAACAGAUUCAAAAUAAUUGCUUUUCAGAAUUGCUGAUGGGGAUUCAGGGACUGGAAACUCUUAAGCCUGUAAAUGUGCUUAAGAGAUUAAAUGAAGGAAAUGGAGCUGCUCUGAUAACUGCCCACUUUCCGUAUGUCUUCAGCGUUGUCAUGACUUGAAAGAUGGCCGUGAGGGUAAUGACCACACCUCAGCUUCCCUUGAGCAAGAGAGUCAUGCUUUUUAAACAGGUUCUGUACGUGUAAUGGGCAGAGAUGGACUUUUACUUUGGUUUUAAAAUUUGUUGGAAGCUGCCCAAUGUGGCUGGGGCAACCCAGUCAGAUGGGCUGCAUUAUUAUUAUUAUUAUUAUUAUUAUUAUUAUUUAUACCCCGCCCAUCUGGCUGGGUGUCCCAGCCACUCUGGGCGGCUUCCAACAAAACAGUAAAAUACAAUAAUCUAUUAAACAUUAAAAGCUUCCCUAAACAGGGCUGCCUUUAGAUGUCUUCUAAAAGUUUGGUAGUUAUUUUUCUCUUUGACAUCUAGUGGGAGGGCGUUCCACAGGGCGGGUGCCACUACCGAGAAGGCCCUCUGCCUGGUUCCCUGUAACUUGGCUUCUCACAGUGAGGGAACCGCCAGAAGGCCCUCAUCACUGGACCUCAGUGUCCGGGCAGAACGAUGGAGGUGGAGAUGCUCCUUCAGGCAUAUAAAUAAUAACAUUAUUACUAUUAGUAUUAGUAUUGCUGUUACUUUCUCCUUUGCCGAGAGUAACCCUUUUGCCUCCCUGUUCCAGGGACCAGAGUAAAGGUGGCAUCUCAGGAGGCACCCAGACCACAUCUAGGCAGUGCUAUUUUUCUAGAAAAAGGGGUUCCAGAACUCACCAUGAGCACCUCCCUUUUCCUCUUAUCUUGGCAAUGGCGCCCACCUGAGAGGUGCCAGAACUGAGUUCCAGUGAGCUAUGGCUGGGGGGGGGGGAAGCCCUGCAUUUUCCCCCAGAAAUGCAGCAGAAAUUUGAUUUGAAUCCGUUUCCAAUUUGAACUUUCCAAAUCAAUGUGUGAACCAAACCAGAAGCAUCUUUUGAAAUUCGCACACAUCCAAGUUUUGAGAAUUUCAAAGGAUGUCUAAAUUUCGGUUCUCGUAUUGCUAGUGACUGCCCUAUUUCUGUGCCUGAGGCGAACUGGGAAGGUGGCAACUCCCGGCCACCGCACCUCUGCCAGAGCUUUGUUUACUGGGGUUGUUCGAGAGUGGCUUCCUGUGAGAUCUCCAGGAACUCUUGCAGGAUCUUGUGCAAUCUCACUGGAAGCUGCCGCCGCCACUGCUUCUCCUCACUUUGGCAGGGUGCCGUCCCAUGGGACUCUGUUGCCCGAGGCAGCUGCCUCGGCCUGCCCAAUGGGUGGGCCAGCCCUGGUUAGUGAAAAUUGCCUUUAACUGUGAACGGAAUCAAAUUCCUCCCCCAGCCCUACUCUUUCCUUUCCCCACCGCUGACAUCAGAAACAUCAGCACCUCAGUCAGCAGCUAACGUUUGCCAGAAGUAGCUGAGAAGCUGUCUUUGCAAAGAAGAUGGAGCAGGGAUGGUAAUCUGAGACCCAAACCUCCGUGGGGAACUUGUGGCCCUCUAGAGAAUGUUGGACUACAACUCCCAUCAGUGCUAGUCCAAUGGUCAGGGAUGAUGGGAGUUGUAGUCCCUCAACAUCUAGAAGGUCACAGGUUCUCCACACCUGUUUUAAGUUUGGGAAUCAACAUUUUAAAUGGGUGUCGUUUUCAUAUCACUUUAACUGUCAUGGCUGCCCCACUAAAGAUUCCUGGGAAUUGUAGAACUUUUGUAACCUAGGAACAGCGGGAAGUCCAAGAGGCCAAAUGGAUGGGUGGAGAGUGUCAUGUUUCGAUGAGCACCUUUUAGAAAUAAAGCACAAUCCCUUCUUAAUUAUAGGUGCCACUUUGGAGGUGGCUGGCUUCUCUUGCCUGGGAACUGAGAGUGUUUUGACAAUCAUCUGCCAAAGCCCCUGCUGAGAUCUCGAAAGGGGCAUGUCAGGCAUGGCUCAAAGAGUUGAGGGUUGGCUGCAGUCCCACUGGGAUGCUUCGAAGAGGCGGUUCUGGCUGUUCACUUUGAAGCUUCCACCUCUUCUCUUGCUUCGAGGAAGGUGUACUCCAAGCACCUUCAGAAGAAAGAGAAUCUUGGGUGGGAGGACUGGGAAAGAGACUUCUGGCUGGACUUUACGGGACAGUCCUCAGUUUCAAGAAGUCCUUUUUCUGAAGGGCUUUCGGUGCAGAGUCCAGUUUAAAGAAAAACAGUCUGAAAAAGAGCUAGACAGGAUGAGGAGGCCACCUGUUUUACCUUACAGGGAACAGCCCCUCUAUUGGAAGGGGUGCCUAGUUCAGUUUAAAGGAGGGAGAGGGAGAUGGGCCUUGGAGUUGUAAGUAUCUAGACAGCAGAUUGAACAGGUACACAAACCUGGCUGUAGUCUCCCACACUACAGUGAGAUGUGUCACGUUUUCCCAUUUGAAUAAUAGUGAUUGGGUGUCAGGGACUGGCUGGACGAUGAGGAGUGGUGGGAAGCCUCAGUUGAAGACCCCCUCUUAAGGAAGCCUCAGAAGAGGAAGGCUCAGACUCAGGGGAGUGGAGGUGGAACACAGAAGACAGGUCAGAGGCUAAAGGGAGAGGGGCAGAAUGGUUGGGUGCCGAACAAGCAACAGGCUUGAGUGAGAGAGAGGAAGAAGAGGCAGAAAGCGCUGUAGACAUAGGACAGGCAGCUGAGGAGCAAGUGCGGGCUGAGGAAGCAACAGGUACAUAGGAGCUGGCCGGUCCUACUGUAUUCAGCUCCCCUUGUCCCCAAGGGCACGGAGGGUUUUGCAUGUAGCAGAGCAAAAAAACUCAGAGAACACGGGGGGCACUCCCCAGUGAAGUUUAAGACUGUGGGGAAAACAGCUGGCCUGGGAGGAGACAGGGAGGCCCAGAUCAUCCAUUCUGGCAACUGCUUUACUUGGGCCAGUCUCCAUGCUGACCUGCAGCAGAAUCUGCCCUGACUUUGGGUAUGCCGGGCCCGGGGGUUAACCCGAGCAACGCAAUCCAAGUCCAAUCCCGAAUCCGAGGAUUCCACGAGGAGUCAGUCCAACAGGGCCAAGGCAGGUAACCAGGCUAGGUCAGGCACAGGAUCACAGGCAGGUUCCAGCAAGCAGCAAUGUUGCUCCCGCAACCUGGGGUGGGGUCCUGCAGCCUUUUAUCUGUGUCGGGGUAAUGGCCAGUCCUGAUCCCCCGGUGACUCACCUCUCUGUCUCACCUGAAGGCGAGCACUCUUCCUGCGAGUACUCAGGUCUCUCCUUCUCUCAGACCUCAGUCUCUGCAGCUUGGGAGAUAUCGGUGGGUUACUAGAUCCAGAAGCCGCCUCAGCCUCUCCUGACCCAACUGGUAGUGGAGCAGCUGUAAGUGAUUGCCCAGCUGGAGGCAACGAGGUAAUCCUUGCAUCUGGAGCCAGGGCAAGCUCAGGCCCCUGACCCGGCCGAGCUGGUGCUUGUUGCAGGGGAACCUGUGCAGACUGGGGCUCUUCAGAAUCAGGCCCCAGACUAGGUUCAGAUGCUGCCUGGGGCAGAGGAUCCGGUGCGGACUGAGACUCCUCCGGUUCUGAGCCCGAGUCCCAGGCCAUCACGGUGAGCUGGAGUCAACUAGGGAGUCAAGCGUGCUCAAGGAUUUCCACUAGGACAAUGCAUCUUUCUCCCCUCUCACCCUCCUACAGUAUGUAUCCCCCUCCUCCCAAAAUCAGUUCCGGGGUGGGGGGUCCUGUGUCACUGGUUUGAACUUGUUCUUAUGUCACUGUAAACUGUUGCAGGGCCAGAUCCUGGUGAUUCUGGGCACAAAUGAAGCUCCAUCUCCACCCCAGGCAGCCUGUGAGUCACUAAGCAGACCAGCAACUUGCUACCUAGGAGCCACCUGGCGCAGGUGAGCAGAAUGUCAAAAAUGGUGGCUUUCUGCACUGCCUGGAGAGAAAAAUGAAGUAUGCAGGAACUUUCAUCUGUAACUCCUGUUAAAGGCUUUGGAUGCCCUCCCUCAAGGUAUCCUCACAGAUCCCCUUUAAUUAACCAUUUACCUACUGUAACAUGGCCUGGGGCUCUGGAAACGAAGGCACAGAUACUUUGUUGUUGGCCUGUGAGCAUAAGUAACAUGAAAUCAAGAGGCCUUACUCGCCUCUGAUCCCCGGGAAGAGCCUGUAAACCAGGCCAGACUAAGAGCCACAUGCUGAAUUGUCUCAGGCAGCCAUGAUAGACACAGCUGGGGCGAGACCUUGUGUUUGCCUCCAAACAAUAUCACACAUCUCUUAUUAAAGGGCCUAUGGACCAAUCCCCAAAGUGGUGGGUAUAGAUAUAAAACAUAAAUAACUAUUCCCUCUACAAACAUAUCUUCUUCCCACACUGUGACCUCUUUCUGCUCUUAUGCUGAAAGCAUAAGCAACAGCAUCCGGAAAUUAUAGAAACUCAGAGCAAAUUUUUGCUCCUGGAUGUUGCCGUAUCUGUUCAAAAUGGAGGUGGCAGAAUCUGUCAAUUUUUGUUGUCUCGUUUUCCCAAUCUUAAAUUCAGUUUUCUGCAUUGCUGAAGCAAUAUGUGAUGCGUUUGUUUGUUUGUUAUCUGCAUGAAAAUGCUUCAGCAUUUCAGUGAGAAUUUCCCCAAAUAAACUCAUUUUUGAUAUGCAGAUGACACAACUUUGAUGGCAGAAAGUGAGGGGGAAUUAAAGAACCUUUUAUUGAGGGUGAAAGAGGAGAGAGCAAAAUAUGGUCUGAAGCUCAACAUCAAAAAACCAAAGAUCAUGGCCACUGGGCCCAUCACCUCCUGGCAAAUAGAAGGGGAAGAAAUGGAGGCAGUGAGAGAUUUUACUUUCUUGGGCUCCAUGAUCACUGCAGAUGGUGACAGCAGUCACAAAAUUAAAAGACGCCUGCUUCUUGGGAGAAAAGAAAUGACAAACCUAGACAGCAUCUUAAAAAGCAGAGACAUCACCUUGCCAACAAAGGUCCGUAUAGUUUAAGCUAUGGUUUUCCCAGUAGUGAUGUAUGGAAGUGAGAGCUGGACCAUAAAGAAGGCUGAUCGCCAAAGAAUUGAUGCUUUUGAAUUAUGGUGCUGGAGGAGGCUCUUGAGAGUCCCAUGGACUGCUAGAAGAUCAAACCUAUCCAUUCUGAAGGAAAUCAGCCCGGAGUGCUCACUGGAAGGACAGAUCCUGAAGCUGAGGCUCCAAUACUUUGGCCACCUCAUGAGAAGAGAAGACUCCCUGGAAAAGACCUUGAUGUAUCUGGUCCUUGGGGUCACAAAGAGUUGGAUACGACUAAACGACUAAAUAACAACAACAUGAUUCUAUGAUUCUACCUUGUUUCUGAAACUAAAUGACUAAACAACAACAAACUCAUUUUUAUACACAGUUUUGACUAAAGUACACAUUCUGGCAAGCAACAUGCCCUAAUGUAAUCCAAUUUUGUAUCCCUCCUUCCCCUUGCUGUCUUCUGCUUCUGCCCCUGAUUCUGGACCCCUCUCUACCACUGACUCUCCCAGCUCACUUAGCCCUAUUUACCCCUUCAGCUUCCGACACCUCUUCUUCCCUGUCUUCUCCCACUGACCACUCAUCAUUGUCCCACUAAGACUCCCCGGGCUCUGAGCCAGGCACACUGAAAUUUUCAAGGAAGGUGCCAGCCACCCCCACCACCCCCACGAUGUGCUGACAUCACUCUCAAACACCACGCGACAUGCUCUCAUGUCACACACAUGCCACAUGGCUUGCAUGUGUGACAUGAACACAUCACGUGGCAUGCAUGCAUGGUAUACACGUAUUGCUGCAGAAUAUUGAGGGAGGCUGGCUCCUUCCUUGAAAUUUUUGAUGGGCAAAUUUUUGAUAUUGCCAAAACCUAUUGGUGUUUCGCAGCUUUCUGACUAGUUGCAGGACCUUAGCUAGACCUAGCAGAGUAAACGCAGAGUUCACAAAAGCAAUUGGCAACUUGGCUGCAGACAGGAUGGACGAAGCAGGAACCAGGAACUUGUAGUUAGGUGUUUAUUAUAUACAUUGGACUAUUUACAGGAACAGAACAGAACACGGAUCUUGACACUUGCUCUCUCUGACACGACUCACAACUCCUAAACCUUCAACUCGUACUAACACAUUCCAGUUAGUAGGCCAUUAAUCAUUAUUCCCAUGAGAGAGCUUGACCAAUCAUGGAGCUGUCUCCAUGCCUCUGUAUCACCAGGCAGACUUACUCCUUCACAUUGCCUUGGCUGUCGGCCAAACCCUAAUUAACUCUGUGUGCGUAGCUGCACGUAUUCAGAUUCCCAACACCUUCAACCCCAUGGCCCCCCUUGAUGGCGUCACUGCUCUGAACUUUCUUCCUUGGUGGUUCCACAGCUGGUUCCUCCCACCAUUCCUCUGUGUCCAGUCAGUCCCCAACACCUAGCACCAUAGCUGUGGUGGCCAUUGUUGCUGCCCAUUGUAAGAUCAUACCAUGCCCUGAUGUGCAAUUCUUGCCCCCACCAAAGGGUCUUUUGAGCAACAAAGGCAAGAUUCGAUUUCUCCCUGCUCUCUUUCCAUUACCCUAUGGAUCUGUGGAUCUGUGGCUUUGCUCCACCGAUACAAGCAGCACAGCCGAACACCUUCUGUGCAUUAAGAGGAAGCACACUGUUCGUUUUCAUUUGCUUUGUGUUAAAUCAAAGCAGCCCUGACAUGUGACUGCAAACCUUCUGUUCGGGAAGCACAGGCCUGGGCCACAGCUAGUGUAAAUUGUUGGGUAUAAUUUCAUUGGAUCAUAACUGAAUCAUGCCAGCUGAUGUUCUAGCCCUCCCUCUCUCGAUACAACUUAGCUUAGAUUGAUUUCAAGAAAAUCAACCUGCUGGAAGGAAUCUCUGAAGUGUGUUGCAUGCCUCAUCUCCAAGGACCGGUCUUGCCAUCAACCAAGAUGAAGCAAUUGCUCUGGGCAGCAGACGAUGAACCUGUCGUGUGUGUGUGUGUGUGAUUUCUCUUCUGUGUUUCUUUAAAAAUUAGCAGGAGAAGUGCAGCGGGGGGGGGGUCAUUCUUUAAAAACCACGCAUGGUACCUUUAAAAAAAAACCUAUACCACUUCAGACUGCAUUGGGGUGUACAAUUUAUGAACACCAACCAACAUUCUCUCUCUCUCUCUCUCUCUCUCUCUGUGUGUGUGUGUGUGUGUGUGUGCAUAUCUCCCAGCAAGUAGAAAAGCAGCAUGUCAGUGAGAAAGACUUUUGCCCAGCCUGAGCUCUACUGCACUAGUCCUGUACUGGCAGGUCUUGUUUAAACCACCUUGUGUAAAUCACCUUGCAUUCUGGACCAGGAAAAAGGCAGAAUAUAUAUAUAUAUAUAUAUAUAUAUAUAUAUAUAUAUAUAUAUUCAUGGAAUCAUAGAAUUGUAGAGUUGGAAGGGACACCAAGGGUUCUCUAGUCCAGUCCCAUGCAAUGCAGGAAUCUCCACUAAAGCAUCCAUGACAGAUGGCCAUCCAACCUCUGAUCAAAAACCUCCAAGGAAGGAGAGUCCACCACCUCUUGUGGGAGUUUUUUCUACUGCCAAACAGCCCUUACUGUCAGAAAGUUUUUCCAAAAGUUUAGUCAGAAUCUCCUUUCUUGUAACUUGAAGCCAUUGGUUUGAGUCCUACCCUCCAGAGCAGGAAAAAACAAGCUUGUUCCCUCCACCAUGUGACAGCCCUUACGAUAUUUGAAGAUGGCUCUCAUAUCUCCUCUCAGUCUCCUCUUUUCUAGGCUAAACAUACCCAGCUCCUUCAACUGUUCCUCAUAAGGCUUGGUUUCCAGACCCUUGAUCAUCUUGGUUGCCCUCCUCUGCACACCUUCCAGCUUGUCAACAUCCUUCUUAAAUUGUGGUGCCCAGAAUUGGACACAGGACUCCAGAUGUGGUCUGACCAAGGCAGAAUAGAGUUGUACUACUACUUCCCUUGAUUUGGUCACUAUACGUCUGUUGAUACAGCCUAGAAUAUUGCCAGCUUUUUUUGCUGCUGCAUCACACUGUUAACUCAUGUUAAGCUUGUGGUCCACCAAGACCCCUAGAUCCUUUUCACAUCUGCUACAAGUAAGCCAGGUGUUUCUCAUCUUAUAUUUGUGCAUCUGGUUCUUCCUGCCCUAGUGCAGAACCUUACUUUCUUCCCUGUUGAAAUUCAUUUUGUUAGUAUGGGCCCAGCUCUCCAGUCUGUUAAGGUCAUUUUGAAUUCUGAUUCUGUUUUCUAUCGCAUUAGCUACCCAUCCCAGUUUAGUGUCAUCUGCAAAUUUGAUGAGCAUCCCCUCAAUUCCUUCAUCCAAGUCAUUUAUAAAGACGUUGAACAACAACGGGCCCAGGACAGAACUCUGUGGCACCCCACUUUUUUCCAGGAUGAUGAGGAACCAUCAAUGAGUACUCUUUGGGUUCAGUCACUCAACCAGCUACAAAUCCACCUAACGGUUACCUCGUUCAACCCACAUUUUACCAGCUUUUCUGCAAGAAUAUCAUGGGCUUUAUUUGGGGGAUCAGGGUGAAAAAAAUGCCUUUCAAUGUAGGUUGAGAAUUCCAGGAAGGGAAAGUGGGCAGAGCCUCUUUCUCGUGGUUCCCAUUGUACUCCAGUUACAGCCGUGCCCAGGGAUUAGAUCAGCUUUUGAUCUUGAGCCAACUCGUAGGUUCAGGCGGUUAAACCUUGGGACCAGCGGAAGGGAAAGCAAAAUAAAUAACAGCCGAAUAAAUAAACUGUGCAUUAGCACCAGCAUGUAGCACGCUGCAGUCAUCAAAGAGAUGCCUUCUGACCUGGCGAAGAUCCCAUGCAGCCCCGUGAACAAACGCAAGAAGCCAAUCAGCACCAAAUCUGGCACAAAGCUUCAUGCAAACAUCCACUAAUUAAUCCAGCCAGCUCCCCUGCAAGGCAGGAAGGUAGCUAUUAAUAUUCCUGUUUCUGCACAGGACGCUAAUGGUAAUGGGGAUACAGGCACAGACGUAAUCAUGAUUGGGAUUUGUAUUAGAAUAGUUGCCCCCACAGGCCACUGAAUUUCUAGGUGAUCAUUUGUUAAAUGUUAUAAUGCAUGACUCGGUAUAUAUUUGUUGUUGGGGGGGCGGUGGAGAGAGAGGAAGCAAGGAAGAUGAUUUGCAGCACAUGAAACUCAUAAUAAUAAUAAUUUAAUAAUAAUAAUAUUUCAUUAUUUAAAUGCUGACCAUCUGUCUGGGUUGCCCCAGCCACUCUGCAUGGCUUCCAACAAGUUAAACACAUUAUCACAAGAUAGCUCAUGCAUCUUACCUCCAUGCAAAUUCUGCUCUUAGAAGACCAUUGGAAUCAAUUUGUAAUUCUAAUAGCAUGAACUUUAGUUGGCUGCAUCUCUUCGAAGAUUGCAUCCAGAAAAUUAAAACAAAAACAAAUGCAUGGAGGUAAGAUGCAUGAGCUAUGGUCACUCAAUGGAACUUCCACAUUCAGGCAUAGUCUAACAACUCCCAUCAUCCCUAGCUAACAGGAUCCGUGGUCAGGAAUCAUGGGAAUUGUAGUCCAAAAAGAGCUGGAGACCCAGGUUCUUACAGGGUAUAUCCUUUCUCGUUCUCUUGCUUGGUAAGAACUGGGGCAGAUCAUAGAAGAAGAAGAGUUUGGAUUUGAUAUCCCGCUUUAUCACUACCCGAAGGAGUCUCAAAGCGGCUAACAUUCUCCUUUCCCUUCCUCCCCCACAACAAACACUCUGUGAGGUGAGUGGGGCUGAGAGACUUCAGAGAAGGGUGACUGGCCCAAAGUCACCCAGCAGCUGCAUGUGGAGGAGCAGAGACGCGAACCCAGUUCCCAAGAUUACAAGUCUAUCGCUCUGAACCACUACACCACACUGAUCAUAGGACAGGCUGACCUUGAAACUAGGCCAGGAGAAGUGCAAAUUUUGAAGGGUGAUCCAUGUUUUGACUGACACAUGGGUUUGAGACAUGGGAAUUAGGUAGUUUCUCAUUAAAAUGCAAACAAAAAUGCAAAUUUCUCCUUCAUUAUUUAUUAGCAUUACCUGUCUUUAUUAAAUUUGUAUAGCACCCUUCAUCUGAAGACCGCAGGUCACCAUAUCCAUACUUCACUGCAACUAUGGGCUCAAAUUACAGGAAGAAAGGUUUGGGUGGAAUGUUAGCAGCAAGGCAUGCCAACCCAGGACAGGUGGCAGGAUUCAAUCUUUCUCUCCUUCCCCCCAACUUGUUCCUGAUAUAGAUCUUCCCUCACCCCUUCUUAUUGGGCAGGGAAAGAGGUGUCGUUUUGGGGUCCACCUCAGGUGGCAAAAUGUCGUUGGUUGGCACCGGUCAGAAGUCAAUAGAAGCAUGGCCCCCCCCCGUCUGAUUCCACCAGGGUGGAAGGAGAUUUGGGGGGGGGGGUUACAGCUGGGGAGAGAAAGUUAAGCCUUCCUUUCCGAAGCUCUGACCACCCCCAUCAAAAGCAUCCGGAAUCAGACUUCAAAUAAGCCUGCUAUUGUAGUUAAUAGAAACUGGUUUGCUAAGCUUAAUUGAAGUGAGGGAGGGGUGAUUUGAGGUUUACCCUCCCCUGCCCUCCCCUGUAGUGGCCCCACCAAAAUCACCCUCUCUCCUGCUGCAACUGUAUAUGAGAGGAAAGUCUACUGUUGGCUCCUCAAUGGAAGGCCUUUUUCAUGGCUAAUUGUUGCAGGGAGUGGUUUUUCAAGAGACCGCAGCUGGUUUGCAAAUGUGCCCAUGCGCCCAUCAACAUUGCCAACCCCUGCAUUGAUCUUUAAGGUACCACAUAACUCUGUGGUGUUACCGUUGCAAAAUGACUUUCUCAGUUACCGCCCCACAAUUCUCUCUAUCUCUCCCUGUCUCUCGCCGUUUGUGCGAGUGUAAACUUUUAGAAGACACCAUCAAAUUAAAAAUUCUUUUCAGAAGCCUCUUUAAUAGAGGCUGGAAGCUAAGCGGAGAUUGAAUUUAAUUUAGGCCAAUUCUCUGAGCUUCAGAUAAAGGCCUUCUCUCUCUCUCUCGCUCCCCACCCCACUUUUUUUUCUUCUAAUCUAGUGGCAGGCCAGAUAAAAAUACCCCUCUUCUAUCCUGCAGGCAACUUUGUAUCCUGGCAGAGUGGAAAAUGGAUGUGGGCGGGAGGAGAAUAUAAUUGAGCGAAAGUUGCUGUAUAGAAAAAUGCACAUUGGAGGUGGAAAGUCUUUUGGGAUUGGGUGCGCUGCUUUAAUUUGCAUUUCUCAGUAUGUCUCCCUCGUGUUCCUUUAUGGAAUUGGAGCCAAUGUCUAAUUGCCAGGGACAGUCUUAGAAAGCAGCACAGGGGAGUUCAACCAGUGCUCCCUCCCCCCAAGAAAAAUAAAUUGUGGAACUCCCCAUGAAGUUCUUACAGUAAGUUGCCGGGCGACUCAGAGCAGCCCUGAACAGAUACUGGUUUGCAAACAACCUCAUUCACUGCCAUGGAGGUGCUAAAAACUACAGCAAACUGCCUCCCUAGCUGGUUUUGGGGGGGGGGGUCGCCCCUGGUUCUGGUCAAAUAAACAUGCCCCUGCCUCCCUCAUUCUCUUAGAUUCAGAUGGAUGACUAGGGCAGCUCAGAAGGACCCUUGCGCAAAUGCGCACAUGUGCCAUCGUAGAGGCCUGGCUGGAAUGCUUAAAGCCCACCACCGCUACAUGGGAGAUGGAAAAUAUGAACUGGCCUCUCCUCAUACCUUGACCAAUCGCAGCUAGGAGGAACUAGGAACUAGGUGGAAUCAUAGGUUUAAAAACGUGUAGACCUGCACACAAGGGACGUGGGUGGCGCUGUGGUGUAAACCAGUGAGCCUCUUGGGCUUGCCGAACGGAAGGUUGGUGGGUUUGAAUCCCCAUGACAGAAUGAGCUCCCGUUGCUCAGUCCCAGCUCCUGCCAACCUAGCAGUUCGAAAGCACGUCAAAGUGCAAGUAGAUAAAUAGGUACCACUGUGGCAGGAAGGUAAAAGGCGUUUCCGUGCGCUCUAGCUUCUGUCACGGUGUUCCGUUGCGCCAGAAGCUGUUUAGUCAUGCUGGCCACAUGACCCAGAAAGCUGUCUGUGGACAAACACCAUCUCCCUCAGCCUGAAAAGCGUGAUGAGCACCACAACCCCAUAGUCACCUUUGACUGGACUUAACUGUCCAGGGGUCCUUUACCUUUACCUUUUUAGACUUGCACACGCUGGCUUCCAUUUUGACUUGAAAUGCUCGUUUUGGGCUUUUUAGAAGUACGUAAAGGCAAGAAGCAGAUGGGGGGAGAUCCAGUCCACAAUGGCGCCCAUCUGAGAAGUGCCAGAACUGUGCUCUGGCUGGGGGGGAAGCAUUGAGUUCAACUGUUCUGUUGUGAAACAAGCAUGGUCCCUUGGAAAUGUCUGAGCUUCCUGCCUUUUUCUCCAUUUCAGUCAUCUAGUCCAGCCUUUGCAAACCUGGCACCCUCCAGAUGUUUUGGACUACAAUUGCCAUUGCUAAUUAAAGCUGCGGUACAAAACAUCUGGAGGGCAUCAGAGUCGGGAAGGCUGAUCUUGUAGGCUGAGCAAAAACAUAGUGAUAAGGUUAGUUUAUUUGCCUAAUUGCCACCUGUCUGUAUGCUGUUGUCCAUGCCGUUUUUGUUAUUAUUUUCCUUGGCUUGAGGCUCUGGCAGUAACUUGGUGGGGCUGCAUCUGUACGCGCUUUCAAGGUGAUUGGUUCCCUUGAAUGGAACGAUUUGAAAAACAUGAUAUGAAAAAUAAAAGGCCUGCCUAAGGCAGAUUCCUUUUUGAGGUGUGAAGUGCAAAGCUCUUCCGCUUUGAACGAAAUGAAAGCCUUGGCUCAUUGAAGACAUUACGAAGCUUCUAUAUUUGAAUACCGAGACAAAACACAUUGUUUUUCUUCUAAUUCUCCCAGAUUUAGGCCAGGCCAUGGAGGGAUGUAAACAGAAGCAAGAAAUCUCACUUUUGUAUGUGGUUCAACACAUUUAUAUACCACAAUAUGCAAACGAAAACACAGUCGUCGUUUGAAAUGUGCAUUUCUGUGAAUUGUGCAGUACAGGCCUCCAGGCCUGUAAUGUGUACAGAAAUACAUAUGCAAUAUCUUGAGAGGGGGCCAAACCUAUGACAAAAAAUGGGUGAAGUCACACAAAAGUUACACUUUGGUCUGCCACCUUGAUUCAGAAUGGAAGCUGGUGGUCCAAUAUCAAUGGAAACUGCCACACCUACCUCAGAAACCUUUGUGCUAAAUUUAGUGACAAUGUUUUGAGAGGCAGCCAAACCUAGACAGACAGACAAACCACUUCCCCAAAUAUAUAGUAGAGAUAGAGCAUAGAUCGAUCGAUAUAUUGAUAGAUAGAUAGACACCUCUGUCUGUCUAUCAUCUAUCUAUCAUCUAUCUAUCUAUAUCUGUCUGUCUAUCUAUCUAUCUAUCUAUCUAUCUAUCUAUCUAUCUAUAUCUAUCAUCUAUCUAUAUCUAUCAUUAUCUAUCUAUCUAUCUACCCUUCCCUCCCUAUUUAACGUCUUUCAAGAUUUAUCAAAAUAAUAGCAACACUUAAUCUGGGUUCUAUGAAAACAUAUAAUAAUAACAGUGUAUUUUAGUCAGGAAUUUAUUGGGAUAUGCAAUAAUGAUCCUCACAACAAAAUGACAUACAUCCACAAUAUCUAUAGUAUGGGCUCACCGGAGAAGUCAUUUUUCAAAAUUAAUUUCCUAGGACAUCUUAGCAAUUGUCUCCCGGCACUCUCAUGUGCCUCAAGAGCAAAGUUUAGUAACUACUUGCUUCCCACAAAGCAAAACUGGGUUACACUCAGGCUUAGAUGUGAUAAAACCAGGUUGCUAUUAACAGCAGACAGAUGUGGUGUUUCUGGGUCCCACUGGCGAUGUUCCUGAGGGCGACCAUUUAUGCGUCAACAUGAAAGGGGGAUAACAGAGUGCGCAGAUUUGCAUUUUAAAAAAUUGGUCGUGCCAACUUUCAAGCAUAUGAGAGAACAAUUUAGCGAAUCAUAGUUUCAGCAACUUAAAUUGAAAUGCAAUACAUCUCACCAAAGUGGGGGAGACUGGCCAGGUGACCUGUUUGCCUGCUCAGUUUUCUGCCCAGGUGCUCACAGCCCCAAGGCUCCUGUGCAGGGCUGUCUUAAGCAUAUGCUGCUACGGGGUGCAAAGAUCCGCCUGGCGCCCCCUCCCCCCCAGAUUGCCCAGUCCCAGGCGCACAGGAGUGUGGAGCCAGCCUGCCGCCUGAGCAUCUCGCUGGCUUGGUCGCCCCCAAACUCGUGACGCAGAAGAAGAGCCUGCCACGGCAAUCCGACCGACGGGCAGACUCUUCCCCGGACUCAACUCUCAGGCCCAGACUCUCAGCCUGGCGCCCAUGAGAGCCCGGCGCCUGGGUGCCCCGCACCCCUAGCGCCUAUGGGUAAGACGGCCCUGCUUCUGUGUUCCCUUAGUGUUAAAUUGAACUUGGACCAGACAGUCCUUUACUUGGAGGGAUUGUCUCCUGUUAAAGAGGCUCCUUUCCUUCUGCUUCUGAUAAUGCUAGAUUGACUUGGGGGGGGGCUAAGCACCUUGCAGCGCCUUUCUUCACCCCCGUUUCUCUCUGACCUAAUGGAUGUAGUCAUCCCUGCACAGAUGGUUUUGAAAAAAUACAUUACUGGCCAGUUCUCCCCUGAUCUCUGGGCCCUGAAUGAUGCUCCUAUUCAUGUUGCAAUCCUAGCACUCACAGUCCUUCCCCCAGCCUCAUUAUCUUUAAUUUAGUUGCCUCCGUCUAGCUGCGGUCAGUCCAUUUCAUCCUGCUCUCAGACCACAGCAUUUUCCCCAUCGGGAAACGAGAAAGCUAUGGCCAGCCCAACAAAGAUGCGGCAAUGCUCUGGACCUGACUUUCACGUAAGAAAGCGCCCCAGCCAUGCAGCCAUGGUUGUUGGGGGGUGACGGUGUCAAGGGGGACAGUUGCUCUCCCUGGAUGAUCCCUCACCUUCAGAUUCCCAGAUUCCCUUUUUUUAAAAAAAAUGGAGAAAAUUUCUAGUAUUUGUAGAAAAUGAGGUAUGGGGCAAAAUAUGCAUGCACUGUGUUCUCUCUCUUAGAAACUAGCUUCCCUCUUUCUUUCUUUCUUUCUUUCUUUCUUUCUUUCUUUCUUUAUAUAUAUUUGAUUUGAUUUUAUAUAGUAUAACCAUGUUACAAACAACAAUUCACAGUCCAGAUAUCGAGAUUACUCUGAAUCUCCUGACUUCCCCCCUUCCUUUCCAUGGGUCCUGAUGAUAAUAUUUGCAACUGCAUAUCAAUAUGUAUCCAAAUUUUUAUCCCCCUAAAUUACCCAAACUUUCUGUUACUUUACAAGUGUGGUUAAAAAUCCUGCCAAUGUUUUAACUUGCUUGCAUUGGUCUCGUAUGUAAAUCAUAAAUGUUUCCCAUUCUCUUUUAAAGUUCUUGCCUUCUUGAUUUCUGAGCUUCCUAGUUAGUUUUGCCAUUUCGGCAUAGUCCAUCAACUUGGUUUGCCAUUCUUCUCUGGUCGGGGUUGUUUCUUCCUUGCAUCUCUGGGCUAAUAGCAUCUGUGCAGCUGUUGUCACGUACAUGAACGGUUAGCUUCCCCCUUUCAAUGUUUUACUUUAUAUAGUCAUACCUUGGGUUACAGAUGCUUCGGGUUGCGCGAUUUCAGGUUGCGCACCGCGCCGAACCCGGAAGUACCGGAAUGGGUUACUUCUGGGUUUCGGUGUUUGCUCAUGCACAGAAGCGCUAAAUUGUGCUUUGUGCAUGCGCAGAAGCUCAGAAUCGUGACCCACGUGUGCACAGACACGGCGCUGUAGGUUGCGGAUGCUGUAGGUUGCGAAUGUGCUUCCCGCACGGAGCACGUUUGCAACCCGAGCGUCCACUGUACACACAGACUCACAUGGAAACAUUCCUAUAGACACCCAUCCAUGCCACAGACACCCCCAACACACAAUGCCAAAAGAAGAAGCAAGCUUGAGCCUAAUGCUACAACUGUUGAAAGACAGGCAAUAUUUUCAGUAGGCAAUAUUUCAUGUGAAUCCCCUGCGAUAGACAUGCACCCAGUUUUUAUAGGAAAGCAUCCUCUAAUUCAGAUGGAUGCUGGAGGCUUACUGCUGAAAAUGCCUCACUGAGGCAUAUGACGUGAGCACUUCCAGUGAUAUUUUCUUCUUGGUCUGAAGUUAAUUCUGUAUUAACUUUGCAUUUUGUCCUAGAGAAAUCCUUGAUAUUUGUGUAUUCCUGCAACAGGAGGACAGGACAGCCCAAGUGGGUUUUGCAAGCUCUUACGCUCACCUAGAAGACAAAUACCUUUGCUGCAUCUGAACGUAUUUCUCAUAAAUGUCAAUUUCAUUUCAAUAUCUCUCAGGACACUUGGAUAGCAUAUAUCGACUUAAUGUGCUUAAACUGAAAUGGAUGCGUUGGUGGGUUUUGUAGAACGGCUGUUUUCUUUUCCUUCCUGUCGUGUUUCUUUCUCUACUAUUGUUAACCAUGAGGAUUAAACCUUGCAGAGGCAGUCAAAAUCUCAGCUUCCCCUCCCCCCCCCCGCUCUAGUGGGAUAACAUUGAACUAAGAAAGCUUGAUUGUAGUUUCCUUUCAAGUUUAAAUCAAUAUUAUUUUGAUCCAUUGUCGCAGCGUCCCUAAAAGGCAUGGGGCCCAUAGGCUGGAGCCUGCUCUGCCUAUUUGGUAAUCCGGCAGGUAGGGGAAGAAUUACCGUAUUUUUUGCUCUAUAAGACUCACUUUUUCCCUCCUAAAACAUAAGGGGAAAUGUGUGUGCGUCUUAUGGAGCGAAUGCAGGCUGCGCAGCUAUCGCUGGAGCCAGAACAGCAAGAGGGAUUGCUGCUUUCACUGUGCAGAGAUCCCUCUUCUGAGGGCUUCUGAGAUUCAGAAUUUUUUUUCUUCUUGUUUUCCUCCUCCAAAAACUAGGUGCGUCUUGUGGUCUGGUGCGUCUUAUAGAGCAAAAAAUACAGUAAUCGUUCAAUUCCACCUUCUGCUUAUCCACUGAAAUCACCUAUUUUCAUCCUGCCAGUUGGAGGGUGUUCAGCAGAAACCUCAGUUGUCUAUUUUUCGCACUUCCCCAAAUGUUGUGAUGCAGCUUUCCAGCCAUAAAAUGCGCGUGCUCCCAGGGCAGGGGGGAUUUUUCCACUUGCUGGUGGUAUGUGCACAAGAGGGGCUCCAGGUGAAUUUCCUCUGCAAGCAGUGAAGGUUCCGCUGUGGCGGUGCCACCCCCCAAAAGGCCCUGUAAGGUUAAGAAGGGGGAUGCAUUUUUAACGUACUGUCACCACAACAAGCCUUUCGGAAAGAAAGGCGAUGAGUGUUAUUAAUAAAAUAAAUAUGACUGUCAAGUGAGAGAAAUAAUGUGUUAGUGAAUGGGGAGGAAAAUGCAUUAGGGUAGGAGCACCCUCUGUUCCCAAGUGGUACAGAUGAAAAUGACUAAUUAAAGAAUAAUAUUUCAUUGGCUGCCAACUCAAUCAAAGUUUAGAUAGACAAACCAGCAAUUACAGGAAGGAGAUAAUCAGUUAUGCAUUUAAAAGACUAUCUGCCCAGCAACUUGUCCUUUAAUUAGAUGUGCAAUUUUGAAAGAAAGGGGGGGUGGAUUGUUCGGAAGUGAAGGAAAAGCAAUAAUCAUAUGAAGAGUGAAGCCUCGGUUGGGUUUAUCUCCAUCUAACAGGAACCAAUUAAAACACAACAAUAAAUCACAAUUGUUUAGAUUGUGUUCCGUGAUUGCAAUUAAAAACACUGCAUUAGCUACCACAGAUGGAAAAAGAUGGCCUAGAGAGAGAGAGAAAAGUUUUAAAAGUGAAUGAAUAAAUAAAUAAUACAUGUUUAAAAACCCAGAGGCGGUGCAGAUGUAGUUUUCCCUGAUAAACCAGUGUCUGGGUUAUAUUAUUUCUGCCUAUAUGGGGGGGGGGGUGUCACAUGACUGGUUGCUGCUCCCCCCUAAAAAACGCACACAAAAACCAGUUCCCUCCACAUAGAAACCUAGCCUGUCAAAAUGUUUAUGUUUAGAAAUUUGCGAUCAAAUGCUGACAAAUUUUCAUGGGGGAGUUGAAUUUAGGAAUGGAAAAAUGAGAAACUGAAAGAACUAUUCUCCCAGUUAUCUAACUUUCCACGUGCAGGGAUUUUUGGGGGGAUUUAAUCAGGCUAGUUGCCACAAAAUGCUGUGUUGCUUCUUCUAGAGGGGUAGCAGUACAUCUUGGACAGUGUUGUGUGUGUGCUGUGAUCCACCUCAGUGAGUUCUCCUUUGCUCUCCUAAGCUCCUGCACCUACCCGUACGGGUAUCUCUCUUUCAUGACAGUCCCGUAAGCCACUUUAGGAAGGCUCCUGGGGGCAGCUUAUGCCAGGGCAGGGAAGCUGUGGCCCUCCAGAUUUUGUUGUUAGACAGGGGCGAAUCUUUCAAAUCCCAUUUCUUUCAGUUUCUCAUUUUCCAUUCCUAAAUUCAACUCUCCACAUUUUCNNNNNNNNNNNNNNNNNNNNNNNNNNNNNNNNNNNNNNNNNNNNNNNNNNNNNNNNNNNNNNNNNNNNNNNNNNNNNNNNNNNNNNNNNNNNNNNNNNNNCACACGAAGAGGGGCAAGGUCCGAGGCAGAGAGCCGGGCGGGGAACAGGAAUGCUGGAACAGGAGGCUGUGCAGGGAACAGGAACACCGGAUGGUCGGGAACAGGAGGCCGAGCAGGGAACAGGAGUACCGGAUAGUCAGGAACAGGAAGCCGAGCAGGGAUCAGGAACACAGGAAGGUCCGAAGCCAACAACGACGUUGCUCCCGCAACCUGGGGCCGGGCUGACUGGGCUUUUAUCCUCUUCUAAGGCCAGGGGCGGUCCCGGUCCCCAGGAGCCCCGCCUCCUCUGGCCUUAAGGCGAGCACUCCUCCUGGGGGCAACCAGUUCCCUUCGCCUCUCAGCCCUAAGCCUCUGCAGAUCAGGAGAGGCCGAAGGGUUACUGGGCCCUGGAGGAGGCUCACCUGUGGCCACUGAGUCAUCAAGCCCCUCUGGGGCCCGAAGGGCUUCACCUGGGGCCAGCUCCUGAUGCACUGCCACAGGUGCAGGCUCUUCAGCAUCAAGGCCUUGCCCCAGUUCAGCCGGCCCUGGAGGCGGGGACUCCUGUGCAGGCCGGGACUCCUCUGUUUCAUCCUCCGAAUCGGAAUCCCAGGCCAUCACACCAUCCCCCCUCCCAGGCCCCCCCCUCAACCGAGGGUCCGGACCCGGCUUGCCGGGAUACGUCGCAUGGAACUCUCGGAGGCAGGCAGGUGCAUGGACAUUGGCCGCUGGUUCCCAGGAACGGUCCUCCGGUCCGUACCCCUUCCAGUCAAUGAGAUACUGCAGCUUUCCCUGCGGUAUCGGGAGUCCAGGAUGCGUUCCACCUCGUACUCAGGCUCUCCCGAACCAACACUGGCUGCGGUCGGGGACGGUUCUGGUGGAACUCGUCGGGUGGGGCCACCGGACUCAAAAGGGACCUGUGGAAGACCGGGUGAACCUUCAGGGUUGCGGGUAACCGGAGACGGAAUGCCACAGGAGAGAUUUGGUCUACGAUAGGGAACGGGCCGGUGAAGCGGGCGUCCAACUUCCGCGACGGUCGAGAGGGGUGGAGGUGGCGAGUGGAGAGCCAAACCAGGUCACCGACGCGCAGUUCCGGCCCCACCUGGCGGUGGCGGUCGGCCUGGGCUUUGUACGCUUCCUUGGCCUGGUGCAGUUGCUCCACCAAAAGCUGUUGCUGGGACUGGAGCUCCUGAAGCCACUCCGUCACCGCCGGGACCGCGGAUGCCGGCAGCACCUCUGGAAACAGCCGUGGAUGAUAACCAUAACUGGCCUGGAACGGGGUCUGCUGGGUGGACGCAUUCACCGCGUUGUUAUAGGCGAACUCCGCCAAUGCCAGGUGGUCGACCCAGUCAUCCUGCUGGUAGCUGCAGUAACACCGGAGGUACUGCUCCAGCACCGCGUUCGCCCGUUCCGUCUGGCCAUCGGUCUGUGGGUGGUAGGCUGACGAGAGGCAGACCUCUGUCCCGAGGGUCUGGUGUAAUGCUCGCCAGAACCGGGAUGUGAACUGAACGCCCCGGUCGGACACCACGCGCUCAGGUAGUCCAUGCAGGCGGAAGACAUGCUGAAGGUACAGCUGAGCAGUUUCCUUGGCUGUGGGUACAGAUGGACAGGGAGCGCAGUGCACCAUCUUGGUGAAAUGGUCGGAGAAAACCAGAAGGCAGGUACAGCCACGAGACGAGGGUAAGUCCACUACAAAGUCCAACGAAACUGUGUGCCAAGGGCGCGGUGGAACUGGCAAUGGCUGAAGUAGGCCGGGGGGGUCGCCCGGUAGGCCCCUUGGCGCGUCGGCAGACUUCACAACCAGCAACGUAGCGAGCCACGUCAGCCUUCAGGCGGGGCCACCAAAACUCACGACUGACCAGAUGGGUGGUCCGAUACCGUCCAAAGUGCCCCGCUGCCGGGGCAUCAUGGGCCAUCCGGAGAACCUCCAGCCGCAGUGGCCCUGGCGGGAUGCUACAGACGACCGUGGUGCAGCAGGAGGCCCUGAUGCAGGACCAGCCCCGGAUACUGUGGGCUGGACCCUUCAGCCAGCUCCCGGAGUCGUUCCUGGGCCCAAGCGUCGACCCGCUGCUGUUCCCGCACCCGAACCUGCAGUGGCUGCGCCUCCUGGGUGGCCAGGAAUGCGGCCGGAGGUAGGAUCGUGGCGGGUUCUGCUUGCUGUACCGUGUCUGCGUUGUCUUCAGGUUUCCGGGACAGGGCAUCCGCCUUCAGAUUCUGAGAGCUAGGGAUGUAGCGGAUCCGAAACUGGAACCGGGAAAAGAACAACGCCCACCGGAUCUGUCUUUGGUUCAGCUUGCGGGUGGUCUGGAGGUACUCCAGGUUCCGGUGGUCGGUUCUUACCUCCACCGGAUGUCGUGCCCCCUCAAGAUGGUGGCGCCAGACCUCAAAGGCUACCUUGAUGGCCAGUAGUUCCCGCUCCCACACAGUAUAGUUACGCUCCGCUGGUAGGAGCUGGCGGGAAUAGAAGGCACAGGGUAAGAGUGGCGCUUCGGGCCCAAUCUGUUGAGACAAGACGGCACCGAGAGCCGUACUGGAGGCGUCGGUCUCCACCACAAAGGGUCGAGAGGGGUCAGGAUGUUGUAAGAUUGGUGCCCUCUGGAAACAGGCCUUCAACCCCUGAAACGCCUCCUCUGCCUCCUUGUCCCAGGAAAACGGCGUCUUUGGGCGCAGUAGCCGGGUCAACGGGGUGGUGCGAUGAGCAUAAUCAGCGAUGAAGGUCCGGUAGUAAUUGGCGAACCCCAGGAAACGUUGUAGGUCCUUGCGGUUCCGGGGUGCCGCCCAUUCUUGAACCGCUGUCACCUCCCCGGGUCCAUUUGCACCCCAUCCGGAGAGAGCCGGUGACCAAGGAAGUCCACAGUCCGCUGAUGGAACUCGCACUUGCUGAGCUUUGCGUACAAACGGUGCUCACGCAAGCGCUGCAGCACGGUCCGGACAUGUCCCUCAUGGCGAGCCGGGUCACGGGAGUAAAUCAGUAUGUCAUCCAAAUACACCACCACGUACUUGUCUAACAAGUCCUGAAACACGUGGUUGAUGUAGCGUUGGAACACAGCAGGCGCGUUGCACAACCCGAAAGGCAUAACCAAAUACUCAAACUGCCCGUACCGGGUCCCAAACGCUGUCUUCCACUCAUCCCCGGCUCGGAUCCGAAUCAAGUUGUAGGCCCCCCGGAGGUCCAGCUUGGUGAACACCUGUGCCCCUUGCACCCGCUCCAGCAGCUCCGAGAUAAGGGGCAAGGGGUAUCGGUCUGGGACGGUAAUUUUGUUCAAGGCUCGGUAAUCAUGGCAAGGGCGGAGUUCCCCACAUUUCUUCUUAACGAAAAGCACUGGUGCCGCGGUAGGCGAGGUGGACGGCCUAAUGAACCCACGCUCCAGGUUCUUGCGCAAGAAGUCCUGCAAAGCCUCGCGCUCUGGCUCUGUUAGAGAAUAUAAGCGACUCACUGGUAGAGGCGCUCCGGGUUGGAGGUCUAUGCCGCAGUCAGAAGGCCGAUGCGGCGGCAGCUGGUCUGCCCCCCGUUCCUCGAACACGUCCUGGUAGUCCUGAUACACGGCUGGGAGCGUGGGUGCUGCCUCCUCUGAGGGCGCGGCCGCCAGCGUCCCGGAUUGAGCAUGGGAACAUGGGUCUGGGAAGUGCACGGUCCGUUUGACCCAGUGAAUCUGAACGUUGUGGGCUUCCAGCCAGUCCAUCCCGAGCACCAGGGGAAGCGGGGCAUAGAGGCAAUGUCCAAAGUUCGCAACUCCCGGUGCUGCUGGAAACACAGGACCAGGGGCUGGGUCUCCUGAGUAACGGCACCUGAACACAGAAGUCGUCCGUCAAUCGCUUCCACCUGGACCGGUACUGGCUUGUUCCAAGUGGCACCUGAUGAUGGGCGGCAAAGCAGCGUCCAUAUAAGAGCGGGUUGCCCCUGAAUCCACCAAAGCAUGGGUGGGGAUCCAGGGCCCACCUGGAGGGUAUAAACGUACCGGAACCAUAAGAUGUUGCGAGUCCAUUGAUGCAGGCCCAUUCUGCGCGGUUUGGGACCCCGGCAGCUAGGGCCAUCAGCUACUGGGGUUGGCGGUUUCCCUGCGGCUGGCGUUUCUCAGGGCAAGACCGAGCGAAGUGUCCACUUCCGCCACAGUAAAGACAGAGAUUUCCCUCCCGACGCCGCGCCUUCUCUGCGGGGAAAGGCGUGGCCGCACUGCCCCGAGCUGCAUAGGCUCCUCCGUUAAAUCAGUUGUGACCGUGGGGCUGCCGGAAAAAGCUGGUGCCGUGAACUGGAAGUGUCGGCGACCCCGGGCCUGACGACGAUCCUCCAACCGGUCGUCUAUUUGUAGACUCCGUUGAAUGAGAGUGUCUAGCGUGGUGGGGCGUUCCAUUGUGGCCAACUGGUCCAGUACCUCGUCCGAAAGCCCUUCGAGAUACUGGUCCCGCAGUGCCGAAUCAUUCCAGGUCAAGUCCUGUGCCAACAGCCGAAACUCCGUGGUAUAUGCGGCCACCGUGGACUUGCCCUGUUUAAAAACCCGAAUCGCCCGGUUGGCUUGACUCCCUUUCUGGGGGUUGCCGAACGCGGCCUCCAAACGAUUGCAAAACCCCGUAUAGUCUGCCAGCAAGGGGGAGUCUUGCCUGAGUAGCGGCAACGCCCACUUGGCCGCCUGGUCCUUUAACAAACUAAUCAAAAGUGCACCUUGGUGCGGUCGUCAGGAAAGUUCCGGGCUCGCCCCUGAAUAUACAGCUUGGCCUGGGCCAGGAACAUGGGAAAGCUGGCCGGGGCUCCAUCAAAUUUCUCAGGCAAAGCCACUGGGUACUUGCCAGGAGCCGGGCGUCGGCCCCCGGAGCCGGUAGGGCUUCCAAGCGUUGUUGAAGUGCCACAACCGCGUCACUGAGCUGCUGCACGGUGUGAGUCAAGGCCUGGUUCUUCUGGGCCAAAGCCACCAGUGCAGCCGCCUGGUCAGCCAUGGCCUCUGGCUCUUCCCGAACGCACCCCUACGAAGGGGAGUGCGGGUGUGGCGGGAGCAAACUGUGCUGGUCCCGGGGUGAGGUACCUUGGGUGUAGCAGAGUCCACACGAAGAGGGGCAAGGUCCGAGGCAGAGAGCCGGGCGGGGAACAGGAAUGCUGGAACAGGAGGCUGUGCAGGGAACAGGAACACCGGAUGGUCGGGAACAGGAGGCCGAGCAGGGAACAGGAGUACCGGAUAGUCAGGAACAGGAAGCCGAGCAGGGAUCAGGAACACAGGAAGGUCCGAAGCCAACAACGACGUUGCUCCCGCAACCUGGGGCCGGGCUGACUGGGCUUUAUCCUCUUCUAAGGCCAGGGCGGUCCCGGUCCCCAGGAGCCCCGCCUCCUCUGGCCUUAAGGCGAGCACUCCUCCUGGGGGCAACCAGUUCCCUUCGCCUCUCAGCCCUAAGCCUCUGCAGAUCAGGAGAGGCCGAAGGGUUACUGGGCCCUGGAGGAGGCUCACCUGUGGCCACUGAGUCAUCAAGCCCCUCUGGGGCCCGAAGGGCUUCACCUGGGGCCAGCUCCUGAUGCACUGCCACAGGUGCAGGCUCUUCAGCAUCAAGGCCUUGCCCCAGUUCAGCCGGCCCUGGAGGCGGGGACUCCUGUGCAGGCCGGGACUCCUCUGUUUCAUCCUCCGAAUCGGAAUCCCAGGCCAUCACACUUAGGUUCUUAAAUGUAUUUUUUUGCAUGGACAAGUGGAGUCCCCCCAACCCCAGGCGACCCCCGAGUGGAAUAAUGACUCAAGACAACGUGCUAUGGGAUUAAAAUUGGCCACAACUUUAUUAAGUUUCAGAUGUAGGGAGACCUUGGCUCAGGCAUUGGGCAUUUAUCCUUCCCAGUCCCCAGUCUGGAGCUGACUGCCGCUUCGCAGGUAAGAUUCACCUUCUGUUGUGUGGGCAGGACGGUCCCUCCCCUUACCUGGCCAAUCCCCUGGCAAUGCCUCCCCAGGCGGGAUUGGGCGAUUGGCACAGGAAAGCGGAGACCUCCAGGUAUCCAGCCUGGGGAGGAUGAAGCCAGCCUGAACUCCCAGGAACCGCACUGGGAUCCAGGGGGCUGCGCGCGACCACGCAAAAGGCGCCCCCAUUUGAUGUGGGAGCAGUCAUUCUUGGAAACUUACUCAGCUGCAAGGAAUUGUGUUCUGAGAGGUCUUCGUGGGAAAUUAUUCCACAGCACAGUUUGAAACACUGUUCACAGGCUGAGAGCAAAUCAAUAUGGAUAUACGAUGCAAAGUGCUGUUUCUCCUGGUAACAUGAUAACUUGUGCCACAAUGAAGCAAUGGCCCAUUCAGAUUUUCCCCCGAAGGCUCCAGGAUUAAUAAUAGGGAUUUUUGUUUUUCCUAUCAGCAUUCUACACUGUUGAUACCAGAAAUGGGCUGCACAAUGAUAAAUGUAUGCAAUGUGUUGUCUCCAAUGGUGGUUUUCCCCAGACACUUAGCUCCGAUAAAGCUUCUGCUCAUGCAAAGAAGGGCACUCAGUUUUAAGCAAUCUCCCCAUCCUGCUGCAUACUCCCCAAAAGGCUGUUCUUGAGGGUUGGGGGUGGGGAGGGAACCUACCAGAACUACAUGGGAUAAGAUACAAUGGACUACAAGUAGGAAGGAUUGAUGAAAAUGAGGUGCCUUGCUUCCCAUGAGCUUUAAAAUUAGGAAGGGCUAUAGCUCCGUGCAAUGACAAACCUAGACAGCAUCUUAAAAAGCAGAGACAUCACCUUGCCAACAAAGGUCCGUAUAAAGCUAUGGUUCUCGCAGUAGUAAUGUAUGGAAGUGAGAGCUGGACCAUAAAGAAGGCUGAUCGCCAAAGAAUUGAUGCUUUUGAAUUCUGGUGCUGGAGGAGACUCUUGAGAGUCCCAUGGACUGCAAGAAGAUCAAACUUCUCCAUUCUGAAGGAAAUCAGCCCUGAGUGCUCACUGGAAGGACAGAUCCUGAAGCUGAGGCUCCAAUACUUUGGCCACCUCAUGAGAAGAGAAGAAUCCCUGGAAAAGACCCUGAUGUUGGGAAAGAUUGAGGGCACAAGGAGAAGGGGAUGACAGAGGACGAGAUGGUUGGAUAGUGUUCUCGAAGAUACCAGUAUGAGUUUGAACAAACUGCGGGAGGCAGUGAAAGACAGGAGUGCCUGGCGUGCUCUGGUCCAUGGGGUCACGAAGAGUCGGACACGACUAAACGACUAUACAACAACAACAUAGCUCAGUAGUAGGGCAUAUGCUUGGCGUGCAGAAGGUCCUAGUUCAAUCCCCAACAUCUCCAGGUAGGGCUUGGAGAGACCCCUGUCUAGAACCCUGGAGAACCACUGGCACCCACCAACCCCACCUAUAGCAUGGUCAGUGGGGAUGAAAGCAUUCCCCUUGCUCUGAAUAGGCUUUGACCAUUGAUUGGCUAGAAUCGUUCAGGUGGCUGGCCCAGAAAGCACUGCCCUCACUCUCAACUGGCUUGGUUUGACCUUGCGGCAACUCGAGCACAUAGCCAAGCUGCGUCAGCAGCAACCAAGUCAGCUCCUGCAGGAUGCGGUAAGCACAUUGCAAAAGUGUGACCAGAACAGAAUGCCGUGCCCCCCAGAACCAUUUUUUAAAAAUGGUGCCCAAUAGCGGAAACAGCAGACGAUUUUGAAAACAGGUGAACAUUUGCACAGUGAAGAGUUGCUCCCUGAACCCCCAUGUGAAAAUCAAAAUAGGCAAACAUUCAGUGCAACCCUACAAUGUAUAAAAGACCACUUAUGGCCCCUGCGAAUCCUUUGAAACUUUGAAAUAUUAUCCUUUGAAGCGGUUCCUUGCUGGCCAGAUAUAGCAUUUUAAUUGUUUGGGUGAAUGCAUCAGCCAUCGGAAUGCAAGGUCUGAAAACCUUCAUGUCUAAUUAGAGCUGCGAAGUGAGAGAUGCCAAAGGGUAUGGGGAGAGUCCUGCCGUCUAUUUUUGUUUGAUGGCUACGACACGUUUCUUGUUUUAUCUGCCAUUACACCAAACAAAGGUCUCCUGGAGGAGAAAGACAAAGGAGGACACAACCAAUUCUAGCUAUUCAAGUCUUAACUGCUGUAUAGGAAAAACUAAUUACAAAGAAAACCCCUAGAGUCAGCUGAGCACUUCCAACAGGGAGUUUCCAACCAAGAGGAACAAGAGACAAAUGUUCCCUGGGAUCAAACCAAUAACUAAAGUGCACAUUAAAAAUAUUUUUCAUUCAUGUCUAUUUCAGGAAGCUAUUUCCCCCCACCCUCUCCGCUCCCUGGUUGGCCACUCUCCCCUGCCUGGUCUCAGUUGCACAAAUUGUCCUACAGCCAAAGUCUUUGGAAGAGUGCCACCAAUUUUCUGAACUGUGAAUACGUUCCCUAUUCUGGGUGGAAAGGUUUUGACUGUUACAGUGGAGUCCUGCCUUUUGACAUACUGUACUCCAGGAAUAUCCAAGGUAUUGGCUCCCAGAAGCUGUUGGACUGCAACUCCCAUCAUCCCUCAUCAUUGGCUAUCCUGGCUGGGGCUGAUGGAGUCCAGCAACAUCUGAAGAGCAUCACUUGGCUUGCCAAGGUUCUACACAAGAGGAAUUUAACUUGGUGCUAAGAUGAUUGCUCCAUCGCCGCUGUGCUGGUCCCGUGGGCUAACCGAGAGGUGAGGUCCGAGUCCAGUCCGAGGUUGAAGGUGCAGUAUGGAGGCAGUCCGAAGAAGUUGAAGCUGGAUGCAGGGCAGGUAGUCGGGUGAGAUCAGGAGCUCCGGCAGGAUAGCAGGACAGGGCUUAGGCAGGAACUGACAACCAACAACAUUGCUCCUGCAACCUGGGACUGGGGCUGGCUGGCUUUUAUCUGCCCCAAGGCAUAGGGCAGCCCCGGUCCACAGGUGACUCGCCUCUCCUGGCCUGGAGGCGAGCACUCCUCCUGCAGGAACUUAGUUCCCUCCGCCUCUCUGCCCUGAGCCUCUGCAGCUCAGGAGAAGCUGGAGGGUUACCGGACCCAGAGGCAACCUCAGCUUCCUCUGACAGGGCUGAGAGUGGAGCACCUGCAGGCAAUGGGUCCUACACCCCCUCAGGAGCCAGAGCAGACCCAGCACCUGAGGAUCCAGCACAGGUGAGGACCCUUCGGGCUCAUGCCCCAGCCCCAGCUCAGCUGGUUCUGGAGGCGGGGAAUCCUGUGCAGGCUGGGCUUCCUCAGGUUCAGCAUCCAAAUCCAAAUCCCAGGCCAUCACAGCUGCAAGCAUUGGAUUAUUUGAUGUAUAUAUGUAUAUGCAACAAAGGUCCGUAUAGUUAAAGCUAUGGUUUUCCCAGUAGUGAUGUAUGGAAGUGAGAGCUGGACCAUAAAGAAGGCUGAUCGCCAAAGAAUUGAUGCUUUUGAAUUAUGGUGCUGGAGGAGACUCUUGAGAGUCCCAUGGACUGUAAGAAGCUCAAACCUAUCCAUUCUGAAGGAAAUCAGCCCGGAGUGCUCACUGGAAGGACAGAUCCUGAAGCUGAGGCUCCAAUACUUUGGCCACCUCAUGAGAAGAGAAGACUCCCUGGAAAAGACCCUGAUGUUGGGAAAGAUGGAGGGCACAAGGAGAAGGGGACGACAGAGGACGAGAUGGUUGGACAGUGUUCUUGAAGCUACCAGCAUGAGUUUGACCAAACUGCAGGAGGCAGUGGAAGACAGAAGUGCCUGGCGUGCGCUGGUCCAUGGGGUCACGAAGAGUCGGACACGACUAAACGACUAAACAACAACAAAUGCACCAUUCAGGAGGGAGAACUGGGAGAUUGUUCCAUCAAGCAACGGUGUUCUGGGGGUUCUCCUGACCUCUCCCAGCCAAUUUGGGUGGCAAGUGCAGAGGGGGGGGGGAGAGGCGGGAGCCCACUGUACUAGCAGAAGCCCCUGCAUGUUAUGAUUAUGUAUUGGGAGUAGAAGUAGUUUGAUGCCCUCCAGGAUGAUAGCUUGCUCUGGUGUAGAUCCGGGCCCCUCUCUGGUGAGAGAUGGGUGAGAAGUAUUACAUGCUUCAGCAGAUGUGGGGCACGAGUCCAUUAGGCCUUGAGAUUGGGAGAGUGUCUUUCAUGUGCAUGCUUGACUGUGGCCCUCUGAAUGUGGCUCAUUCAUUUAUUUGAAAACUCACAGGAGGCAAGGCACCUCAUUUUCUGCUAUGAAGCUCCCCCCACUAAGGUGCAUCUGUAAAACACGGAGCCGUCACUUUAGCUCCUUAUAUGGCCAGCGAUUCUCACGCUAUCUCUGUGCUCCAGAAAUAUCGCCGGAUGGUAUUAAGCAUCUGCCUGUUUGUUUGAUUGUUUGCUUGCAGCUUAAGGGGACACCUUCACAGCCAAGCUAAGCUCAUUGCUCAGUUCUGCCCUAUCAGCAACAGAACUCAUUACGAUGCUACUUCAGCGCCCCGGUUUGCUCCUGCACUUUGAUCAGCAAAGAUUAAUUGACCCAGACUGAAUUAAUAGUGGUGAUUAAACUAAAUGGGACCGCAAUAUGACCGAGUUACAGCCUUGCCAACAUGACCAUUCAGAAGAGGUUCCUUUAUGCAUGAUUUCUUCUUAAUCAUUAUACACUAAGACUUUAUUAUGGUGUUCUAAUUAGGGAGACACAGCUAAUAUACACUAACCAUUACAGUCCGUGGCAUAACUUAGCAAAUUAUGCAUAAAGUGGAUGUCUUGGAUACUUGGCAUAGAACUUACUGUGGAAGCCUCUUGAGCCUCUUGGGCUUGCUGAUCAGAAGGUCAGAGGUUCGAAUCCCCACGAUGGGGUGAGCUCCCGUUGCUCUGUGCCAGCUCCUGCCAACCUAGCAGUUUGAAAGCACGCCAGUGCAAGUAGAUAAAUAGGUACCACUGCAGAGGGAAGGUAAACAGUGUUUCUGCGUGCUCUGGUUUCCAUCACAGUGUCCCAUUGUGCCAGAAGCGGUUUAGUCAUGUUGACCACAUGACCCAGAAAGCUGCCUGUGAACAAACGCUAGCUCCCUCGACCUGAAAGUGAGAUGAGCGCCACAACUCCAUAGUCGCCUUUGACUGGACUUAAUUCUCCUUUACCUUUUUUACCUUUAUUGUGGAAGCUCUGGAAUGGCAGUUAAAGAUGGUAUUGCUGAGGUUGGGUUUGCUUAGGUACCCCUUGGUUAGAUCCCACACAAGGACCUGAGAGCAGCAAGGCUGAUUUAGCUGUGUUCUCACAUAUGUCAGGGUGAGGGGAGAGGUAAGCAAGGCUAGAUUUCUCUUGUGAACUGCCCUGAUAUCUUUUGAUGAAGGGCAGGAUAUGAAUCUAAUAAUAAUAUAAUAAGAUCAGGUCGGCAAGAUCUAGCUGAAUUGCUACAGAGAGAGAGAGAGAGAGAGAGAGAGAGAGAGAGAGAGAAAAUAUCCUGGUUAUCAGGUUGAGGAGAAUCCAAUCCAGACACAAGGAAUCAGGUAAAAGAAGCACAGUUGGCAACAUUGGAAAAAUGAAGAAAGCAGAGGUUCUGUCCUAGAAUUACUUAGUCAGCAAAAUCAAGAACAGUCAAAGAAUGUCCUGUAGUUCCUUCCUCCAACCAGCAAUGAGGGGAGCUAGUGCCCAAUUCGCCAACACUUGUCUUUGAAAGACAUGCAGUGAGGGGUAUUACUGAAUCUCUUUCGGAAGGGCAAACUAAACCUGACUGGAAUCUCACAAAGCGGAAGGAACUCUUCUCCUGCACCCUCCUUCCAUUUGAAUUAGGCAGGUGAACUUUACAUACAUCUCCAUCGUAUCUUGAGUUCUUCCAAAGAGGGAUUAAGCUUUGUGUCAGAAAAGGUGUGCAGCUCUGCAAACGCUGAACGGUGGCAUUUAUGUAAUUUUAUGCUCAAAGUACAUGCAACGAAAUCAAUGGACUUACUUUAGCCCAUUGAUUUCCAUGGGUUUACCCUGAGUAUGACUAACGUUGGCCAUCCCCUGCUGAGUCCUGGUAUCCCAGUUGUCGAUGAGUUUCUACCCGAAUUCCAGUCUUUUGUUCUUUGAGACUGCCCCAUUCUGCAAUUUCUUGUAACAAUAUUUUGUGCAUUACUAUUCUACGCUAAAUUUCUUGUUCCCGCACAUGUAUGACUAAUGUGGUAGUUGCUGCUGAGUCCCCCAAUGCUUAACAAGCAACAUUUUAGCUGCUGCUGUCUAACUUUUCUGCCUUAUGAUGUUAAUCUGAGAGCCAGUGUGGUAUAGUGGUUAAGAGUGGUAGAUUCGUAAUCAGGUGAACCAGGUUCGCGUCCCCGCUCCUCCACGUGCAACUGCUGGGUGACCUUGGGCUAGUCACACUUCUCUGAAGUCUCUCAGCCUAAUUCACCUCACAGAGUGUUUGUUGUGGGGGAGGAAGGGAAAGGAGAUUAUGAGCCGCUUUGCGACUCCUUUGGGUAGUGAUAAAGCGGGAUAUCAAAUCCAAACUCUUCUUAAUAAGAAGAAUUUGGGGGGGAAACUUCUGUAGUCCAGCCACACAGGGCCAGCACUCCUCUCAGAGCUGACGCUGGUCUACAUUCAAGCUGCACUUGCAACCUCCACCAGGUUUAGUCAGGUAACCCUGGUGCAGUGGGGGCCUCAAUCACUGAGGAAUCCAACCAAGUGAAAUGCCUAAAGCAAUCUGGUGGCAGCUAAGUGUUAGUUACAUUGCAUUGUGAUGUUACCGCACGGUCCUUGUUUGGGUGAAGUCACAUGUGUUGGGAAACUGUGUAUGUGCAGCUACUCACACAGAGUCAAUUAAGGUUUGGCAGACAGCCAGAAGGCAAUCUGAAGGAGUAAGUCUGCCUGGUGAUAACAGAGACAUGGAGACCGCUCCCUGAUUGGUCAAGCUCUCUCAAGGGAGUGAUAAUUAAUGGCCUACUAACUGGAAUGUGUUAGUUCAGAGUUCAGAGGUUCAGAGUUCCGUGUGUCAGUGUAGGAGUUUAGAGUUGUGUCAGAGUGAGCUAGCUAAAGAUCCGUGUUCAGUUCCUGUAAAUAGUCCACUGUAUAUAAUAAACACCUAACUACAAGUUCCUGGUUCCUGCUUCGUCUAUCCUGUCUCAGCAGCCAAGUCGCCAAUUGCUUCCGUGGAUUUUGCGUUUACUCUGCUAGGUCUGGCUAAGGUUCUGCAACUAGUCAGAAAGUUGCAAAACACCAAAUAGGUUUUGCCAAUAACAUGUCAUUAACCAGGAAGGAGCCGGGGAAAUAACAGCCACCCUGUCUUAAGUAGAAUAUGUAAAAACACUAACCUGAGGUUCAUUCUCAUUUAACUCAGUGGGGCUUACUUCUGAGUAGCAUACAUAGGAUCACACAGCCAACACUUUGGGGUGGAUUUUCUGCACCAAGAAAACUCGCCAGUUUUCAUCUAAACAUCGGGCGAGGAGAAUAUUUAAUGCAUCUCUCAUUAAAUUUAAUAUCCUGUUUUCAUAAAGGCGAGAGGAAGGCACUCCAAUGGCUUUCCCUUCCAUUGCAGCGGGACAGGGGCAACGGCAUGCAUCUUGUUAAACAAAAGGCAAUUAUGUCCAUUAGCAAUCCUGGCAGAAGGACGCCGCAUAAUAUCGCGGCCCACAACGGGUCUCAUUUGGGAGGGCCACUUCGCACGGGGCCUUUGAUAGCUGUUUCCCCCCCCCCUUCCAGUUUGAGAAGCCACGCUGUAAUUUUGUAUGAAAUUCAAGAUCAGUGCGUCUAUAAUAUCUUAUGAAUAAUUUACACCAACAGCCUUUCUGUGGCAGAAAGACUAAACUAAUUAGGACCUGAAGGAAUUUCCAUGUGUUUAAGCCGCAUUAUAUCUUCAAGGUUCUACCAGUUCAAAGUCACCGAGUCUAACUUCGGGCUUCUUAUGUGUUAAUGGCACUGGGAAAAACAAGUUCCGUGCCCUUGUUUUAGCCUGAGAUGCGGAACAGCUAAUGAGCAGGGACAGCAUGAGUAGCCAGAGUAGGAGCACCUCUAUCUGCUUAUCAGCACAUUGAAUAAGAAUCUGCAGGCUUGACGGGAAUGAAAACUGCUUGGGAGCAACUUUAUACCCAUCCCUCCCCUCGACUUGACAGAGGAGGGGACAUUGGAUAUCAGGAAUGGGUAAGGCUUCGCUGAAAACACACACACACACACACACACACACACACAAAAUGUGGCCAUUUGCCACUUGAGGGCUGUUAAUAAUAAUAAUAAUAAUAAUAAUAAUAAUAAUAAUAAUUUAUUAUUUAUACCCCGCCCAGCUGGCUGGGCUUCCCCAGCCACUCUGGGCAGCUUUCAACAAAAUAUUAAAAUGCAGUAAUGCAUCAAACAUUAAAAGCUUCCCUAAACAGGGCUGCCUUCCGAUGUCUUCUAAAAGUCUGGUAGUUGUUGUUCUCUUUGACAUCUAAUUGGAGGGCGUUCCACAGGGCGGGUGCCACUACCGAGAAGGCCCUCUCCCUGGUUCCCUGUAACUUGGCUUCUCGCAGUGAGGGAACCGCCAGAAGGCCCAUGGCGCUGGACCUCAGUGUCCAGGCAGAACGAUGGAGGUGGAGACGCUCCUUCAGAUAUACUGGCAAGGAACCUAAGGAGAGACCUGAUGGAUCAGGCCAAUGGCCUGUCUAGACCAGCAUCCUAUGUUCACAGUGGCCAAACAAAUGCCUGCGGGAAACCUGUAAGCAGGAUCUGAGCACAAGAGCAUUCUGUGGUUUCCAGCAACUAGUAUUCGGAAGCAUGCAGCUUCCGAUCGUGGAGGCAGAGCAUAGCCAUCAUUUUGCAUGAUUUAAGAAGUCCUUUGGGGGGUUGGCCCCAACUCAGGGUUACCCAUGCACAGUGCUUUUUUCUGGGUGUAUGCAGGGAUACGCAUACCCCUAAACAUUUUGUGUGUUUUUUAAAUCAUUUUUAUAAAAUUUUCCAUUUUAACAAUCCAAUCAAAUCACAUUAAAUAUUCCAAAUUAUACAUAUACAUAUCAAAUAAUCCAAAUAUUCUGCCAAAUUAUAAUUAUUUUUUUAGUGGGACUUCCCAUGCUUCAAGUUCGGAGGGUUAUGAUCAUCUCAUAUCUUUACUGCUUUUCAUAGUCAUUUCCAGUGGUUCCGCUAAUUCUUCUUGUUGUUGACCUUCCUUCUUUCACGGCCUCUGAGUUGUUCCCACAAGCGAGUUGAAACAAGCAAUGAUGUGUCUCUGUGUGGAUUUUUACCCCUAAACAUUUUGUGAAUCUUUGUACUUUUGUCCAUUUACUGUAUUUAUUUUUCCCAAUUUGAACUAUAAAUUUGUAAUUUUCUUCAGUCAAAAUUACACCUAAACAUUUUUUUUAGAAGGAAAAAAAAGCACUGCCCAUGCGUAGAGGUUUAAAAUGAAGGUAUGAACUGUACACCGAACCUUUCCCAUGUAGGAGGGGUUGACAGAGCACAUGCUUCGCAUGCAGAAUGUCCCUGGCAUUUCCAGUUAUAGAAUCUCAGGCGGCAGGACAUGGUCCAUAGCACUUGAAAAGCCACUGCCGAUCAGAGUAGUCGGUGCUGAAUCGUUGGGUCAGAUUGGCUCCUGGCAUAAGGCAGACUCAUGUGUUUAUGUUUUGACUUAUGGUGCUGGAGGAGACUCUUGAGAAUCCCAUGGACUGCAAGAAAAUCAAACCUAUCCAUUCUGAAGGAAAUCAGCCCUGAGUGCUCACUGGAAGGACAGAUCGUGAAGCUGAGGCUCUAAUACUUUGGCCACCUCGUGAGAAGAGAAGACUCCCUGGAAAAGACCCUGAUGCUGGGAGAAGGGAACGACAGAGGACGAGAUGGUUGGACAGUGUUCUCGAAGCUACCAGCAUGAGUCUGACCAAACUGUGGGAGGCAGUGGAAGACAGGAGUGCCUGGCGUGCUCUGGUCCAGGGGGUCACAAAGAGUCAGACACGACUAAACGACUAAACAACAACAAUGUGUUUAUGUGCCCUAUCGUUACAGGACAAUGAAGCAAUGGGGAUCUACAGGACAUCGUCUAUCUGCCCCACACCAGCUGGGCUCUGAGCUGCUAGGAAAGCAAGCUAUAGUAGGGUGAUGUAGCAACCAAUGUGGUGAUCGCAUUCAGGCAAGCGAAAGGCUUUCAGGACCCUGGACAGAGCACAGGAUGGAAAAGGGCUGGUGCUUCAGCAAGGUUGCGAGGGCCUUCUUAAGCCUGGCCAGGCUAGCCUGAGGAGUGCUUGUAAAUAAACAGGCAUUGUCUUAUUCUGCAGCCAUUGGACCCCCACAGCAUGGAAGUGAUGAGGUCCGUGCCAGGAGCAGGGAUAGACCAAGCAGCCUAAUUCUGUCCUAUUUCUGUCUCUCCAGCAUUAAAUCAUAGGCUUGUCCCAUCCCAUUUUGUGUGGUUUUUUUGAAAGAACGCUUGAACACAGUUAAAUGGUAUUUGCCUGUAAGCACCUUUAGUGUAAAAUACACAUUUUAAUGUAAAACAUGCAUUUUUUUGGUGUGUUUUUAAUGCCUUCACCCACAAAAUGUGGUUUUUUGUAUGCAUAUUUUACAUAAAACAUUAUUUUCUUGAAGGAGCCAGAGAGGAAGAGAUUAAUGGAUUACUGGAAACCUUGGGAGGAAGAGAUAGUGUCCCCUUGGGUUUCAUGAGACAAAGGCAAAGGAAAGCAUGUAGUUGGACAUGCACUGUGGACUUAAACAAAAAGUUUAAGGAACUACAGUGGUACCUCUGGUUACGUACUUAAUUCAUUCCGGAGGUCCGUUCUUAACCUGAAACUGUAUACACCUGAACUGUAUACACCGUUCUUAACCUGAAACUACAUACACCUGAAGUGUAUGUAACCCGAGGUACCACUGUACCGAGUAAGAUUCUAUGGGUCAAAAAUACUCAAAAAGAAGGGAGUCCAAGAUGGAUGGAAGUUUCUCAAAGGUGAAAUAUUGAAGGCACAACUGCAGGCAAUUCCAAAAAAAGGGGUUGGGGGCCUCAGACCCAAGGGCCAAAUGUGUUCCUUUCUGGCCCUUGGGACUUUCUUCAGACAUGCCUCAUCCUUCAGCCACACUCAUCACUGGCCCUAUUCUAUACCCUCUUAUGGAUUUUUUGGUUUUUUCCUGUCUAAAAUGUGACCUUGAUCUCUAAUAAAGAGACCACCUCUUCCCAUAUGAACCUACCUGGACCCUAAGAUCAACAUCUUAUGAGGUCUGGAGGGUGGCAACACGAGAACAGGACCUUCUCUGCAGUGGCUCCUCGUCUAUGGAAUGCUCUCCCCAGGGAAGCUCGCCUGGCGCCUUCAUUAUACACCUCUAAUGUUCCUUUUUAACCAGGCCUUUGGUUGACCUCAUUGUCAUCCAACACCCUUUUAGAAUGUGGCUCUUUUGGGGGGUUUUCCAAUUGGGUUAUUGUUUUUAGUUUGAUUUUAUAUGUUGUGGUCUUGUUUGUGAACCGCCCUGAGACCUCCGGGUAUAGGGCGGUGUAUAAAUUGAAAUAAUAAUAAUAAUAAUAAUAAUAGAUGCGUUUUGCUUGAGGCAUCAUUUUGCUUUGCCGGAGAUAUGUACAUGUAAAAACUUCAGGCUAUUCCGGGCUGAAGUGUAGCCUGUUGCACAAAGUUAAGAGUCACAUUCAUUGUUGCAUCACUGGCAUGUGGCCCCCCCAGAAAGUUGCAUUCUAGGCAAUGUGGCCCCUGGCUUGAAAAAGAUUCCCCGCCUCUGCUCUAGCCUGUGACGUGGGAUUGCAGAAGGAUAGUCCAUGUAGAGCUGGCUGCUUCACCGACCAACUGUGACUGGCAUACCAUCCUCUGCCACGGAAUUGUUGGCAGUAUAUAUUAUGUUACAUACUAAUAAUUAGUAGGUCAAAACGGCAGCAGCUAAGACGUGUCUGUAAAGGAUUGAAAAAGUUAUUGGGGGUGGGGGAGAAGAGGAAGGAGAAGAGAGUCUCUUUGAUUGGGGGUUUUCAAUCAUAUCAUAACAUUCUCCCUGGAUAUUUUGCACAUCAAAGGAAGGAGUGGAGAUGGAUGGACAUGAAAAGGGGGACAGCAGUUGCCAAGCUAAAUAAAAAGCCUUUCAUUAAACAUGAAGGGCAGCAAGACCUCCUGGAAAGUUAGCUGUGAGAGUUAACUCUGAGCUUAUCCCCUCUUGCCUUCUCAGGGGAAACGUGAGCGGCCACUUUCGCUUGAUCUUUGGGGAAAGGAGAAGACUUGUGACCCGACACCAGUGUGGUGAGGGAGGGGGUGAAGAAUCACAGAGACCAAGUUGGGAUGUAGGUGGUGCAGCCGGAUUAAGGGACGGGAGGGGUAGAAAAGGGUGGACAGACCUAUGGACUGCAGAAGAAAGAGUAGAGGUUUAGAGAGGGGCAAUGCAAGGAACAGUCAUAAUAAUAAUAAUAAUAAUAAUAAUAAUAAUAAUAAUAAUAAUAAAUUAUUUAUACCCCGCCCAUCUGGCUGGGCUUCCCCAGCCACUCUGGGCGGCUUCCAACAAAAUAUUAAAAUACCGUAAUACAUCAAACAUUAAAAGCUUCCCUAAACAGGGAAUUAUUAAUAAUAAUUAAUCAUCAUCAUCACUCCAAUUUCUGGCCACUCCAAUUUCUGCAGUGCACAAUUAAGGCACGAUGCUAUAAUGGUUUUUUUUUAAAAAUGAAAUGUGGUUUAUUUACACAUAUUUACAAUCAGAAGCCUUCAAUGGAGGAGGUGCAGAACAUUAUAGCUCAAGAGUGUCUUCAGCAAGCAGGUGCCCAGAGUAGAAGCCAGCCAUGGUUCCUUGUCUCUGGGGAAAGCCACUGCUAGUUAACCCACGGAGAAUUAUUCUUCCCAGAACACCUUGCCAAACACAACUCCCCUUUCCGUUUACUUUAUCACACCCUGUCGCCCUGGCAACCUGUGGCGACAUCACACCCCCUGUAAACCUGGCAACCUCCCUUUCCUUCCUUCUGUCUCUGUCCAAUAAGCAUUUGCCUUGUCAAUCACCCUUAAUGGUCUGGUGUGUCACUCUCUUUGUGUCUCAAUGGCACCUCCGUUGUCGGCCAAUCUCUAGAACAGGAAAAACAACAUAGCCUGUAUUUUUACACUGAGCCUAGUGUCUUUCCUUAUUACUCCAAAUAUUAGCUAAAUUAUAACAUUUACUAAUUUUAAAAUUUAGGGGGAUCUGGCCCCCCCAACUCAUAGCAAUAUUUAUAUUGUUUAUAUUUAUAUCCCACUCUUUUUCCAAGGAGCUCAAGAUAGUAUUCUUCUCCUCCUUCUUUGGCUAUCACUCGUAGCCGAGUAAGAUUGUCUUCCAUGAACACGGUCUUAACAGUGAGUCUGUAAGUGACUGUGGAGGCCAAUUCUGGAUCCACACGUCCUUCCAUGGUGGCGACAUAGGUUUCCAGGCAGGAAUUGAUCAUAGUGACGAAUUUGCCAAAUGCACGUUCCUCUUAGCUCGUUUCUCCCUUUCGUCCUGUGUUUGUGCAUCUUCAAAGUCCAUGACACCUUUGGUAAAGGCUAUUCUCCAGUAGGAGCGCUCACAGGUCAAUAGUUCCCAAUUGUCAGUGUUUAUACUACAUUUUUUUAGAUUGGCCUUGAGUGAGUCUUUAAACCUCUUUCGUUGGCCACCAGCAUUACACUUUCUAUUAUUAAGUUCAGAAUAGAGUAGUUGCUUUGGAAGACAAUAAUCAGGCAUCUGAACAACAUAACCAGUCCACAAAGUUGAUGCUGAAGAAUCAUUGCUUCGACACUGGUAUACAAUGGUACCUCAGGUUAAGAAUUUAAUUUGUUCUGGUGGUCCGUUCUUAACCUGAAACUGUUCUUAACCUGAGGUACCACUUUAGCUAAUGGGGCUUCCCGCUGCACGAUUUCUGUUCUCAUCCUGAAGCAAAGUUCUUAACCCGAGGUAUUAUUUCUGGGUUAGCGGAGUCUGUAACCUGAAGCGUCUGUAACCCGAGGUACCACUGCACAUGGUUCUCUCUAAACCCACACCGCAUUUUAUCCUCACAACAAACCUGUGAGCUAUAUUACCCUGAGAGACUGUGACUGACCCAAGGUCAGAGGCACAGUCUUGCGCCCAACCUGGCAUCCUCCACAUAUUUUUGGACCCCAAUUCCUGGCAGUUUCAUUCCCAUCCCUGAUCUGUUCUCACUCUCAGUAACCCUCCAUGGGAUCAGGCAGAGGUGCUUCUGCAUGUGACUGUCAUUCAUUUCCCCCCCUUCUGCCUCUUUUACAGGUUUCAAUAAAUAUCUGAAUCGUGGAGGACGUUGCCAAUUCCCAACAAACGUUGUGCAUGUCAGCCUUCUCUGGUUUAUUGUUCCCCAGCCUUCUUGUCGAACACACACUGUGAACACGGAGGAUCGUGUUGAGGUGACUGUCAACAUUCACUGGUGCUUCUUCUCCAUUCACAAUAUGUAUCUGACUGGAGACCAUUCACAUGCAAAUGCCGGCCUUUACCUAUUGGUAGGUAUUCAUCCAUUCACUCACAAGCUUCCCUGUCAACUAAGGGAUUGGCUUCUAGCCCACAAAAGCCUACAGGAAGUCUGAAAAGGCCUUGUAUAGGAACCAACCUGUUGAAGAUAUUGAGACUUAGGUGCAAUCCCAAACCAGGAAGUAAAUACUAUUGAACUCAAUGGGGCUUAUGUUUAAGAUUGCCAUGAUGACUCGGCUCUGCCUCCAUGCUCAGAGGCAGCAAUGCUUCUGAACACCAGUUGCUGGAAACCACAGGAGGGAAGAGGGUCCUGAUUGUGCCCGGGUCCUGAUUGUGGGUUUCUCACAGGCAUCUGGUUGGCCACUGUGAGAACAGGUUGCUGGACUAGAUAGGCCAUUGGCCUGACCCAGCAGGGUCCUCUUAUGUGCUUAUUUCUCUGUUAGUUAAUAGAGCUGUGCUGGUCCCGAGGGUUGACCGUGCGGCGAGGUCCGAGUCCAAUCCGAGGUCGAGGGUCUGGUAUGGAGGCUGUCCAUCAAAGCUGAAGCUGGGUCCAAGGCAGGGAGUCAGGUGAGGUCAGGAACUCUGGCAGAAGAGCAGGACAGGGUACAGGCAGGAACAGGCUACCAACAAUGUUGCUCCCACAACCUGGGACUGGGGCUGGCUGGCUUUUAUCUGCCCCAAGGCAUAGGGCGGCCCCGGUCCACAGGUGACUCGCCUCUCCGGGCCUGGAGGUGAGCACUCCUCCUGCGGGAACUUAGUUCCCUCCGCCUCUCUGCCCUGAGCCUCUGCAGCUCAGGAGAGGCUGGAGGGUUACCGGACCCAGAGGCAACCUCAGCUCCCCUGACGGGGCUGAGAGUGGAGCACCUGCAGGCAAUGGGUCCUCCAUCACCUCAGGAGCCAGAGCAGACCCAGCUGGUGCCUGCACCUGAGGAUCCAGCACAGGUGAGGACCCUUCAGGCUCAAGCCUCAGCCCCGGCUCAGCUGGUCUGAGAGGCUCGAGGGUCAGCGCGACUGAGGCCUCUGCGCUCUGACCAGGCUCUCAGCCUCCAGGCCUCAGCGAAUCAGCUCCCAUAGGACUCACACACAUUUCUCUUUCAUUUUUGGAGGGGAAAAAGUGCGUCCUAUAGGGCGAAAAAUACGGUACACACAUAUAAAAAAACGCCGUGAAAAUGCUUUUUUUAAAAACAUUUUGAAAAAUAUAUUGGGUCUGCCAUAGCUCACGGUCGCCAUCUAAUGUCACAUUUGUAUACUGCAUUUUACAACAUACUUUAAACUUUUUUUUGCAGCUAUAUAGCUGAGUCCCAAGUAGGAUGGGCAGGGUAUAAAUAAAUUGCUGUUGUUCCUGACCUUGCUCACUGGGGCUGAUGAGAGCUGGAACCCAACAGCAUCUGAAGACCCACCUCUGCAACUGAGUAUGGUGCCACCAGAAAUGGUCCAUGGGACUUUUCACCAUUUUCACUGCAAGUGACUAACAUGGAAAAUCCUUUGGGAUGUUACCCUCGGAAUGAGGGGCAGUCCACAUCAGCCUAUGGCAACAGCCUGUGGUUUUGCUGUGAACCUGCCAGGAGAUUGCAGAGUUUUCAGGGAGCAGAUGGUCUGCUUAUGCUGAAGAUUCAUUCCCGCCUGGCGGCAGCUCUCUCCUUCCACCCCUUCAGCCAGGUCAGACAGUGCCUCCAGAUUUGCUGCCCGCCUUCCGUCCUCCUCCUUCAGACACCCAGCGAGGGAGAGCAGUGACAGCUGUUCCCUUGGGGGAGCGUUUGCUUUGGAAGGGUAAUCCUGGAAGGACGGGCUUUGGGCUGCACAUAUGCCAGCCUGUGCAGGAAUCUGUGCCAUCUGGCGAGAUGAGAAAGCAAGGAGGAGACAGGGAGGGAGAGGAAGGACAAGGAGGGCUAGUUCUCAAAAAGGAGAAAGACGUUGCUUUCUGCAGUCUGUGGAAGAGGAAUAAAAAAAAAGGGUGCAUGAGAUCAGAGGCAAAUAAGAUGCUGCUCUAAACCGAGCCAAAGCAUGGUCCAUCUAGCUCAGAGCUGUCCACAUUGGAGAGUAGGGAUGUUUUCAGCCUGAGGGCCACAUUUCCCUUUAGUGAGGCUUGUGGGGGCCACAAACCAACAAUGGUUGGCGCUGGAGGCAAAAGUAAAUGGAGUGAUGUCAAUUUUACCUUUUGUAGGCUAGUUCCUGCAUGCAUUCGCUCAGGGGUUACCAAGGGCCAGAUAAGAGAGGCCUGGAGGGCCACACUGCCCCUCCCCUGGGUCAGCUUUCCCACCCCAGUCUUUACUGACCAGCAGUAACUCCCCAGGGUUUCAUAGAAUCAUAGAAUUGUAGAGUUAGAAGGGACCCCCAGGGGUCAUCUAGUCCAGCCCCCUGCAAUGUAGGAAUCUCAGCUAUGUGGGAAUGUUUAGGGUGGCAGGAGAGGAUAUAUUGUUUAUUAAUAUCCUUCCUAACUUGCGCUAGCAAGUUCCUUUACAUAGCAGAGUUUUUCAUCCGCCUUUUAAAUGCACAGCAGAUAGCUGGUUGCAGGCUCGUGUUAGCCUCUCAUGAUUAGGUUCCUGGUAAGCUCCCUUAUAUCCUUCUUAAAAGAAUAAACACGCCACAAUCUUAUUUAAAGUAUAUGAAAGAUAGUUUACUCACAUCAGUUCACAGAUGGAUUCCUGAAGGCACUUAGUUAAAAAUAUGUACAUGUGGAUCUACCCCAUAUGGGAAUAACCCCAGUGUCCUCUACUAGCUGAGAAGAUGGCAGAGCAUUCCUAGCUAAAAAGCUGCUCCAACGAAGAAGGAAGUAAAAAAAAAAAAAGGAAGGGUGCUGCGUGCCUCGUCCUUUUGUUACCUGGACAGGUAAGGUCACACCUACAUUCAGUCCCAUGCAAAAGGAAGGAUGUUCCAGCCAGGAGGAAACAGGAAGUUUCCCCUGCAUGUCCAUUCUAGGAAAACAAGGAAUGUUGUACUUGACUGCUUCCCACAAGCUAAAGCACCCAUGACAGAUGGCCAUCAGGCAGGGGGCCUGGAGAUGCCGGGGUUUGAACCCGGGACCUUCUGCUCACAAAGCAGAUGCUCUCCUACUGAGCUACGGACCUUCCACAGAGCCUGACAACAAGUGUCAAGUGUUCGCCGCUUUGAUGUAUCUGUUUGGAUGGGGGAAACAGGAUGCUCAAUUAUGCAAAUAAAUAAAUAAAUGGCAGCGACCCAGCAAAGCCCGCACGGUUCGUCAGGCCCAACCUAACAGCCUCUCUUGAUGCCUCCAUGGGAAUCCUUCCCAAAGAUUGGGGUUGUAAAUCACAGCUAAAUGGCUGCAAGAUGGGGUGAGGUCCAUAAUGUUUUAAUGUAGCAAACGGACGCUUGCAGUAUGUGAGUGUGAAGGCAGAGACCGUGGCACGCGGCCAUAACAGACGUCAAGCUCGGUAAAUAAUCACCCGGCUAGCAGCAAUUCAUUGCUACCUGCGGAGCUUCUAGGCUACAGGAAGCCCAAACGGAAUAUUAAAUCUGUUCUGCUUCUCUCGCUUGGUCGCAGCACCCUGUAGACCAAUGGGACCGGCAUUCACGUCUCAAAAAAACCGUGCAUUACAUCCCGUGUGUUGCGCACCCUCCUACUGAUACAAACCGGUUCCAAGCAAACAGCAGCCAUCUCCUGUUUUACUUAUGGAAACAAUCCAAACGCCAUAAAGGUCGGCUUAGCAGCCAUUAGCAAUGCUUCAUGGGGGAUAUAAACACCCAUCUGGGCUUUAAUGUGCAUUUGUUUGGUAUUCAUAAUCCAGCAGCAAAGAGGACUGAUCACAGGAGGCCUUUUCUUUUUGAAGGGAAAUGGAGGAGCGAAGUGGAUGGCCAUUUCUUUGCAAGGCACCCAGGGGCUCCAGUGAGCAUGGAGGGCCGGUGCUCAUGGCACGAAUUAAGCAAAAGCUUCUCCGUUCUCUGCAAUGCGCUUGGCGCCUCCCCUGUGUUCACAUCAGAGUCCAGGGCAGGGUCAGAGGUCAGCACUGCAGGGCAUUGUGGGAUGGUGCCCACAACCUGACAGGGGAAAUGGUCACUGGUCCCCCCACACACAAUUUUUUAUUAGUUUUCAAACAAUUUAACAAAUUCAAUUCAAUUUCAGUACAACAUUCCCUUAAGAUUUUGUCUUCCCAUCCUUACUUCCAUGAUGUUUCUCUUCAAAUCUUUCACCUGCUGCCAUAUAAGUUAAUAUUUCUCGAAAGCGUUUUUCUCAUAUCGCAUUCCUUUAUCAAGUCCUGCCUGCUAUUUCAUUUGACUAUAAUAUUUUCUCAAAUAAUCCAAAAAGCAUCUUCUUCAAUGCAUUAUGUAUCAUUUCCCAAAAGCCUGUUUCUUCUUUUACAAGUCCACCACAUAUGAAAAAAUGGGACCCAGUCACCAAACCCUCAAGUUUCCCUAUUUUCCAGGGACAGUCCCAGAUUUACAGAAGUCAUCCCGGUUUCUGAUUUGAUCCCAGAAUGUCCCACUUUUCCUUAAGCCGUCCCUCUUUUAAUUGGAGAAAUGUUGGAGGAUGUGGACUUAUGCAACCCCCAAGCCAAAGGGAUAAGUAACUAUACAACCUUUAGAAGACAUCUGAAGGCAGCUCUGUAUAGGGAAAUAUGUUAAUGUUUAAUGGCACAAGUAGUGAAGGAGAAGAACCACUGACGCCCCCUCACAGGAACAUGUUGUUGUUUAGUCGUUUAGUUGUGUCCGACUCUUCGUGACCCCAUGGACCAGAGCACGCCAGGCACUCCUGUCUUCCACUGCCUCCUGCAGUUUGGUCAAACUCAUGUUUGUAACUUCGAGAACACUGUCCAACCAUCUCGUCCUCUGACGUCCCCUUCUCCUUGUGCCCUCCAUCUUUCCCAAUACCAGGGUGUUUUCCAGGGAGUCUUCUCUUCUCAUGAAGUGGCCAAAGUAUUGGAGCCUCAGUUUCACGAUCUGUCCUUCCAGUGAGCACUCAGGGCUGAUUCCCUUCAGAAUGGAUAGGUUUGAUCUUCUUGCAGUCCAUGGGACUCUCAAGAGUCUCCUCCAGCACCAUAAUUCAAAAGCAUAAAUUCUUCGGCGAUCAGCCUUCUUUGUGGUCCAGCUCUCACUUCCAUACAUCACUACUGGGACUCCAUGGACAAAGACAACAGGCACAGGAACGUAGAAAGCUGCUUUAUACUGAAUCAGUCCCAUGGGUCCAUCUAGUUCAGUGUUGUCUACCCUGACUGGCAGCAGCUUUUGGGAUUCCAGGCAGGAGACAUUUCCAGCCCUGCCUGGAGAUGCCCAGGUCUGAACCUGGAAUUGUCUGCAUGCAAAGUAGAUGUUCUGCCACUAAGCUACAACCCUUUGGCUUGGCUUGCCCUCUCCUCCUGGGAAGUUUCAACGUUGGAAAACAACCAUCGUGUGCAGGGAACAAAUCUCUGGCCUGAGCACAUCCAGUGCAACCGAACAGAUUUCAUGAGAAGUUGCCUUGUACCGGCUCAGCCCACUGCUCCUUCUAGCUUAGCAUUGUCCACACUGACUGGAAGCAGCUCUCUAGAUACCAUUUGAAAAAUGCAGAGUCUUGCUAAUAUUCAUACUGAUUCAGUGCUAUUCAGAGCCCUCUUUCUUUCCAGUUUUUACUACGGGCAACGACCAAUUUGUGUGCAUCCGUUUGAGGUUCAGUCGUCCACAGUGCGUCGUGGUGACCCGGAAGUGGCUGGAAAAGGGGGAGGAAUGUGGAUCAGAACGGGGUGGGGGCAGAAUGGGGCACAGCGGGCUUAUGCACACUCCACCGAUGUGCAAAGGAGUCAGGAAUAUAACCCCUGUGCAAACCGCUUGUUGCCUGUACUUUACUCUUCAUUCCAAGCCUUUAUCCCAAAGAAAUCAAUCACUGAUGGUGCACACUCCCCCAUUCCUUUCCUGAACCUGUAAUUGCCUCCAAUUUCAAGCUAAAAUUAGCUUUUCCUGCCCAUCUAAAUGAGCACUGUUAAGAGUGCUGAUGUGUGGAAGCUGCGUUGUGUAAGACGGUUAAGCCGGGCUUCACUUUGACAAGAGCUUGGUACAAAAUGAAAAUGUGGGGGGGUUUUGUUUUGUUUUUUUAUGUUUCCCCUCAUCACACUGCAAACUGCUUAGAAGAGACUUGAGUGGAGAGAAAGAGAGAAUUCCUGAGAUCACCAAAUAGGAAGUCUGACGGAGGCAGAAAUAAAUACAAACCUGCACUUAGAAUAUACCUGUUUUUGUACGUGAAGAUCUGUUUGGGAGUGCUUUUGCUCCUUUGCCAGCUUGUCAACAUUAAACAUCUAAUAAUCAACAUUUAAGGUGUGUAUAUAGAGAAGAAGAAGGUUGCGUUGGACAGGUAGUCUCUUUCCUUUCAAGCAAUACCAAAUGCGCUCUACGUGGGGCUACCUUUGAAGGUGACCCGGAAACUACAACUAAUCCAGAAUGCAGCAGCUAGACUGGGGACUGGGAGCGGCCGCCAAGACCACAUAACAUUGGUCUUGAAAGACGUACAUUGGCUCCCAGUAUGUUUCCAAGCACAAUUCAAAGUGUUGGUGUUGACCUUUAAAGCCCUAAACGGCCUCGGUCCAGUAUACCUGAAGGAGCGUCUCCACCCCCAUUGUUCUGCCCGGACACUGAGGUCCAGUGCCAAGGGCCUUCUGGUGGUUCCCUCACUACGAGAAGCAAAGCUACAAGGAACCAGGCAGAGGACCUUCUCAGAGGGCCUUCCUUCCAGCCCUAUGGAACGCCCUCCCAUCAAAUGUCAACUACCUGACAUUUAGAAAACAUCUGAAGGCAGGCCUGUUCAGGGAAAUUUUUAAUGUGUGACAUUUUGAUGUAUUUUUAAUCUUUGUUAGAAGCUGUCCAGAGUGGCUGGGGAAACGCAGCCAGAUGGGCGGGGUACAAAUAAUGAAUUAUUAUUAUUAUUAUUAUUAUUAUUAUACCAGAAGGUAGGGACACUGGGAGGGUCUGCCCUCUCCCCAUCCUGUCCAACAGCACCCUGCAGCGGGAUCUGAGCAGUUCAGGGCAGCUUAUGAUGGCCUUUCUAGGCCACGCUGACUGCCUGACCUCUACUCAACAUGAAUUGUGUUUCUAGAAUUAGCUUCUCAGAGCAGCGCAACUUUUAUAUGUAAAUCGAGCCCUUAUUCCCACCAGCCUCGCCGGGGUUAUAUCCGAGGCUAAUUAUGAGCUAUUCCAUGUGGGAAAUUCAUCCUGAGGUAAUAAGCUAAUCAGGCUUUGUCUGAAAGAACCGACUUUGGCACACAGUGCCUCCUUAUUAAAGGAAACCGAUCUCGAUUAGCAGCAAACGUAAUGAUCGCCUUGUAAUAAAAUUCUAUAAACAACCAAGCGUAGCUCUGCGGAAAACAAGCCAGGCAGGCGCAGGCCACCGGUCUCUGCACCGUUCUCGGAUAGCAGACGCUAUUUGCCUUUGGUAAAUGCAAAGCAGGCAAAAGGCACAAGACAGAAUAAUUCACUCGCACAAACAUUGCAGUCUCAAAAUUAUACACCAAUUAAGUUGCCUGCAUCUUUGGAACCUGACAGAAUGCCUUGUGAUGCCUGCGUUUCACAGAGAUGAAAAUGGAUGCAGGUGAACACAUACCAAGCAGGUUCCCAUAGCUUUGUGGCAGAACAAGCACUUGGCAUGCAGAGGGUUCAGUCCCUGACAUCCUCCAGGUGGAGAUAGGAGAGGCCCAUGUCUGAAGCCCUGGAGUGCCCCUGCCAAUCAGUGUUGGCCAUACUGAGCUGGAUGGACCAAGAGUUUGACUCAGAAGAAGGCAGCUUUCUCUGGGAAGUCAGUCGUCUGCGUUCCCCUGCCAAGUGUGGAAAAGAAAUGUGGACAUAGGACAGAAACGAGGACAUGGAUUCAGGACACACAAAAGAAAGUACUUGUUCAUGCAUAGCAUAGUUGAACUAUGGAAUCUGCUCCCUACAAGGGGUAGUGAUGGUCCCCAACCUUUAAAAGAGGAUUAGACCAGAGGCAGAUUGAGGCCAACAUGACCAUGUCUGCUGCGCUGGGUGACAGUCUAGGGGGCGCCGCAGGGUGUCACAACUAUGGCGUGAUGAAUUGAGCAGAAUGGAAGGUGAGAGGUGGGUGGGGGGCGCUAAAUUUUGGCCUUGCAUAAGGUGCCACUGAAAUUUGAAGGACCGAAGUCCAUCCUUGUGGCGAUCACACAGGGUCCCUGGACGUUUAACGGUCUAUUGAUCCCUGUGCCACGACUGUGCUCGCUUCCCCGCUGCCACCAACCAGUUACUCUCUGGUAAAACACUGAGUCCAGACAGUUGUUAAAAGUGAACCAAAACAAAAACAAGUUUAUUUUACAGAUAUUAACAAGUUUAUGGUUUCUCCGAUAAUAUUCCUGUCAGUAUCUUAACUUUAGUAUCAGCCCUGAGUGCUCACUGGAAGGACAGAUCCUGAAGCUGAGGCUCCAAUACUUUGGCCACCUCAUGAGAAGAUUGAGGGCACAAGGAGAAGGGGACGACAGAGGACGAGAUGGUUGGACAGUGUUCUCGAAGCUACAGGCAUGAGUUUGACCAAACUGCGGGAGGAAGUGGAAGACAGGUGAAAUAUACUUGGAGUCGAGAGUGGAUUUCAUGCUCUUUAUUCAGCUCAUAGUGGUGAGGAGGAAUGAAAGUUCCCCCAAAAUAUCUGCUCUAUAUACAUUAUUUACACAAUGGGCUGCACAUGAUUGGCUAAUUCCUGAUUCUCCUGUAGGUCAAUCAGGUUGUGGAUUCACUUCCAUCUGGAGCUGGAUUGGGUGGUUCCUGCGGACCAAUCAUACUGCUGCAUUGUUCUAGGACCAAUCAGACUGCUGCAUUCUAAAUCCUAUUGUUCUAGGACCAAUCAGACUGCUGCAUUUUGGAUCCUAUUGUUCUAGGACCAAUCUGACUGCUGCAUUUUGGAUCCCAUUCAACUCAGUACAUAACAACAGGAGUGCCUGGCGUGCUCUAGUCCAUAGGGUCGCAAAGAGUCGGACACGACUAAACGACUAAACAACAACAACCUUCCUAAUACCUUCUGACUGAUUAUCUCAACUGUUUGACUGACUCCUCUUAACAAAUUCUCUCACUCUCUCACACUGGACUAACCCAACCCACAGACUUAUCUUAUCUUAUCUGUCUAGUCUAACUCCAGACUGUCUUCUCCACCCUAACUCCUCCCCCUGGGUUCCCAUUGGUUAGUCAUUUUACAAUUAGUUAACCCUUUCCCUAUGAACCCAGUGUGAUGCCACACACCUAGGAGGUCAAAUCCCACAGUCCUUGAUUAGACAAAUUCCUGGAAGUGGUGGGACCUCCUUUGUUGGAGGUUUUUAAGCAGAGAUUGAGUGGUCAUCUGUCAGGGAUUAUUUAGCUGUGGUUCCUGCAUUGCAGCGGGUUGGACUAGAUGACCCUUGGGGUCCUUUCCAGCUCUACAGUUCAAAAAUCCUCUGAAAUUUCCUGUAGGACAAGCAUAGCUUUUGAGUCAAAUAGCACCACUGACCGUGCCUCGUGGUGUCUAUACCCUGAGUUUAAGUUACCCUGACACCAAGUUAUUAUUGAAGGAGGGCGCAGAACUAUAACUAUGCUUGCAUGCGGCUGUGCUGGGUAUCAAUAAUAGACCAAACAGAUGCCGUUGAAUUGCAAAGUGAGAUUUCGCAUGAUGAACGUGAAAGGAGGAGCGGGGGAUGCUUUGCAAAGCAGGCUGCGGUCCCUGGUGUGAAUGCAUAAGCAAGGAGGACACGAAUUUGAGGCAAACAAUGAUGCAAAGCCAGUAUGAGGAACAGCAUUACCCAAGCCAUAUCCCUGAUUUAGACACCAGCAUAAUGAAGGAUAUAAAAUGUUCCAUGGGGAAGCCCAACAGGCCCCAGAUGUAUCCUGCACUGGGACAUGGAGAAGGGGCAUUAAGGAGGAUUAGCAGAUUAAUUGAGCAUGUAACUUGAACUUAAUUUCGAGGUAGCAUUAAGAUGGAGCAGACAUCCAUUUUCUGUUGCCCUGAUUCCUUGUGUAAUAUUCCCCACUUUGCUCCCUGAGCCCCCAUUAUUAUUUUUCCUCCAGUCCUUAUUUUGCCAUCUUAAAUGGGACUGAAUGCUUUGCAGAGAUAAGAAUUUUUGCCCCAAUUACCCGAAGCUACCGUUGUCAAGAACAGCUCGUGCUACCAAAACUAAAUCAUUCAAUUUAGCCGUGCAUUUUUUAAGAGUACAUGGGGUGCUAACAAGGUCAUUGUUUAGUAAUGUGCUGUUGUAGAUAUAUCCCCAUCUCUGUGUAUUUCUUAAGGAACCUCUACAUGAUACAUAGAGUCUUAGAAUUGCAGGGGCUCGUCCACUCCAAUCCUCUGUGAUGCAGGAAGUACAUAAAGCAUAAAUAUGGGCGAUGGGCCAAUUUCAAGAGCCUUCGCUGCAGUCCUCACCCCCGGACUGGAGCAGAGUCUGUCUCAGGAAUAGUCAACAUGCUGCCUUCGAGAUGCUGAUGGACUACAUAUCCCAUGACCCAUGCUGGCUACAGCUGAUGGGAGCUGGAGUCCAAUAACAGUGGUGGCGUUUUGGCUCUCUUUUUCAGUGGUGCCCUGUGUGAUGCACUUGAUUAAGGAAAACAGAUUUGCAGAGAGAGAGAGAAACUAUCUUAGGCAAGAUUGCAUAUUAGGAAAAAUCCACUUAUGAAUUUAUAGAAUCAUAGAAUCAUAAAGUUGGAAGGGAAGUCGGGUCACAAAGUGUUGGACAUGACUAAACGAUUAAACAACAACCGAAUCUUAGUGUUGGAAGGGACCCUAAAGGUCUUCUAGUCCAACCCCCUGCAAUUCAGGAAUUUUCAUGAGGAAUAAUAAUAAUAAUAAUUUAUUAUUUAUACCCCGCCCAUCUGGCUGAGUUUCCCCAGCCAUUCUGGGUGGCUUCCAAUCGAGUGUUAAAAAUAACACAGCAUUAAAUAUUAAAAACUUCCCUAAACAGGGCUGCCUUCAGAUGUCUUUUAAAGAUAAGAUAGCUGCUUAUUUCCUUGACAUCUGAUGGGAGGGCAUUCCACAGGGCGAGCGCCACUACUGAGAAGGUCCUCUGUCUGGUUCCCUGUAACCUCACUUCUCGCAAUGAGGGAACCGCCAGAAGGCCCUCGGUGCUGGAUCUCAGUGUCCGGGCUGAAUGAUGGAAGUGGAGACACUCCUUCAGGUAUACAGGACCGAGGCCGUUUAGGGCUUUAAAGGUCAGCACCAACACUUUGAAUUGUGCUUGGAAAUGUACUGGGAUCCAAUGCAGAUCUCUCUAUGGUGCUAUGUGGUCCCAGUGGCCGCUCGCAGUCACCAGCCUAGCUGCCGUAUUCUGGAUUAGUUGUAGUUUCCGGGUCACCUUCAAAGGUAGCCCCACGUAGAGCACAUUGCAGUAGUCCAAGCGAGAGAUAACCAGAGCAUGCACCACUCUGGCAAGGCAGUCCAUGGAUAGAUAGGGUCUCAGCUUGCAUACCAAGUGAAGCUGGUAGACACCUGCCCUGGACACAGAAUUGACUUGCGCCUCCAUGUACAGCUGCGAGUCCAAAAUGACUCCCAGGUUGCGCACCGGGUCCUUCAGGGGCACAGUUACCCCAUUCAGGACCAGGGAGUCACCAACACUCGCCCGCCUCCUGUCCACCCAAAACAGUACUUCUGUCUUGUCAGGAUUCAACCUCAAUCUGUUAGCUGCCAUCCAUCCUCCAACCGCCUCCAGGCACUCACACAGGACCUUCACCGCCUUCACUGGUUCUGAAUUAAAAGAGAGGUAGAACUUAGAGAUGAAUUUAAGAGUUCAAAAACAAGAGAGAGAGAGAAAUGGAAAAAUGGAAAGACACAGAAAUUGACUGACUUGCUCAUCCACUACCACCGCCACUGGAUGGAAGGACUAGAUGACCUUCAGAGUCGCUUCCAGCUUUUCAAUUCUAUGAAACAGAAGAGUGGGGGUUGGAAAAAGGGCAGGAAGAAAAGAGUUUUUCCUCUUAUUAAGGCCUCUCACUAGCAAACAACCACUUUCGUUCACAGAGUAUCACUGGAAGUUUACAGCACCCCACGACCCACAAACCGAAGAGAAAGAAACUGCAACCCAACGGCGGAUUGGUGAGCUCCUAAAACAGGGCCAUCUGGAUUGAAAUUCGCCGCAAGCUUUGUUUUCCUGCUCAAGGUAAUCUCUGGUUUUACUUGAGAACUUUGAUAAGGUGUCUAAUUGCAUCUGGAGAAGCCCUUAGGUAUCCCAGAAAUCAAUUUGCCUCCCUUUUGGUAUCGACCGGGGUCUGCCUGCAGAUAUUUUCUCACGAUCCAGGAUCCCAGCGAAGACUAAGAGGUUCCCAUAGAUAACAGAAACUCCCUUCUCUGCACUUUCCCUGAUUUAGCUUCUUCUUCUUCUCCCCCUCUUCCCAGGGCCAGUUUCUUUGCCUUCUUUGAAUUAUUGAUUGACAGACUCAAGUGGCACUGCCUCCAGCGCUUGCACACUUAACAGGUUUGGAGGGGUGGAAAGCCAUUAGACUGUAAUGGUUUCCCAGUUUCUCAAAUGCACCCUGGUGGGUUACACAGCCUAUUUGUAAAUCAAUGAAUUAAUUAUUGUGCGGAGAAGCACCGGGAGUGCGGUGCUUUGCAACAGAGACCAUAGGGUGCCCAUGGAAACGAUGCCAAUCGACAUCUCCACAUGCCUUCCAAACACUCCCUUGACACGUUGGGCUGAUAGCUUUUGUUUCAGCUGUUUGCUGCCUCUGGCCAGCCUAGAGGACAUUUCAUACAGCAACAGAAACCCAUGGCUGGGUUAUGUCUCUUCGUGCUGUGGGAACCUCACAAUGGAGCCCAUAGUUGGUGCUGGUCGCCGAAAGACUUUUAUUACAACGUUGAAAGGAUGAAACGUCAGCCUUUCAGAAGCAUAGAGGUAGCCCGUGCAGUGCUCUUCAGAUGCUACAGACUACCAUACCCAUCGUCCAUGGCCAUUGCCCAUGCUGACUGUGGAUGAUUGAAGUUGUAGUCCAAAGCAGCCAGCGUACACCAGGUUGAGCCCCCGUGCAAUAACACAAUGGGUAGAAGAAAGAACCUCCCUAUAUAUCCUGUGCAGAUGUCACUGGCAAAGAGAUAUCUAACAGAGCAUAUGGGCGGCUUCCAAAAAAAUAUUAAAAUACAGUAAUGCAUGAAACAUUAAAAGCUUCCCUAAACAGGACUGCCUUCUAAAAGUCUGGUAGUUGUUCUUCUCUUUGACAUCUGGUGGGAGGGUGUUCCACAGGGCGGUCGCCACUACCGAGAAGGCCCUCUGCCUGGUUCCCUGUAACUUGGAUUCUCACAGUGAGGGAACCACCAGAAGGCCCUCAGAGCUGGACCUCAGUGUCCAGGCUGAAUGAUGGGGGUGGAGACGCUCCUUCAGGUAUACUGGGCCGAGGCCGUUUAGGGCUUUAAAGGUCAGCACCAGCACUUUGAAUUGUGCUCAGAAACAUACUGGGAGCCAAUGUAGAUCUUUCAAGACCUGUGUUAUGUAGUCUCGGCGGUUGCUCCCAGUCCCCAGUCUAGCUGCCGCAUUCUGGAUUAGUUGUACUUUCUGGGUCAUCUUCAAAGGUAGCCCCACAUAGAGCACAUUGCAGUGGUCCAAGUGAGAGAAAACCAGAGCAUGCGUACCAGAUGGAGCUGGUAGACAGCUGCCCUGGACACAGAAUUGACCUGUGCCUCCAUGGACAGCUGUGAGUCCAAAAUGACUCCCAGGCUGCGCACCUGGUCCUUCAGGGCACAGUUACCCCAUUCAGGACCUGGGAGUCCUCCACACCCACCCACCUCCUGUCCCCCCAAAACAGUACUUCUGUCUUGUCUGGAUUCAGCCUCAAUCUGUUAGCCGCCAUCCAUCCUCCAACCACCUCCAGACACUCACACAGGACCUUCACCACAUAUAUACCUACCAGGGAGUCAGUUCCAUUGAGCUCAAUUGACGCCUGCUUCUUAGUAGACACGCAAAGGCUUGAUAUCACCAUGAAAUCAUUCUAUGCUGGUAGGGAGUGACUGGUGCUGCCUGGGAAUUUGCAGAAACCAGAAAUAUUGUGGUUUUUAAAAUGUACAGUGUAAUUUAUGAGUUUGGCCUCAUCAAAGCAAAAUUCAGGUGAAGUCAUGCCAAUGCCAUAUUUUGGUUUGCCAUCUUGAUUAAAGAUGGUGCCUGAUGUCUAAAAGGUUGACAAUGCCUGUCACCCCCACUGCAAGAACCCUUGUGUAUAGUUCAGUGACAAUAUCUCCAGAGGCGGACAAACCUUUAGAGAACUGGCAGGAGGAUAGAUAGACAAACCACUUUCCAAAAUAUAGUACAUUUUUGGACAUCCUGCUUUAUUCUCCUAAUAUGGAACAAAAUCUUAAAUAGCAGGUCUCCUUGGGCAACAGUGUAGGCUGCAUGGAGGCAACCUUUGUUUACAACCAAGGAGAAAGAAAGGAAAUUCAAGUGACUCUCAGGGAUAAAUGGUAAUUCUCUUUCGCAUACCUAAUCUUGAUGCUGGUUUAUUUUCCCCAGCCAAAGACUAAUAAUAUAAGGGUUGAGAGACAAGGCAAAUGCAAAUGUUAUAUAUAUAUAUACAUAUAUAUAUAUAUAUAUAUAUAUAUAUAUAUAUAUAUAUAUAUAUGGUAUACACACACGCACACACACACACAGCCUGAUUACCAGCACAGCAAAAUCCUCCUUUUUAAGACCCCUCUGCCACUUUGCUAUUGUUCCUGUGCUAUAUCUUUUUGCACCAUUUUGUGCAUUUUUCCUGGGUCUUAGACUCAUGAAAAGGAGGGGGGGGAAGCCCCGAUGUAGAAUAAGCUUCUUAUUCAUUGCAAUGGGACCUCAUCUAGUAAAAAUAAUUAGACCUGCAGGGAACUGUUCCUGUGUGUUGCCAGCACCAGCCAACGAACCCCUCAAAGCACGCCAGUUUUAGCUCAGAGGUUUACUGAUGUGCUCCCAGUAGGGCUGUUCCUCAUCGCGAAACCUGAAUAUUGCUGUAGACCUUUCAUGCAUUGAAGAGGAAGACUCGACAAAAGGGAUUUUAAGAUUCUAGGUCAGGGAAGAAGAAAAGGCUGACGUAUGAAAGGAUAGCAGAAUUACCAGAGGUCGGGUGGGAGGCAUGGCGCAGCGAUAGUAAAGGUGCAGAGGAUGUUAAGGUUCCCCCCCCCCCCAUGUUGGGGAGGGGGGGAAAGGAAUUUCAGGACGUGAAGAUUUUACAUACCUCUGCAUGACAAACCUCCUUCUUUCCCAAUGUAGUAAAAUAAAAUAGAACUGAGAAUCAUCAGCAUACUGGCGAUGGGAGUUAGAGUCCAAUGGCAGAGCUACAGGUCCAGUAUCCCUGAAUAUCCCUGAUGGGAUCACAGGUCCCAUCCCUGAAGUGGAAGGAGUUUGUAAUUUCAGUGAACCCCUACCAAGAAGAGCUGCAUCUAAUAUCCAUCCGUUUUUAAAGAUGGGGGGGUGGGCAAUAUCUCUUUCCUCCACUCCCCAUUGUUGGAAGUCAGUUCAUGUAAGUUUGAAAAACAAUACCAACUUGAUUUGUUAGCAAAUCAAUCAAUAGCAAUUCUGAUUCUCCAUCGCAGCCCCAGCCAGCCUACAAAGAUAAUGGGAUGCAAAACUUCUUAAUACAAUCUUCUCUAUGAAAUCCCUGGAGAAAAUGAUUUGCGGAAUGUGUGCUUUUUUUGUUUUCUUGUUUUUUGCACCAAGCAAACCAAGAAGCAAGUGUGAAUACAGAAAAGAAAUCCUUUGAAAUGACUCACUGAAAAUGCAAUAAGCAGACUGUGAUGGCCUGGGAUUUGGACUCAGAGGCUGAACCUAAAGAAUCCCAGCCUGCACAAGAGUCCCCGCCUCCAGAACCAGAUGAGCCGGGGCUGGGGCCUGAACCUGAAGGGUCCUCACCUGUGCUGGAUCCUCAGGUGCAGGCAUCAGCUGAGUCUGUUCUGGCUCCUGAGGUGAUGGAGGACCCAUUGCCUGCAGGUGCUCCACUCUCAGCCCCGUCAGGGGAAGAGGAGGUUGCCUCUGGGUCCGGUAACCUCCAGCCUCUCCUGAGCUGCAGAGGCUCAGGGCAGAGAGGUGGAGGGAACUAAGUUCUCGCAGGAGGAGUGCUCGCCUCCAGGCCAGGAGAUGCGAGUCACCUGUGGACUGGGGCCACCCUAUGCCUCGGGGCAGAUAAAAGCCAGUCAGCCCCAGUCCCAGGUUGUGGGAGCAAUGUUGUUGCUAGCCUGUUCCUGCCUGCACCCUGUCCUGCUCUUCUGCCAGAGUUCCUGACCUCGCCUCACCUUUGAUGGACUGUAUCCAUACCAGACCCUCGACCUCGGACUGGACUCAGACCUCACCACACGGUUGACCCUUGGGACCAGCACACAGGCCUUUGCAAAACAAAAGCAAAUCCUGUCAACAGAGUUUGAGGUUGAGAUGAAUUUUCUAAACUUCUUUUAUAAAGGGUAGGUGCCAGCCAUCAAUAAUACCUUAAUGGAGUGGACAAAAGAUGUGGGUUGACAUGUGUUUCAUGGCUCACGAUUUCUGGAGGAUAUUCGGAGAUUAAAGUCCAGAGAAAGAAAUGCUGAGAUCCAGGUAGCUAUGAUACUAUAUGAUACGAUAAUCUUUAUUGUCAUUGUCCCAUACAGAACAACGAAAUUAAGGCAGCUGCUGGGGCGUAGCUAGCUGCUUGGGCACCAGGGGUGGCAGGGGCGGAGGAGCUGCCCAUGGGGGAGGGCAAUCCACCCAUGGGGGCAGGGCGAGCCACCCACAGGGGCACCGCAGCUAUCUGCCCCAGGGGCGGUGCAGUGAGCUGCCCACGGUGUCCGCCUGGUAGACACAAGACCCAAUCUGCCAUUUCGGGCAGCGCAGAGGCCCCGAGCCACCAUGUCACUCCCAAGAGAGGUAUGUGGCUCAGGAGCACUGCAGGCCAGGCCCCGCGGUAAGUGUCGACCCCUGCAGUGGGCCAUUUCGUCACCCCCCUCAAGGAUGACAUCGGGGUGGACCUCCCCCUUCCUACACCCCUGGCAGCUGCUGCACCUAUGUUUCCUUUGGUGUGUUGUAGUCUGGUAUAUAUAUAUAUAUUCUGGGACGCAGGUGCCACUGUGGUGUAAACCACUGAGCCUCUUGGGCUUGCCAGUCAGAAGGUCGGUGGUUUGAAUCCCCAUGACGGGGUGAGCUCCCGUUGCUCUGUCCCAGCUCCUGCCAACCUAGCAGUUCGAAAGCACACCAGUGCAAGCAAAUAAAUAGGUACUGCUCCAGUGGGAAGGUAAACGGUAUUUCCCUGCACUCUGGCUUCCGUCAUGGUGUUUCGUUGUGCCAGAAGUGGUUUAGUCAUGCUGGGCACAUGACCCAGAAAAGCUGUCUGUGGACAAAUGCCAGCAUUGGAAUGCAGAAAUAAAUGUUUUUAUCAUAUGUGGUGGGAAUGUAGAGAAGUUUAAAAGAUUUGGGAAAUGAUAUAUAAUUAAUUGAAGGAAAUGUUUAAAAUGACAUUUGCAAAAAAACCAGAAGCAUUUUUGUUAAGGAUUGUAUGACAAAACCUGCCAAGGAAAAUAAGAAACCUAUUUAUGUAUGCUACAAUAGCAGCAAGAGUCUUGAUAGCACAAGGAUGGAAGAAUGAGGAAACCCUGACAAAAGAACAGUGGCAAGAGAAAUUGAUGAACUAUGCAGAACUGGCUAAAUUGACAUGCAAAUUGCGAGACAAGGACAACUGUGACUUCAAGGAGGAAUGAGAACUUUUCACAAAUUAUUUAAAAAUACAACAAAAUGAACUGGACUCCUUGGCAGGUUUUGAAUAAACAUACACAAAUUUAUUGUUGAUAACAUGAUGGACAGAUAUGUAAGGAUAUAUACAAUUUUAUAAUAUGCAGAGAAAAUAUGUGCAGCAAAAUCAGGGAGAGGAGCUGAGGGAAGUCUUGGGGGGAGGGUGGGGGAGAAAUGAGGGGGGAAAUUAUGUCGGUGAUUAUAUGGUUUGAUAAUUUGUUAUGUGGAAAUUGAGCAAUAAAAAAUAUUUUUUAAAAAUAAAUAGUCUGGUAAGAUUGCUAGAUGACAGAAUAAAGAAACUUAAAGUUUAUUAGUCCUGGCAAACAAAGUCAUUCUGAGUAGCAGCUUCAAGGGAUCACCAGGAAGUGAACAAAUGGAAGGUCUAAAGCUAAUCAGGAGAAGAAGCAGGAAGGAAGUAAAGUCUGAGAAAGCCGCCCAUUGAGGGGGGGGCAGCAGAGGUGGGAUGAGGCACCGUGGGGCCUCCAGAGUCUGCCUGCCUCCUCCCACUCAGCCACCCUACAGCUAGAGAGGAGGCAGCGGGUGAACCGUUGGGGCAGCAAAGAGCCUGCGCGUGCCCAAGCCACCGCAUCUCUCCCAGGAGAGACGCAUGGCUCGGGCGCACUGAAGGCCCCCAGCAUUUUGUCACCCCCUCAGUGGUGACACCCGGGGCGGCCCGCACCCACCGCACCCCCUUUCCUCUGCCCCUGCCGAGAAGCAAAUCUACAGGCAGCUGCUCAAUAAGGAUGCGCCCAAGGAAACGGGGGCAAUUGGAGCCCCUAGCUGGCUCCAGCCCACCGGCCGGCAGCCGGGCGAUCUCCGGUCCUUGGAUUAGCAUGUAAUUGCAAUUCAAGUUUCAGAAGCUGAGCAAGCCAGCAGAGAUAAGAACUCUUCGCAACAGAAGGGCAGAUAGAGGCUGCAUAAAGCGUAUGCAGGCAUUUACCGGCAUUUUAUUCAGCAUCAGAACAAAGGGGAAAACAUGUAUUCUCCCCUUCGUGUCCAAGCAAGCAGCAUAAGCAAAAGCUAUGCACACAACGGAAGUUCCCAGCAAGCUGUGCUGGAAUGUAAACAGACAUGUGACAUACAACAACUCCACAUAUCUGUUACGGUGGAACGGAAUAUUGUAACAGCCCGCACCCACUUCAACCCCCUGCCGAGAAGCAAAUCUACAGGCAGCUGCUCAGUAAGGAACCAGUGAGGAAAGAUCAGGUUGCCUUUCUGGCAUACGGAUUCCUUUUGAAGAGUGUUUUAGCAGUGCACAGAUGUGCAUUGGUAUUGGUUCCAGCUGGUGUUCCAGCUAUGGUCCUUUCUGGGAAGAGAUAGCUUGGCUGCAUUUCUGAACACUUUCCAAGAAAUGAAGACAAGUUAAAUGGGAUUGCACAGAGGAUCCCAGGUCUCGGCCUUCCUCCACCUUCCAUCCCAGUGAACUCAGCAAGUUUGGGGGGAAUGGGAUAUCAACUCCGCCGUGCUAACAAGUGCGCCAUAUGAUUUAUUUGCUAGACGUGGUAUGUUUCCUACAAUGUCUCCUUUUGUUUUUUCUCGUGUUAAGAUGUGGGUAGUUUUACUGGAACACUUUUGAGCUUCGAACAGUCAUUUAUAAGCUACUUACAUUAUAAGCUACAUUCUGUAACUUGGAGGGUAGCUGAGAGAACAGCCGCUUGGCUUCUCUGAGCAACUUCUGGAAAACUAAUCCUAUAUAAUGGAAUGAAAUGCCUCCCUUGGUGGGAACAUUUUCCCAGCCCGUUUUCUUCAUUUAGGCCAGGUCUGUCUGCCAAAUCUCUCUCUCUCUCCCUCUCUCUCACACACACACUAAGCCAACCAAAUGGCAUUAUGAAUAUUUCAAACAAUUCCAAGACAUUGGGAGCCGGAAUGGGCAAAUCUGCCAAUUCUGGUUUCUCUCUGUUUUUCAUUUUUUUUACUUAACGUUCAGAUUCUCUCUGUAUCCACCUCUGUUUGUGGUUUAUAUUUUUUUUAAAGUCCUUUUGAAAACACACCAGCAUUUUAGUGCGAAGUUCUCCCAAUGUGCACAUUUUUUCUAUGGAAUUUUCCCUAACAUGCACAUACUUGCAAAGCAGUUUUCACGUGUGUUUUUUGCUUAUAUUCACUCAAAAUGUAGCCUCUCACUUCCCUUCCAUCUGCCCCUGCCCAACCAAUGUAUUGUUUUAGAGAUUGCUAAUGCCGUAUUGAUUUUUUCAGCCAUAUAAUAUGCCUUUUGUGUUAACCGCAAUGUUUAGCUUAUUUUUAUUGUUUUUUUGUUAAUAGUGUUUUACAGCUUGUAAUUGUUGACGUUUUCUUAAUUAUUUUAUAGGACUUACAAUGUACUUGCGAUGCUCUAUUAUUGUUCUUUAUUGUUUGUAAGCUGCUUUGAGAUUCAUUUGAAUGAAAAGCAGCAUAGAAAUACAAUAAAUAUAAAUAAAUAUAAAUAUAUUGUUGCAGGCCACCCUAAUCUCUGAGCGGUGUGAGACUCCAGGGGGUCUAGACCCUUAUCCAGAGCUGUUUCCUUGGAAUGAAGGACUGAAGAGACUGUGGUGUCUUUAGGAUACAUGGUUUAUUUACACAUACAGUGGUAUCUCAGGUGCUGCUGAAAAAGUCUGCUGACCCUGGCCCUAGAUUAUGAGGUUGAUAGUUUUAAUUCACUGCCCUCCUUUUACUCUAAGGUCCCAGGAACAGCUUGCAACCAUUUAAAAUACAGCAUUAAAAACAGUUUAAAAUAGUUUAAUUUUUAAAAACAGUUUUAAACAAUUUAAAAUAAAUUACAUAACCUUUUGCUGUGCUAUUUUUCUAGGGAAAGUGGUGCUGGAACUCACCACGAAUGCCUCCCUUGUUCUCUUAUAAUGGCAAUGGCACCCACCUGAGAGUUGCCAGAACCGAGUUCCAGGAAGUUUUGGCGGGGGGUGGGGGGACCUGGUUUGAUAUGGAAUUCCUUGUACCUUUGUGGACUGGCAAAGCUCUUGCAUUUCUACAAAAUACACAUUUUCAAAUGCAUUACUCGGUUGCAGAACCACACUGCAAAACUUGGAGAAGGGCAGCUUAUGAUUUUGGAAAUUGCAGCUAGGCAGGUUUGCCUUUCAUGGAAUCAUAGAGUUGGAAGGGACCACGAGGCUCAUCUAGUCCAGCCCCCUGCAAUGCAGGAAUCUUUGCCCAAUGUGGGGCUGGAGCCCACAACCUACAGGACCGCCUCUCCUGGUAUACCCCACGGAGGACCUUAAAUGACAACACUUUGGAGGUCCCAAGUCACAAGGUGGUUAGAUUGGUCUCAACUAGGGCCAGAGCCUUUUCAGUAGUAGCCCCGACUUGGUGGAACGCUCUGUCACAAGAGACUAGGGCCCUGGGGGACAUGACAUCUUUCCGCAGGGCCUGCAAGACGGAGCUGUUCCACCUGGCCUUUGGUUUGGACUCAGUCUGACCCUUAUGUUUCCCUCCCCUUAUGGUUUUGAUCUAUGGGCUACUUUUAAAAUGAGGCUGCAUUUAAAUUGCAUUUUAACCUGUAUUUUAAAUUGGUUUUGGGGUUUUUUUUGUACCUUGGGUUAAGUACUUAAUUUGUUCUGGAGGUCUGUUCUUAACCUGAAACUGUUCUUAACCUGAAGCACCACUUUAGCUAAUGGGGUCUCCUGCUGCUGCCGCGCCGCCGGAGCACGAUUUCUGUUCUCAUCCUGAAGCAAAGUUCUUAACCUGAAGCACUAUUUCUGGGUUAGCGGAGUCUGUAACCUGAAGCGUCUGUAACCCGAGGUACCACUGUAUGCUUUUAUUGCAAUUUUACUGGUGUUAGCUGCCCUGAGCCUGGCUCUGGCUGGGGAGGGCAGGGUAUAUAUUAUUAUUAUUAUUAUUAUUAUUAUUAUUAUUAUUAUUAUCAACCCUGUGAUUAUGAGUCUCUGCCAACAGAGCUUUCCCAGCUUUAAUGAAUCAACUCUUCCCCCAUCCCAAAUUGGGAGUCCCUUCUCAUUUUAUUUGCCUCCCUUGGUUUGGAAAGUUCGGGGGAAGGACCGCCAUCAGAGGUAAAAAGGCAAAAAGGAAACCCACCACCUGCAGAAACAAGAGCCGAGGUGUACUUUGCGCCGAUUCUGUGCCCAAGUUCAAAAUUGGAAGUGUCAGAAAGAGAGUGACACCUAAGGGCCCUCUCUGUGUUUGCGUGUGUUGCCAGUCCUUUCAAAACAUUGAUCCUAAUGGCUACAGAUGGCACCCACCAGUUUUUCACAGCUCCCUACCCCACAAGCAGAUGUCUUUGUUACACGCAACACGGCCGCGUGCAAGAAAAAUGUGACAGGAAGCAGAGGUACAGGGGAACGGCAUCUCUCCCCCUCCCUGCUCUCUCAUUGCUCACAGACACACACAUACUUUUCCGAACUCGGUGUGCCUGGCAAGGCUGCGUUUUCGCUCCAGGCACUGGACUCCCACACGAUGCCUCUUUGAAGAGCAGCAGACAGCUCGCUAACUGGCCCUGGACGGGUGUUACAAAUGGAUUAGCUACUUCUAGGCUCAAUUCUGUGCAAGAAUUGGAACUCAUCUCACACCAGUGGGGCUCUUGGGAAUAGAGGGUGUUGUUUUUCUCCCUCCAUCCCCCCCCCCCCUCUCUCUGCUAAUGUCUCUCAGGAUUUCCAACAGCAAGAGAAGAGCAGCAGGGACUGCUUUUAUUUCAUGCUAACUAAAUGCCCAGAAAAUAAAGGUGGGGGAGAGCGCACUCUGAUCUCUCUUUCCAGGAAAACAUAUCAGUCUCUUUCUCACUUUCCUUCUUCCUUCACAGUUCAUCUCCUGGUGCUGAGAGUCAACUCUUAGUUCAAAUGCUUAACUUUUUUUGGGCGGGGUAUAGCACAUACAAGGGACGCGGAUGGCGCUGUGGGUUAAACCACAAAGCCUAGGACUUGCCAAUCAGAAGGUCGGCGGUUUGAAUCCCCUGUUGCUGGGUCCCUGCUCCUGCCAACCUAGCAGUUCGAAAGCACGUCAAAGUGCAAGUCGAUAAACAGGUACUGCUCUGGCGGGAAGGUAAAUGGCCUUUCCGUGCGCUGCUCUGGUUCGCCAGAAGCGGCUUAGUCAUGCUGGCCACAUGACCCGGAAGCUGCACGCCGGCUCCCUCGGCCAAUAAACUGAGAUGAGCGCCGCAACCCCAGAGUCGGUCACGACUGGACCUAAAAGUCAGGGGUUCCUUUACCUUUUAUAGCGCAUACAGGUGUUCAAAGCACCUCAUGUGCAUUAGCUAUUCACUUAAAAGGCACUCUAGGGCACUUUUAAAAGUGGGGGGGGGAGGGAAACAAAAAAUUCAAGACAGGCUUACAAAGGAAUGAAUAAAAAUACAGGCACCGUCAUAAAAUGGUUAAUAAAGGCCAGUCGUGAAAACAACAAAUAUACUGUACACAGAUAGCACCCCUUGAUCAACGGCAGGGGUGGGGGUGGGCCUUUUCCACCCCAAGUGCCACAUGGCAGUGGUGGGCGGAGCCAGAGGCAAAAGUGGGCGGAGUGACAAAUGCAAAUGUCACCUUUGUGCCAUAGGCUGUAUUAAAAAAUUACACAUCACUUGGGAAGACAGGCAAACUAAUACCAGUGUACUGGAAGAAGCAAAGAUCACCAGUGUUGAAGCAAUGAUUCUUCAACAUCAACUUCGUUGGACUGGUCAUGUUGUGCGGAUGCCUGAUUAUCGUCUUCAAAAGCAACUACAGUACUCUAUUCCGAACUUAAAAAUGGAAAGCAUAAUGCUGGUGGUCAACAAAAGAGUUUCAAAGACUCUCUCAAGGCAAAUCUUUAAAAAUGUAGUAUAAACACAGACAACUGGGAAACACUUGCCUGCAAGCGCUCCAGUUGGAGAACAGCCUUUACUAAAGGUGUCAUGGACUUUGAAGACACUCGAACUCAGGACGCAAGGGAGAAAUGUGCUAAGAGGAAGGCGCCCUUGGCAAAUCCACACCAUGAUCAACUCCCGCCCGGAAACCAAUGGCUCCACUGUGGAAGGAUGUGUGGAUCCAGAAUUGGCCUCCACAGUCACUUACGGACUCAUUGUUAAAACUGUGUUUGUGGAAGACAAUCUUACUUGGCUACGAGUGAUAGUGAAAGCAGAAAGAAGAAGAUUUGACACCCACUCAUGCAGCCCUCUCUAGCCUCCAUCCAGACAAGAUGGUUUCAAAGCUCAAGGACACGUUACAGCUGGGUGGGGGGAGCUGGGUUAGUGAGAGGCAUGGUCUACAGAGAAGAGGGUGGGCCUGGGAGGAAUUCUGUGGUUUAGAGAGGUCUGGAGGCGUGCAUUGGACAGCUGAGCCUGAGGUUCCCCAUCUCCCUGCUUCUAAGCUUUAAAGGUUAGCACCAGAGUUAAUUCUUACAACAGGAAUGUCAUGUGAUUCACUAUUAUGCUAUGUGCUGUUUUGCAGAAGGGGGAAUGGUGCAGAGAGAAACCGAGGCAGCCUAGGGUCAGUGUAUUAAUGGCAGAGGCAAAACUCAAACCAGAGACUUCCCAGUCCAUAGAGCAGUAACUCAGCUGCUACGCUAUGUAAACUCUGGCCCUACUCCUAAGCAAGCAAAGAAUUAUGGUGCCACAAAGGUUGCAAAGGCUUUAAAAGCCCAGGUCUGUGCAUCGCAAGUGAUGCAUCCUAAAAUGACCCGAAUCAGAAUAUUUCUCUUCAUGUAAAGCUCUCUCGUUAGCAAGCGGCACUUAAAGAGACUUUCUCACGUUUCAAAUAAUUAGCUUUCCAAUGAACACACGAAGCUGCCGUUGUCGUGUCACGACCGCAGCAUGCAUUUCAAGUGUUAUGAGACCACUUUAAACAGCAAUGGCUGCCCCUAAUGAAUUAUGGGAACUGUAGUUCUCUUUAACUAGGCUGAUUAAUAUUCUGCAGCCUUUUAAAUGUGUUUGUGGGAGUCGUGGGUUAUUGCUUUGUUGUUUCUGUUAACUAUCAUCUAUUAACUUAUUUGUGCUUUUAUCUUGUAUUUUUAUCUUGUGAACCGCUCUGAGGUCUUAUAUAAAUCUAAUAAAUAAAGAAAUAGUUUGUUAAGGCUGCAGAGAGAUGUUCAGAGAUGCCUAUUCCACCCACCCCGCCCCCAGAUCUACAAUUCCCAGAGUGGCAUAACAAUCAACCUGUCUCCCCAGGGAACUGUAUCUCUCUGUCCAGAAUGAAGGCAAAAGGUCUGAAAGCACAGCAGCCAAGUCCAUGGGGUAUUUGGGGAAGGGCAACACCCAGGAAACAUUUCUCUGUGACCCAAUAUAUACUGUGUUGUGUAAAGCAAAACUCAAAAGGGAUCAGAUACAACAGGUGUUCUGGAACCAUGAAUCACGGGGUUUUCCAGUAAAGCUGGGGGGGAAACAAAUAAAUUUAUUGGCAAAGCAAUGGAUAAUAGUUCAACCAUAUUAUUGCUGAAGCCUGGCAUGAAUCAGAGGAAGGAAGAGAAGCGAUGGGGAUGUCGUGCUUAUCGUGGCAGUAUGCAAAUUGUGGAAUCCACCAGAACAAACAUGUUCAAGCAAGCUUCUUUUACUAGGAGUUGCAGUGCAGGUCAUACUGUUCCUAGGCUGGAGACCAUAUACACAAAAAGUAACUUUAAGAGACAAGCAGAUACAUUCCAAAGAACUGAACCAACUCAACCUUCCUUGGGCUGGGGAGCAGGGGAAGUAUGUGACUAACUUUCUAAGGAAUCAAGCAGACCAUAUUACCUGGGAACUGGGGGAAUGCCCAUCAUUCACAGUGGGCUCUUGAGUGUGUGGAGGAGAGGGAGUGACCCUCCCCUUCUAAGGAAAGGUUACAACAUUUGGGUGUUUCCAGAUUAGAAAAGGGCUGAGUAAGGGAGCAUAACAGGGGUGUGCAAAGGAGGAUGGGGAAAAGUGUUCAUUCAGUGGGGCUUAAAUGGAUGGCAGAAGAUCCAGGACAGACUAAAUCAGCAGUUCUCAACCUGUGGGUCCCCAGAUGUUGUUGGACUACAACUCCCAUCACCCCUAGCUAGCAAGGCCAGAGCUCAGGGAUGAUGAGAGUUGCAGUUCAACAACAUCUGGGGACCCACAUCUGGGGAACCGCUGGACUAAAUGAAGAAGGGCUUCAGAUAGUGCAUGGCUAAACGGGGAAUUUGCUAUUUCAAGAUACAAUGACGGCCACCAACUUGGCUUGACUUGGCUUGUCCUGAAUCUUCCAACAUUCAGGGGGAUUUUUCUCUGUUCACUUUCUCCUUGCCAUGCAUAAUUGGGUGAACUUCUUUCAUGUCACCUCCUCUUCCCCUUUUCUUUAAAUUAAGAACUCCCAAAUGCUGCAGCCUUUCCUCAAAGGGAUUCGCUCUAGUCCCUUGAUCAUUUAGGUCAAUAAUUUUUUAAAAUUUAUUUUUGUACAAAUUUAACAAAUCAAAUUGUAAAUCAAUAUAAGAAAUUACAUUUUUUCCCCUUUUCCCCCCUCCCUCCCUCUCCUACCCUCUAGAGACUUCCCUCAGCUUCCCUCUCUGAUUUGUUUAUACAUGUUAUUCUCUGCAUAUUGUGAAAUUGUACAUAUCAUUGCAUUAUCUAUCAUAUAUUCUACUAAUAAAUUUGUGGAUGUUUAUUCAAAACCUGCCAAGGAGUCCAAAUCCUUUUGUUGUCUUUUUAGAUAGAUUGUAAAAAGUUCCCAUUCUUCCUUGAAGUCACGGUUGUCCUUCUCACGUAAUUUAUAUGUUAACUUUGUCAACUCCACAUAGCUCAUCAGUUUUUCUUGUCAUUGUUCUUUCAUUGGGAUUUCCUCGUUCUUCCAUUGGUCAAUAAUUUUUGACCUAGCCAACCUUGCAUUUAUGGUCCAGACCCAGAGAGGCAAUAGGGCAGUUGCUCCACCAAAGGGCCUCUAUGCGAUAAUCUUUAUUGUCAUUGUCCCAUACAGAACAACGGAACUGAAAAUCUACAUCAGACAUUCAGAAAUGAACAAGCUUGCUAGCUCUGCUAUCCCAGCCUGGUUAGCCCCCUAAAAACCCUGAUACCCCAUAAUUAAAUACAAUAUACUCCCAUAGAGACUACCGUACACUGUGUUUAAAACCAAAAUCGCAUUUGAAUAGAAACUGUUUCUCAAGCGGCUUUUGUUGUAUAGUCAUUUAGUCAUGUCCAACUCUUCGUGACUCCAUGGACCAGAGCACGGUUAGGCCUAGUCCUAGUCUUUAUAACCCUGUACGUUCUUCCAGAAGGCAGAAGCUGAAAGAAAUAAUUUCCGGGGGACGCACUACCCUGCACUAUCUCUGCAGCUUUCUUAUGGCACCUGGAAGCAUAGAUUUGAUCCAAGGUAGGGAGAGUGUACCCAAUUAUUCUCUCCGCAGUCUUUACAACCCUGGACAACAUUGUUUUUUCCCUGACUGUGCAGCUCCCAAACCACACAGAGACCAUAAAUUAAUACACUCUCAACAGUACAAUGGUAAAAUGCCAUCAACAGGUCCUUUGAGAGAUUAUUUUUCCGCAGGAUUCUCAGAAAAUAUAACCUCUGCUGGGCUCUCUUCAUCAGGUCUUUGCUGUUUUCUCUCCAGGUUAGGUCAUCUCUUAACUCCAAUCCCAGAAAUCGAAACACUGAGACCUGUUCCACACACUUCCCCUCAAUAGAGGGAACACCAGGCCAUCAUUGGAGACCAGCUUGUUUUCUACCACCAGCUGCUUCACAGAGGAGGUUGAGCAGCUAUCCUGCACUAGGAAUUCCUUCCAAAGUGCUUCUGGCUGCCAUUCCUUUAUAAUAAUAAUAGUUAUUUUCCCAUUACGUUGGCCACUUCCUCAAUGGCAUGAGGAUCACCAAUCAACUCAUUAUACCUGUGCUGGCAAGUGGAAAAAGUACUACUUCUCCAGAAAUGUACCAGAGGAAGGCCAGGUUAAUAAUAAUAAUAGAAAUUCCAUGUACCUCUUUCAUCUUUAUCUUACGGCAGCAAUAAGAGCCGCCACCCAAUGCAUUUCCGGAGGAUUAAUAACCAGUUUGGGGUUAAUGGCCUCUUCGUCUGUGCACUGGGCCAUCAGCUCCUCCCAGCCAGUCAUUAAUCCCACAAAAAUGCUUGUGCCAGUCUAUAAAUAGCUUCCCAUCCAGGAUAUCUCUUUGGGGAACUAAUGGGGAGCUGGAAUUAUUACCCCGGGCAAAUGUUCCAAGACGCUAGUUAAUCUCCAGAUACUGCCAGCCAAGUUUGAUUGUUAUUCUUUCAUUCUCGGACGGCCGAAAGCAACCCUUGUGUGACCCGGACACAGCAGUGACUUUUCAGAUGUUGCCAAUUUUCCCCCGCCCCUGAAGCAAAGACAUUUCAUAUUGGAGGGGGAGGGGAACAAAACCUGGAUUCAUUAUUGGGUUUAUGUUUCCCACAGACCCUUCAGGGCAUCGUUUCAGCGACGUUCUAUUAACUGAUCCCAGUGCAUCCAGGAAGGAGGUUGUGAAAUUGUGAGAGGAAAAGCUCACUUGCGAUGCAGGUGCAAAACCUCUCUUUAUUAUUUUAUUUGCCCUGCAAAUAAAAAUAGCAGUAUGCUAAGAUCAACCAGAGACAAGCCCACAAUAGGAACACUUAGGCCUUGGGCUCUGUACUCUGCAGACAUCGGCUCCUCUUUGUCCUCUCCAGUCAAAGUUCUCACUGUUCUGGCACAGCUUCUCCUAGCAUUAUGAGCUUAAAUUGUAUUUAUUUGUCCAUUUAUACCCCACUAUGCACCAGACUAACCUAGACACGCCCUCUGCCUGGUUCCCUGUAACUUGGCUUCUCACAGUGAGGGAACCGCCAGAAGGCCCUUGGCGCUGGACCUCAGUGUCCGGGUAGAACGAUUGGGAUGGAGACGCUUUUUCCUGCCCUUUACCUUCCCGCUGGAGGUACCUAUUUAUCUACUUGCACUGGUAUGCUUUUGAACAGCUAGGUUGUCAGGAGCUGAAACAGAGAAACGGGAGCUCACUCCGUUGUGGGGAUUUGAACCGCCAACCUUCUGAUCGGCAAGCCCAAGAGGCUCAGUGGUUUAACCCACAGCGAUAAUUCCUCCCCUGCAGAUGCCCCACCCUGCCUUGUGACUUCCAUCAGAUGGUCUGCCCAGCACAAUCACUCCAGAAAAUUUAGAAAAGAGUUCUGGAUGAUUAAUGACAGCUGGACGUGCCUAAAAGACACUGAAAAGUGUUGGAUGUGACAUUGAUUGAUAGACUGAAAUGGCAGAAUGUAUGUUAAUGCUGUUGUGGAUCUAAGGGGACAUUGAAGGCCUGGUAUUCACAAGAGACUGGUCUCCAUCAAGGAGGAGAUGCACGUAAGGAGCGGUGGGUCUGUUUCUCUCAAUUUCUUAUUUUUCCAGGCUUAAGCUAAAUUUGCAGCAUUUCCAUAUUGGUCUGGAUUUUUUACAGCAGUUGUUGUUGUUGUUGUUGUUGUUUUAAAACAGCCCUCGUGGAAAUUUUUUCAGCAUUUUUCAGCAUUUAUUUCAAUAUACUUUUUGUGUGUGCAUUUUUUUUUCCUUUUACGCUAAUAAUUACUAUAAUUAUAACUGACUUUUUAAAUGCUAUGCUUGCUAAUGCACGUAUUUUAUCCACACUUUCCCCUAAUUAUUCGCAUUUCCCCCUAAUGUACACAUUGUUGGCUGCGCUGCGAAAUUAAUAGAAGAGUGAUUUUCUCAGAAUUUCUGAAAUGAGAACCAAAGUGAAUUUCUCAGCCAUCCAUACAUGCAUGUGAACAGAAAACACAAUAAACGGUAUGUUCACAGACAGAAACAGCAAAAAUCUUUCCCACUGUUCCAAGUGUCUCAGCACAUGCAGGAAAACAUAUGAAGGAAAGAAGCUCCGUCUAUUCCCAUGCACUGACCACUUAGUCACAGCUGUAAUCCAGUAUGUUUUCUUUACAUUGCCUGUCUCAUUCCCUGCCCAGAGACACCCAUCACCAAACGCACACUUUACUUACUACAAUAACACUUAUUGUGCAUGAAAUAAUAAUAAUAAUACAGUGGUACCUCAGGUUACAUACGCUUCAGGUUACAGACUCCACUAACCCAUAAAUAGUGCUUCAGGUUAAGAACUUUGCUUCAGGAUGAGAACAGAAAGCGUGCUCCGGCGGCGCAGCAGCAGCAGGAAGCCCCAUUAGCUAAAGUGGUGCUUCGGGUUAAGAACAGUUUCAGGUUAAGAACGGACCUCCGGAAUGAAUUAAGUACUUAACCUGAGGUACCACUGUAGUAGUAGUAGUAGUAAUAAUAAUAAAAUAAUAAUAAUAAUAAUAAUAAUAAUAAUAAUAAUAAUAAUAAUAUUACCCCACCCAUCUGGCUGGGGCUUCCAGCACAUAUAAAAACAUAAUAAAACAUCAAACAUGAAAAACUUCCCAAUACAGGGCUGCCUUCGGAUGUGUAGUUGUUGUAGUUGUUGUAGUUGUGUAGUUGUGCAGUACUUUAUCUUCUUGACACCUGAUGGGAGGGCAUUCCACAGAGAGGACACCACUGCCAAGAAGGCCCUCUGCCUUGUUCCCUGUAGCAAACUCAUUAUGAACUUUAGCAUCAUUAGGUGUUCUUAUGCGUGAACAAGUCCUAACACGCCACCAAAAACCAACCCCAGGACAACUCACAGGGUUAGCAAGGGCAUGGAAAUCAAGCGAGAAUAUAUUGAAAUUUGCCUCUAGGCUAGAGUGGGAAAGAAGCAUAAACAAUAAAUUUGGAAGCUGCCGUGCAACUGAUGCCAGUUUAUAGUUGGCACCCUUUGGUUUUCCUGGUAGCAUUCAGGUUACGCAACAUAGUCACCCACAGAACCUGUGCAGACUUGAGGAACACAGGAUCCAUCUUUGUGGCGACUUCAGCAUCUAUGCUAUACCAGAAAGAAAUGGAUGCCUCGUAUACCCCAGGUAGUGUGGUUGCUGACCUUGAGCCAGACAUCCUGGAGAGUGAAGUCAAAUGGGCCUUAGAAAGCACUGCUAAUAACAAGGCCAGUGGAAGUGAUGAUAUUCCAGCUGAACUAUUUAAAAUUUUAAAAGAUGAUGCUGUUAAGGUGCUACACUCAAUAUGCCAGCAAAUUUGGAAAACUCAGCAGUGGCCGGAGGAUUGGAGAAGAUCAGUCUACAUCCCAAUCCCAAAGAAGAGCAGUGCCAAAGAAUGCUCCAACUACCGCACAAUUGCACUCAUUUCACAUGCUAGCAAGGUUAUGCUUAAAAUUCUACAAGGCAGGCUUAAGCAGUAUGUGGACCGAGAACUCCCAGAAGUGCAAGCUGGAUUUAGAAGAGGCAGAGGAACCAAAGACCAAAUUGCAAACAUGCGCUGGAUUGUGGAGAAAGCUAGAGAGUUCCAGAAAGACAUCAACUUCUGCUUCAUUGACUAUGCAAAAGCCUUUGACUGUGUUGACCACAGCAAACUAUGGCAAGUUCUUAAAGAAAUGGGAGUGCCUGAUCACCUCAUCUGUCUCCUGAGAAAUUUCUAUGUGGGACAAGAAGCUACAGUUAGAACUGGUUAUGGAACAACUGAUUGGUUCAAAAUUGGGAAAGGAGUACGACAAGGCUGUAUAUUGUCUCCCUGCUUAUUUAACUUAUAUGCAGAAUUCAUCAUGCGAAAGGCUGGGCUGGAUGAAUCCCAAGCCAGAAUUAAGAUUUCCGGAAGAAAUAUCAACAACCUCAGAUAUGCAGAUGACACAACCUUGAUGGCAGAAAGUGAGGAGGAAUUAAAGAACCUUUUAAUGAGGGUGAAAGAGGAGAGCGCAAAAUAUGGUCUGAAGCUCAACAUCAAAAAAACGAAGAUCAUGGCCACUGGGCCCAUCACCUCCUGGCAAAUAGAAGGGGAAGAAAUGGAGGCAGUGAGAGAUUUUACUUUCUUGGGCUUCAUGAACACUGCAGAUGGUGACAGCAGUCACGAAAUUAAAAGACGCCUGCUCCUUGGGAGAAAGGCGAUGGCAAACCUAAACAGCGUCUUAAAAAGCAGAGACAUCACCUUGCCGACAAAGGUCCGUAAAGUUAAAGCCAUGGUUUUCCCAGUAGUGAUGUAUGGAAGCGAGAGCUGGACCAUAAAGAAGGCUGAUCGCCGAAGAAUUGAUGCUUUUGUUUUUUGUUUUUUUUGUGUGUGUUUUUUUAUUAAUUUUUUUAUAUCGUCAUAUAUUGGUAGGACGAGAUGGUUGGACAGUGUUCUCGAAGUUACCAGCAUGAGUUUGACCAAACUGCGGGAGGCAGUGGAAGACAGGAGUGCCUGGCGUGCUCUGGUCCAUGGGGUCACAAAGAGUUGGACACAACUAAACAACUAAACAACAACAACAACAGCAUCUAUGCCGUGGUUAGGGUGCACUGGAACUGGUUGAGGCGUAAGGCAGGAGGCCAACAGUAUGUGGAGCCAGAGCCAAUGACAGGCAGAACCACCUAACUCUAGCAUUGCCCCCAUCCUCCUCCUUCUCCAUGCUGAGUUCUACAAGGAGCAACACUGAGACUAAAGAAGAAAGAUGGAGGCAGGCAGAGGGCAGACUGGGGUUGGUGGGGCAGUGCCCGACGUGCCUCAAUGAACCAGCCUCUGCUACAUCUAUCCAAGGAUGGUAGACCCCCAUGCCUGCCACUGUCAUGGAUUAGCUGGAUGCAGAGGAAUGGUGGGAGGCACCUGUUGGGGAACUCCCAAGAGAGCCCCUAGCAGAGGAAAGCUCAGAUCAGGGAUUGGUGGUGGGACGAUGGUGAAUGGUCAGAGGGGGAAGAGGGAGAAGACUGGGGAGAGGAGGUGUCAGAAGCUGAAGAGGUCACAGGGUUUCCUGAGCAGGAUGAGGCUGUGGCAGAGGCCAGUCCAGACUUUGAGGCAGCAGAGAAUGAGGAGGGUGAGGAGACAGAGAAGUGGCAGGUUAUGGAAGAAUCUAGGGUAGGGUUAACAGACGACCCCGGUUCCCGGGGACAGUGCCCGGAUUUGCAAAUCUGUCCCCAGACAAAUUACAUCCCCGGAAUGUCCCCAGAUUUGCAAAUCAGUUUUCGGGAAAUGUGGCAGCAGCAGCCUCAGCAGCCCAGAGCCAGCCUGGUAGCGCAGUUGGUUCUGGCUGGCUUCGGGAGCUGCUCACUGCCAUGGCGGCCGCCAUUUUUCCUCGCCAGAAGUCCCCGUAUGAUGUGUCUUGUGCGAUCUCCUGCCCCCUGCCCCCUUUGUUUUGACUGAUCGGGGGAGGCUCGAGAGUUGUGGGCGGGGGCCGUUUUUAAAGACUCUAUGCAUUUAUGUUUCACAGGGUGCGAAAGAAGAGCUUUGCACCUUUAUACAAUAUGCAUGUGUGCUUGGGCCCAGGGUCUUUUGCCUCACCACUACUGUUGCUACUCAGCUUCAAAAAAAAAAAAAAGUGUCCCCAGAUUCAUAGGGGGAAAAAACUGGCAACCAUAUAAUAAUAAUAAUAAUAAUAAUAAUAAUAAUUAUUUAUUUAUUUAUUUAUUUAUUUAUUUAUACAUACCCCGCCCAUCUGGCUGAGUUUCCCCAGCCACUCUGGGCAGCUCCCAGUCAAGUAUUAAAAACAAUAAAGCAUUAAAUAUUAAAAACUUCCCUGAACAGGGCUACCUUCAGAUGUCUUUUAAAGACAAGAUAGCUACUUAUUUCCUUCACAUCUGAAGGGAGGGUGUUCCACAGGGUGGGCACCACUACCAAGAAGGUCCUCUGUCUGGUUCCCUGUAACCUCACUUCUUGCAGUGAGGGAACCACCAGAAGGCCCUUCGGAGCUGGACCUCAGUGUCUGGGCUGAACGAUGGGGGUGAAGACGCUCCUUCAGGUAUACUGGGCUGAGGCCGUUUAGGGCUUUAGAGGUCAGCACCAACACUUUGAAUUGUGCUCAGAAACGUACUGGGAGCCAAUGCAGAUCUCUCAGGACUGGUGUUAUGUGGUCUAAUCUAGGGAGUCUUCCCCUUCUGCGGCAAUCAGCUCCCCUCACCUGGAGUCUCCCAGAACGAAAAGAGGAAUGAAAACGGCAGAGCAACAAGAGGCAAGACAGCAAAGUCUUUAUAUAUAUAUAUAUAUGUGUGUGUGUGUGUGUGUGUGUGUGUGUGUGUGUGUGUGUGUGUUUAACAUAUCAUUCUCAACAAUUAUUAAACAUACUUUUUUAUCUUAUACAAUUUUUUUUUACUUCCGUCAAUCACAUCUGAAAAUUUUCCGAUCUUUUCACUUAAUUUGCAUUUCUUACUUUCACUAUUACAUUUAAAUAUCAUAACUAAUAACUCUCUUCUCUCGAUUCAGCAAAGUCUUAGGCUGCUGGGGAAGGAACCUGGGGAGGAGCCUUAGAGAGCCGAGGGAAGGCAGGGACCUUUCAUCCUUGCAACUGCUUCAUUGGGGCCAGACCCAUUGAAAAGGGUUGUUGCGACCACUAGGACGGAGCUGUUUUGUUUCUCUGAAUAAAGGGUUAACUUCACUGACACUGGGUGUUUUCUUGCUGACCUGCUCCUGACUCCCAGCUCCUGACACUAACUUUCUUGCUCCAUACGGCCACGUGCCCUGCAGGGAGUGUGCUCUAUUCAAAAACCAAUUUAUCUCACAUCAGUUGGGUCAGAUCUGUAGCAAGAAAGGUUUCACAACUGUGUGGCAGCCACGAGCUGCUCUUUCCCUGCUCUUUCACAUCCGCCCAGACACACAAAAUCAACUGUAAGUUGCAAAACAGUGUGCUUGAGUCACAGUGCACCUGAAGCGGGAAAACUGAUGAUUAAGAGACUAAAUCAGCCUCCCUUGACCAGGUAUUCUCCAGAUCUUUUGGACAACUGCUAUAUAUUUAAUGUGCAUUUAUGGGGAAAUGAAUAGUUUAGGGCGAAAUGCACUGAAAGUACUCAAAAAUUCAGGUUAAUAAAAUUUCUUUAUUGUUACAUUUAUAGCCCAUCUUUCCUCCAAGAAGCUAUGGUGUACAAAUAAAUAAAUAAAAAUUGUCCAGUAGCACAUUAGAGACCAACUACCAUAAGUUCAUUCUGGGUAUAAGCUUUCGUGUGCAUGCACACUUAUUCAGAUGCCAGAUGCAUGCACACGAAAGCUUAUACCCAGAAUGAACUUUGUUGUUGUUUAGUCAUUUAGUCAUGUCCGACUCUUCAUGGCCCCAUGGACCAGACCACACCAGGCACCCCUGUCUUCCACUGCCUCCCGCAGUUUGGUCAAAUUUAUAUUAGUAGCUUCGAGAACACUGUCCAACCAUCUUGUCCUCUGUUGUCCCUUCUCCUUGUGUCCUCAAUCUUUCCCAACACCAGGGUGUUUUCCAGGGAGUCUUCUCUUCUCACGAGGUGGCCAAAGUAUUGGAGCCUCAGCUUCAGGAUCUGUUUUUCCAGUGAGCACUCAGGGCUGGUUUCCUUAAGAAUGGAGAGGUUUGAUCUUCUUGCAGUCCAUAGGACUCUCAAGAGUCUCCUCCAGCACCAUAAUUCAAAAGCAUCAAUUCUUCGGUGAUCAGCCUUCUUUAUGGUCCAGCUCUCACUUCCCUACAUCACUACUGGGAAAACCAUAGUUUUAACUAUACGGACCUUUGUCGGCAAGGUGAUGUCUCUGCUUUUUAAGAUGCUGAGAAUGAACUUAGUUGGUAAAAAAAAAAAAAUGUCCAGUAGCUCUUUAGAGACCAACUAAGAAAGAACCUAGUUGGUCUCUAAGGUGCUACUGGACAUUUUAUUUAUUUAUUUAUUUCGACUGCGUUAGACCAACACGGCUACCUUCCUCAAUCUAGAAUUAUGGUGUACAUAGUUCUCCCCCUCCCCAUUUGAUUCUCAUCACAACCCUGUGAGAUAGGUUAAUCUAAGAGAUUGUAACUGGCCCAAGGUUGCCCAGUGAGCAUCAUGGAUGAGUAAACCCUGCUCUCCCAGGUCUUAGUCCCACACUCUAACCACUGCACCACACUAGUUCCUUUAGGGAAAGAAUGUGUACAAAAUGCAAAGCACAUGCUAUCGUUUGCUAGAAAGCAGUGCUAGCUUUUGUUGCUCAAGCCUCCUAAAAGCAAGCCUUCACAGCCAGUUCUCUCAAAAGCUGGCGUGGGCUUUGGUUAAAUCUCCCUGGGGAAGGGUGUUCCAGAGCUGUGGGGCAGCCACAGCAGAUGCAUCUCCCUCCCCUUCCAUGCGCCUGAAAUGUUCUAUCAUGGCACGCUAAUAGCGCACUUGACCUCAUUUGCACGGCUGAAUUCAUCCUGAGCGUGUCCACAUUAGGUAGUGUAAAGUAAGCGCUAUGAACAGGCAAAAAGACUUGAGCUGAAAAUCCUGCAGCCCCAAAGAAACAUUAACUGCUUGGGUAGACUUUUUUUUUCCCCUCCCUCCACAUCAGCUGUCAUUCCGAGCAGUUAAGGAUAAUGUAGGAUGUCUAGGAGAAGCCUUUAAUGCACAAAACAGUCUUCGAGUCAAGGUGACCUUGCGGUUUGUAUUAACACUUUGAUCACCUUCCUGACUACCAUGUGUGACAUGAUUCCAUUACCAUGUGUAAAAUCUUUGCAUUUAGGCCCCAAUUUGUGCUUCUUCGACAUUUCUGAAGUAAUUUAUAUGGAAUGAUAGUCAUUCAUAUAUAUAUAUAUAUAUAUAUAUAUAUAUAUAUAUACACACACACACACACACACUGUGUGUUGUGUGUGUGUGAAACUAUUAAUUUAAUUUAUAGCUCAGCCUUCUUUGAGUAUAUCUCCACUCCCUCACCCCUAGGCCUUCUGCUAGGUUUUGGUGGCAGAAUGUCUAAUUUGAUGAGUUAUUAGCAAUGUUUUAUUGCUUUACAAUUAAUAACAAACGGCCCAAUAGGCAAUGUGGAUUCAGCAGGCAUUGUUUAUCCUGCUACCUCUGCACUUCCAGGACUCCUGUCAAAUCCACAGCCCAGUUACUCAUGGCACCAGUGGCAGAAGGUGGAGGGGCAGGCAUAUUGGACCUGAUCCCUGCACCAGCGUCAUGCUGGCAUAGAGAUCAGGCCCAAUGCCAUAUCCUGCGAGAGCAGCUCAGGAUCUGGCAGAGGAGAAGAAAAGCCUUGUGCUGCUGUUUUAGCUUGCAAAUCCCCCCAAACACAAAAGUGUUGAGUGAAUGUUUUGUAAGGAGAGAAUACCAUACAUUCGUGUGUACAGGGGCAGUGAAACAGAAUGUGCUGCAUUGCCCUGCCCCCACCUACUUGUUUCUGCCACAUGCCCCCAUCCACCACUGGCAGAGAAGCAGCCCCUUCAUCAGUGCAAGAUUGCCCUGAUGUGGGGUGAGAUCUUGCCCAAAAUGGCCUCAAUCUUGCCCCAAAUCAGCACCAAUGGCAGUGGUGCUUCUCUGUCAAUGGCCCAUGGAUGUGCCGCCAGGGGACUUCUGCCCCCUGAAGCAGUGGUCUCACCUGCCUCAUAGCUGAGCAGACUCUCUGUGUGUCUUCUAAAUUGCAUACCAUUUAUUAACUGGUGAAAUAGCUCCAUUAGAUGUCUGCAGCAGAAAGGGCAACGAUGGUUAUUCCUGAAGGAGUGAUGGGGGGAGCAGUUUAUAUGUCGCGGAGUGAUAGGCAAUAACAACUCUCUCAUUCGGUUCAGGAAAUUAAAGGUGGUGGUUAGAAACAUGAUGUCCUGUUUUCCGUGCGGAUGGAGCGUAUGCUCCUAGGAGAAGAUAAGACCUCCUGCUGCCAGCGAAACACAAACAGCAGGCCUGUAAUUACAAACACAUCAGAUAAGAUGUCAGCCGGUGACAGGAAGAAUGUGCUGAAAAGCUGGUGAGAGAGUCUUCCUGGGACAUCACAGCAAAGGUGGGUUAGGAGCUGCAGGUGGGUCACCACCUCCCACCCCAGCCUGUCAACAUCCUGAGGCCAUCAUAUAAGACAGAGAUGGGGAACCUGAAGCCCUCCAGAUAUUGCUGAGCUACAGAUUCCACCCUACUUCACCGCUAGCUAGCUGAGGUCAAUAGAACCUGGAGUUCAGCAGCAUCUGAAGAAGAAGAAGAAGAAGAAGAAGAAGAAGAAGAAGAAGAAGAAGAAGAAGAGGAGGAGGAGGAGGAGGAGGAGUUUGGAUUUGAUAUCCCACUUUAUCACUAACCUAAGGAGUCUCAAAGCGGCUAACAAUCUCCUUUCCCUUCCUCUCCCACAACAAACACUCUGUGAGGUGAGUGGGGCUGAGAGACUUCAGAGAAGUGUGACUAGCCCAAGGUCACCCAGCAGCUGCAUGUGGAGGAGCAGGGAAGCAAACCCGGUUCACCAGAUUACGAGUCCCCUACUCUUAACCACUACACCACACUGGCUCCCACAGAGCCACAGAUUCCCCACCUGCUCAAAGGCUAUCAUAAAAAGUUGGCUGUCAGACACAGGGUCUACUUAGUGUGGCCUCCAGGAUUUGGCAUUUUCCUCUGCACAGAUGCUCAUUUAGCAUAUCCUUUCAGGGCAACAACAAAGAAGUUAUAUUUGGGUUGGGAAAGAAGCAGUGUUGUCAUUCUUGAAUAGCCUGCAUAUAGUUGUCCAGAAGAAACUCCUACUGCAUUCAAGGUGCCUACUCCCAAGUAAGCAUAUAUAGGCCAGUAAAGACUUUUGGGAAAACAUGCAGUGAUAUUAUCCUCAUUGUUUGAUGUAUUGAAUCUUUAUGUUUUCAAGUCUAGUUUUGAUAGCAGCCUCGGGUGCCAAUCUGAAGUCAUUUUCAGACAAUGUUUCAUGUGUUCACCGAAUCUUGGUAUUUUGGUGGAUGUGUGUCCAAUUUCUGCCUGCCUGGCUGAAGGUUAGAAUAGGACCUACUUGUAAUCCAUAGUGACUGGUAACAUUUUGACUUUGUAGGGCUGCAGUUUUCAGCCUUGCUGCUCUCACCUCAAUAGGUCUUGUACAGCACUUAUUUAGGAAAGUGUGCCAUUGCAUAGGUUCUGGAAGCCAUUGUCUCAUCCUCUCUAUAAAAAAUUAAUUCACAGUUAUUCUCUGUGAAUAGCUUCCAUGUUACAGUUUUCAGACAGCAUUGACUCUACCCCCCUUAUUUAGAAAUUAAGCCACACCACACGAUGUAAGUUUUUGGAUUCAUGUAUUGUCUAUGCCUACACUUCUGUUGCCAAGAAAACUAAGGACACAAAGGCUUUUAAAACGCAAGGAAAACUUGCUUCCAGUUGCCUGCAGUUUUCCUCCCCUCAAUGCCUCAAUUCGCUCAUUAUCCAAAACACCUUUUUCUCUAAAUUAAAAUAACAAAGUAUUCCAACAUAUAGACAACAAACAAUUGUUUCCAGGGCACAUCAGAGCACAUCAGAACAUAUCUGCAAUGCAUCAAGGCUCACGUUUUAAAGUCUGCAGUGUGCUUAGUUAUUUCCAUGCCCCUGGCAUGGUCUGUCCCCCACCAAUAGGAAAAUAGGGUGUGAAUACCUUGAUCAAUAAGUGCAGGCCCCAUCGUGGUGGUGAUGGUUCAUGAUGGGCUUCCUUGUACCAACCAGUGCAACCAAUGAGCUCCUCAGAAGUCCUGGGCAUGCCUUUGAGCCAAGGUAUAUGAGAGCAGGCUCCAGGGCACUUGUCUCAUGUCACCUCAAACUGUUACCUAUGGCAUCCUGAACCGACUCCGACCCUUGUAGUUUACUGAAAAAUCACAGGUUUUGUAUACUGCUCCACAAUACACUGCCCUAGUUCCUGUAGUGUCAGGAAUGGAGUGCUGAAGUUGAAUGAGCCUGUCACUUUUUUGAUGUUCUUCUAUAGCCUUAUCCUCUAUGAAUUUGUCUUAAUUCUCUUUUAAAACCAUCCAUGUUGGUGGUCAUCACCGGAGCCGGACCACGCAUGAGGCAAGAUGAGGCCACUUCCUCAUGCAGCGGGGUCCACAGGGACAGCAGAUCCCAAUGUUGAUUCCCUCCCCCUUUUUCCUGAUAAAGAGAUUCAUUCACCCCUUCUUCCCUGGUUGGGGGGGGGGGUGAGGAAAGUGCCAUUUUCUGGUGCUGAAAUGUUUUGGGCCAGUCCUAGCUAUGUGUCGUGUGAAGAAGUAUUUUUGUUUGACCUGCCAUGAAUCUUCCGGCAUUAAGCAUCAGUCUCCUUCUCCUUCUUAAGAACUGCAGUUUGGUAGCUUUCCUGGAGGGUGGCUAGCAAGGGAUUCCAGAGCUGGGGGGCCACGAUGGAAAAGGCCCUCUCCCUUGUGCCUGUCAAUUGCAGCACAUGGCUACGAGGAACUGGAUUAGCCUAGCAAAAUCUUCACACAUUCUUUGCCUCCACAUGAAUCUAAGGGAGGAAGGGUGUCAAUCUUUCCUAAUUGCCUUUGUUUUUGUUGUUAAAGAACCUCAUUAGUUUCUUACCCAUUUGUUUAAAUCACAUUCCAUUCAUUAUGCAUUCAUUAAAGUCACACUCAUUUCGCUACUCAUAUAUAUUUCCAUAUCUACUUUUUGAUGUUUUCCCUCUUGUAACAUUUUCUUGGGCUGGCGUCUGUGCCAGCACAGAUUUCGGUUCCCCAGACAUCCAGGACACUGUGCCUGCUGGUGGCGGUGCUGCCAUUUUUUGUAGUGGCCACCAUUUCUUGCCCACCUCCACCCCCAGAAUGGCCCAGAACAAUGCAAUGGCCAGGGCAUGUGGGAAAACAAAGCAACGGCCACAAGGAGGCAGCCUUUGAAAGAACCUUUGCUGCUACCAGAUGUGGUAAACCCCAUCAGAACCAAAUGAGGGGCAAAUGGGCAGUGGAAGCUGGUCUGGUAGGGCAAAUGGGAAAGCUGAGCCUGCCCUCAGCCAGUUCCCAUCAUAGACUGGUUAGAUGCAGAAGAAUGGUGGAAGGAACCAGCUGGGGAACGCCAGAGGGAUGAAGGCUCAGAGCCCAGGGAGUGGUGGUGGGAGGACAAUGAGUGGUCAGAGGGAGAAGGCUGGGAAGCAGAGAUGUCAAAGGCUGAAGAGGUAACAGGGCUUAGUGAGCUGGGAGAGUCUGUGGCAGAGAGUAGUCCAGAAUCAGAGGCAGAAGCAGAAGCCGGAGAGGAGGGAGGCCGAGAGACAGAGAUUAGUCAGGCUGGUGAAGAAGCCAGACUGUUUCCUGCUCCUACCAUGGCCAGCUCCCUUCCUUCCUGGUCUCCCAGAACCAGGAGAGGCAUGCCAAGGGCGGAGGAGAGGUUAGCUUCACAUAGGCAAAGUCUCAGAUUGCUUGGGGGGAAACCCUGGAGAAGAGGAGACUUAGGCAACUGUGAGGAGGCGGAGACCUUCUGUCUCAGCCACUGCUGGGACCUGCUGGAAAUGAGUUGCUGUGCUCAUUAUGCCUGACACUCCUGUGCAGAUCCUGUUUUUGCUAAUAAAGAAUUAUCUCCAACUUGCUCGGUGUAAUUUACUGCUGGCUCGCUCCUGUCACUUGCCUACUUCCUUACUUACGACCACAUUGCCUCCCAGCUUCCUCUUCCUUAGGCUCAGUAUUACCCAUAUAGAACUCAGCAGGGAGGAAAAGGAGGUUGGGGACAAAAUUAGAAUUAGUUUGCUCCACCUGUCGCUGGCUCUGGCGCCACCUACUGUUGAGCUCCCUACCUUCCACCAUGCCAGCUCCAGUGGGUACCAGCCACCACUGCAAAUGCAUUUGAAUGGGGUUGUGGGAAUGAACCCCAGCCGGACCCACUCAUUACUGUUAGCAGUCAUUCAGGGAGCAAAUGAAAAUUGAACCAAAUGAAGCUCACACAGUUCGAUUUUUUAAUUCUUUGCUAAACAAAUGCCAAGUCCUAUAUUAAUCUCCCUUUGCUAAGCUCUGAGAGAGGAGCCUGGAGCCAGAAAUGUUGUGGUGAUAAGACCUAAGAGAACGAGGAAUCGUUGCAGAACAGGGAGAAUAUCAAUAAACCACAUAUGCAGAAACUUAUUUACAGAACAAAGCCUAUGCAUGCUUAAUCAGAUGUGAGCUCCACUGUAUUCAACAGAUCUUACCAUCUAGGCUAGAUUCCCACAGCAGUUUAUUCCAUUUCCCCAACAUUUCUCUAAUUUCCACACUAUAUUUGAGCUUACACAUGACAUAAUAGUUACUUCCAGAAAACUAGUGGAACAUAGUGCAUGUCUAGCACUUGUUUCUGAGCUAUUUGAUUCCAGAUAAAAUCCAUUCGCAUCUCCCUUAAACCACAACAUUUCAGGAGUAAACAUUUCAGGAGUAAAAUGAUGAGCUUUGGGGCAUUAUAGUAGCAUGCAGUUCUUUCCUGAUGUUUCUUUGGAGGAACAGAAGCAUGGAAGUGCAGAAAGGGUGGGAGAGCAGCAACACUGUCCAAUAACAUCAUCAACACCAUCAUUUUUUGUUUGUAUGCCACCUUUCCACAGUUAAAACAAUGCUCAAGGCGGCUUGCAAUAUGAAAAGAUUUACAUAAUUACAAAUAUAACAAAAUAGUCAUAAAAAUAAAUCAAACACAUUAAAAAGUACAUAACCAAACUGAACAAUUUCCACAUAAAAAUAAAGAUAUAAAAAGUUAAUAUCAGCAGCAGCAACAGCAACAACUCCCAACAAAACUUUCCCCGAAGUACCCCAGUCCUUGCUGGGCAGCAGCCACAGCAAAAGUUCUUAUAAGGCCUGUCAGGCCCCACCCUGGGCCAGGUGGAGAAUGGCAGGACUGGGGCCCUCAGGCGCUCAGCAGCGGAGUCCUCCUGGGCAACAUUAGUUGUUGUGUCACACCACACUCACAGGUGUGAAUGAAAUUUAGUAUGACAUGCUAAUUGUUGUUAGUUGGUGGUGGUGGCAUCUGUCUCUCUCAGGAGACAAUGGAGGAGUGUGCCUUUGGGGGUGAAGUCAAACUGGAAGGUUACAUCACCUGCUGUGGCUGUAGAGACCGAUACAGGAGAAACAUGCUUUGUUGCAGCGACAGUAGAUGAAGGCAUCUGGUUGUGCUGCACCAUGGCGUUUUUUCUCUCUGCACUCCACGCAGCAGUCAUUCCUUCUCUGGUCACUGCUAUGGUCUGCUGGGUGACCUUGGGCUAGUCACACUUUUUUGAAGUCUCUCAGGCCCACUCUCCUCACAGAGUGUUUGCUGUGGGGGAGGAAGGGAAAGGAGAAUGUUAGCCCCUUUGAGACUCCUUCGGGUAGUGAUAAAGCGGGAUAUCAAAUCCAAACUACUCCUCCUCCUCUUCUUCUUCUUCUUCUUCAUCUUCUUCUUGGCGAUCACUCAUAGCCGAGUAAGAUUGUCUUCCAUAAACACAGUUUUAACAAUGAGUCCGUAAGUGACCGUGGAGGCCAAUUCUGGAUCCACACGUCCUUCCACAGUGGGGACAUUGGUUUCCGGGCAGGAGCUGAUCACAGUGUGGAUUUGCCAAGUAUGCCUUCCUCUUAGCACGUUUCUCCCUUGUGUCCUGAGUUUGUGCGUAUUCAAAGUUCACAACACCUUUGGUAAAGGCUGUUCUUCACCUGGAGCAUUUGCAGGCCAGUGUUUCCCAGUUGUCAGUGUUUAUACUACAUUUUUUUAGAUUUGCCUUGAGACAGUUUUUAAACCUCUUUUGUUGACCACCAGCAUUAAGCUUUCCAUUUUUAAGUUUGGAAUAGAGCAGCGCUUUGGUAAGACAAUCAUCAGGCAUCCACACAACAUGACCAGUCCAACGAAGUUGAUGUUGAAAAUCAGUUGCUUCAAGAAGAAGAUUAUGACGAGACGAGUUUGAUUUGAUAUCCCGACGUUCUCGCCUUCAGGAGUCUCAGGCGUCUAACACUCUCCUUUCGCUUGCACCACCAGCAUUAAGCUCUCCAUUAGGUGAGUGUGGCUGAGAACUUCAAAGUAGUUGACUGGCCCAAGGUCACCAGCAGCUGCAUGCGAGGAGCGGAGACUGCACAACCUGGUUCCCAGAUCACAAGACUACCGCUCUGAUCGCUGACACAAUCACUGGCUCUCAACACUGGUGAUCUUUGCUUCUUCACUGCUAUGGAUGUAUGACCUGACUGUCUGUCUCCAGGCACUGUGGUCGUCCGCAAGGGAUUCUCACAUGCUGGAGUUGAUAUUGCCAGCCUUCAUGCCACGUUUGCGGGCAUCUUUGUAGCACAGAGUUCCUUCCUGUUCUACAACUCUGAUUCUCCAGCCCUUCUUACUUGUGGAGCUAUGAAGAGAGGUGUGCAGAGUUCUUGUCAUGUGCUCUCUGAGAAGUAAACUUGCACCUACUUCCAACAUUGCUGGUGCACACACUGCAAAGGCACUUGCUUGGUUCAUCUUAUUUAACUUUUCUCAAGUUGAAUUUGAUUUAGGGACCUUUCUGUGGGCCACUGAUCUAUCUAGCUCAGCAUCAUCAAGGUGGGGCUGUGUCCUGCUCUGAUGCCAGAUCCUUCUGAGAAACUGGAAAGGCUGGAGUGGUCAGAAGUUGCAGGACCAUGGAUAGCAACUAACAAAGUUUGGGAGCAGACAAAAGCCUUUUAAGCCUCUUUCUCCAGACUACCUCCUCCAGGCUCCACCCUCUUGUGAAUAACUUCAGUCUCUUAAAGGGACAACCCUCUGGCCUGAAGACAGGCACUCCUCCUCCAUCCCAAAGCCUUCUUCUUGAUGUGCUGUCUGUGCUACAGGACCAGUGAUGUGCACUUGGAAGCAUAUGGUUCCUCAAGCUCAGGGAAAGGUGCUUGUGAGAGUCUGGCCCUACAGUACCUGGUGGCCCACGGGGGUCUUCUGGGUGAGGCUCCUGUCCCCUGUCCAGCAACCUCAGGUGUUAUGGUCUCCAGAUCUCAAGCAGUCAGCUCAGAGCCCUGAACUCAAUCUGACUUCUCAGCUGGUUCCUUUGCAGCCUUUGACUCCGUGUCUGGAUUGUUGCUGGAUUCAGGGGUCAUGACACUGAGAGGCUGCAAUCCAACCUGAAAUGACUAUCUGAAGGUGGAGGAGGAAUGGAUAUGAACAAAUGAAAUAUUGAGUGGAGAAUGAUCAUGUUUCCCUGCCCUGCUCAGUGAGGCCAACAAAAUAUGUUUUCUACGAGGAUAGAAACUUACAGGACAGUGUAUGAAAAAGCAGGUUAGAAAGCACAUUGACAUUUCCUGGGACUCAGUAAAUAAUGCAGAUAGUAGAGCAGACCAUGGGGGCAGCCAUCUCUCCCCCCCACUGCCCUCCAUGAAUACCUCUGGGAUCAUAAUUGUUCCCAGAGGCAUCUUGUUCCCAGGACCAUGACAAGUCUGGUCAGAGUGGCCAAGCCACUGCUUGAAGUAGUGCUGUGAAACCUUUCAAAUUAAGGAUGAAGAGCCAGGUAAAAAGGAAAACUUUCCCUUGGAGCUUAAGAAUAGAAAAGGAUGGUGCCAGGAGAGCAUUCUACAAGCAGGGAUCCAACAUUGAAAGGGCUGUUGGCAGAGCUUCAAAACCACAGUUCUCCCCCCCCCCAUGAUGUAUUUAGUUUAUUGCAAUUAUAUGCUUCCAAGUUCCAACACUUUCCACUGAAUAUGACUGAAGUACACUUCAGUAGGGAAAGAAAGGAAUUCCAGGGGUCAGUUGGAACCAACACUGCAUAGUCUCCAAAUAAAAUAAACAAGGAGGUGAGAUAUGACAGUCCCAACGACAGACCAGCAUUUCAAUGGCUGUUGUUGCUGCCUCAACAAAGCAUUUCCAUCAUGCAAACUAUCCUGAGAAGAGUUGCAUUUGUUUUGCAUUAGCCCCCAUCCCCUUGAAGGAACGCACUUGAUUGCUACAGACAAAUUAUCUACAAUGUGUAAGGCCUAGUGUUGCACUUCUCUUUUCCUUUCAAGACAUGUCAGCGCUAAAUAUUUCCAGCUCUCAUAAUUAGUGGCAACUAAUUCCCAUCGGCUAAUUUCUGUUUCCAUGUGUUUUAGAUCAGUGGUUCAUCAGUCAUAAAUCCCACAGCGCAAAUAUUGUGGUUCUGCUUUGAGCUCGCCCUAGCAUCAAACAGCAUCUUGUAGCAUUUUCUACUGGUAGAUGGGAAGCCUCAGCUAGAACGCAGCACAAGUCAGCUGGGAAUUACAAAGCAGAUCUGUUUUAAAGGGGCAAGAUGAAGAGCUGGCCAUUAAGGACAUAGGAAAAGCUCUGUGGGGUAAAGUAAAGGGGUCUAUCUAGGCCAGCAUUGGAAGUCCACAAGAGACCACUUGGAAGCUAACCACAACACUGGCAUGAACAGAUUUGCAUUUUAUUUGUCCCCAGCUUCUGUUCUUGCCUCAACUUUGAGCAGGGUUGGGGAAUCUUUGGCUUUUCUGAUAUUAUUGGACUCCAACUCCUGACCAUUGGACUCCCAACUCCAUAUCUGUUGGGAUGCGGGGGCAAUUGGCAGGCCCCCAGCUGGCUCCAGCCCACCGGCCGGCAGCCAGGUGAACUCCGAUUCUCAGAACAGCAUCAAAAACUGUGACUCAAGCCUCAGAGACCUUUAGAGACUGAGCACGCAAGCCAGCAGAGAUAAGAACUCUUUGCAACGGAAGUAGAGGACAGAGGCAUAUGUAAGCAUAUUUGCAAGCAUUUAUUCAGCAGGAGGACAAAGGAAAAACAUGUCUGCUUCCCUUCGUGUCCAAGCAAACAGCAGGAAGGCAAUAAGCAAAAGCUAUACACAAACGGAAGAUCCCAGCAAGCUGUGCUGGAAUGUAAACAGAUGUGUGACAUACAACAGCUCCACAUGCCUGUUCUAAAGGUGGAACGGAACUAUAUCCUAACAAUAUCGGCUGGGGCUGUUGAGAGCUGAAGUCUACAUAUCCUACAUUACAGUCCUCUGUUUGGGACUUUUAAGUUUAGAGAAAAGAUGAGUAAGAGGAGAGCCAGUGUGGUGUAGUGGUUAAGAGCAGUAGUCUCGUAAUCUGGGGAACCGGGUUUGAGUCUCCGCUCCUCCACAUGCAGCUGCUGGGUGACCUUGGGCCAGUCACACUUCUUUGAAGUCUCUCAGCCCCACUCACCUCACAGAGUGUUUGUUGUGGGGGAGGAAGGGAAAGGAGAAUGUUAGCCGCUUUGAGACUCCUUAAAGGGAGUGAAAGGCGGGAUAUCAAAUCCAAACUCUUCUUCUUCUUCUUCUUUAUAAUGAUGAAAGUUUAUGAAAUUAUACAUGGCAUGGAGAAAGUGUCUGCAGGCAGCCAAUCUCUCAUUUGCUCUUUUCAUUUCUCUGCCUGUGCUGGGAGACUGGGGUGGGGAGCUGGCGACAGCAGGAGGGGGAGACUCCCUGGACUCUUCAGAAGGCGUCUCCUGGGCCCCCUCCCCUCCAGCCUCUGAACCUGAACUGCUCUCUGCCCCAGCUUUUUCCUGCUCACUAAACCCUGUUGCCUCUUCAGCUUCUGACAGCUCCUCCUUCCAGUCUUCUCCCUCUGACCACUCAUCAUUGUCCUACCACUUCCACCCAGGCUCUGAACCUUCUUCCCUUGGAAAUUUCCCAGCUGGUUCCAUCUACACCUCCUCUGCGUCCAGCCAGUCCAUGACCUCUCUCUCUCUCUCUCUCUCUCUCUCUCUCUCUCUCUUUAUCAAGAGAGAGUCCUGGGAGGGUUACCAUAUGUCCUCUUUUUCCAGGACAUGUCCUCUUUUUCAGGGGUAUGUAAAAUAAGAGCCAUCAUAGCGAUCCAUAGUUAAAAACAGAAGUUGGAAAAUGUGUCCUCUUUUUGCUCUUCAGUGAUACGGCAACUCUAUGUGGACUAGUCUGGUUUUCUGAUGUGCAGUUUCAUAGCAGACCCCACCAAGAGAUCCCUAGAUGUUAUUUGUUAUUGCAAGAAAAAAAAUCUAAAUUGAGUAUCUUAGUUUCAGAUGUCUUUAAAGCCCUUGAUUGUACAGAAAAUACAUUUCUGUUGCAAGUAAUUUCAAAUAUGAGUCUUGGAUUAAAAAUAACUCAUGUCAUUUAACUUAUUUACAAGCCUUCCUCUAUUAGGAUAAAUGGUUAUGAUUCUAAAUUUAUAAGGAUUUCUAGAGGUACAAAGAGGGGUGCUGUCUCCACCUUGCUGUUUGUCCCUGCUUUGGAACCUUUGGCGGGGUGUUAAGAGGUAACAUUAAUAUCAAAGGACCUAUUAUAAAAGGGAAAGAACUUCCAAUUAAUUUAUUUGUGGGUGAUAUAGUAAUUAUGCUGUCUGACUCAUUAGUUGCAGCUCCUCAUUUAAAACAAGAAUUGGAAAGUAUCACAAAGUGGCUGGUUUACUAAUUAAUUAUAGUAAAUUUAAUACCAUGUUUUACAACAUCCCACCCUAAAAUAGAAAAUAUCAUAAAACAAGAAUUAAAAGUGCCAAUUGGUCCAAAACAAUUUCAGUUCUUAGGAGUUAAUAUACCCAAAAAUCGAAACAAACUUUAUCUAACCAAUUUUAUUCUCCCUUAUAAUGAAUAUUUAUAAAAUACAUUUAAAAUAUGCUACUAUUUAGAGUUCUUAGUAACUUUUCAGCAUGAAGUGAGAAUAGUAUAAGACGCUGAGGACCUCAGCAACUCAGCAUUUUGGGUAAUCUACAUUUACAUAUACAGUGGUACCUCGCAAGACGAAUGCCUCGCAAGACAAAAAACAGGCUAGACGAAAGGGUUUUUUGUUUUUUGAGCUGCUUCCCAAGACGAUUUUCCCUAUGGGCUUGCUUCGCAAGACGGAAACAUCUUGCAAGUUUGUUUCCUUUUUCUUAACACCGUCAAUACAGUUGCGACUUGACUUCGAGGAGCAACUCAUAGAACGCGGUGUGGUAGCCUUUUUUGAGGUUUUUAAAGACUUUGGUGAUUUUUGAAGCUUUUCCAAAACUUUCCCGACACCGUGCUUCACAAGACGAAAAAAAUCGCAAGACGACAAAACUCGCGGAACGAAUUAAU